rnacentral:lncRNA from 1 species
AGGGUCCCGCUUAUCAAAGCCUGUUGCUAUUCUAGCAAAGGGAAGGUGUUUUUUCGGACCUUCGGCUCAAAGCCUCCGUCCAUAUCGCAAUAUAAAUUUAUCAUUACAGCAAAAUUAAUAUUGCGAGGGGCUACUGUUAGGGACCUUCGGCCUCCGAAGGUCCUCAAAAACGUGAUUUGACAAUGUUUUCUAAGUAUGCGAGCAGGUAUCUUCGGAAUCAGGUUGCGGGUAUACAGAAGCAUGGUCAAGACGAAGCUUGACUGGGACGGCGAUCACGACGAAGGAUAAGAUGAUCACGAAGUUAUAUGCAGAGGAGCUUCGGCAUUACGGCGGGAAAGGGAAACCGACUUAAAGAUGAAAAGCCAAACUAGACCUCGAUGAAUUACUAUAGAGUUAUUGAUAAAUGUAAAGGGCAUUAAUGUAAUUUUGCAUGGGCUGUGACCCGUGCCUAUAAAUAGGUGAACAGUAUUCCCAUACUGGGGACGCUGACUUAGCAUUGACUUUUGCGUCACACCUGUAUUUUCUUUCCUUCGAGUCGAAGGUACAUUUGUAAUUUAUCUUUGUUUACAUAAGUAAUAUAAAUAGAAAUAGAUUAAUAAUAAGAUUUACAGAAAUUAUAUUAUUUUCUGUAUUUUGUUUGAAUGUUUUCCAUUUUUUUAUCACGAUCAUGAAGGUACGUCCUUCAUGACCUUCGUCUUAAAUUCAUUACAUCCGAAGGGAAAUAAUGAUUUGAAGGAAGAAGGACUUUUGAUAUUUAACAUUUUAUGUUGCCUUGUUCUUGAUUCAUAGCAUUUGAGAACAAGUCCCCAACAACACCUAUAUGAGUUUGACUGCUAGUCACAAUCUAUGAUAUGUGGGCAAUAUUUAUAUACUCAUGAAAGGUCUCGGAGUUUGACUUAUAUGCUUCAAACCAAGGGGAUUCUUGUAAUAGUCUAGUACUAGAUAAGAACUUUGGUGAAACUCACUUCAUACAAAACUGUCAAUUCAAGAUAUAGUCUAUUGUUCAGAUGUGAAUGUGUAAUCCCUGUUCUAGAUGGAUGGUCAACUUAACAGCCUCCACCAAAACCCUUAUAUAUCAAAGAGUAGUGGAUUUAAAUUUGUCUAAUAUGUAGUUUAUGGGCUUGGCUCAUUUAAAGUAUUUAAUAAUUCUGAAAGACAAGAUUAAACUAACUAUGUAUGAUCCUUUAGCUCCGUACAGACGGUCGAUGGGACAGUUACAUGGUUUAUGUAGAUGGACCUAUCUAUAUUCCUUCAGUGGUUGAGAGAAAGGUAAAGGUGCGUCACACUCACGCGUGCGCCGCCUCCGCCAAGACAAGGCGUGGCGUUGCAAGGUGAGGCAUGGUAUGGUGCAGCAUGAUCGCAGUCAUGGUCGUGGUACGAUGUAGCAUUGUUGUGGAUAGAUAGAUAAACUAUUGUUGUAGUUAGAGCGCAUGAGUUUUUGAAUGCAACACUAGAAUUUUCACAAUUUAACUUAAUUAAGAAGUUAUAUCUUGAUGACACAGAGUUACCUGACCAUUGAUCUCACAUGCCAUUUUAGCUCUCUUGUUCUCCAGUCUCACCCUAACUAUUUAGGUCUCCUGACUCGCCAAUAUAAACACCAUCCUCUCAUUUGCUCUCCAAUACUUCUCUGUCACAACUCAACUAUCAGAUGAGUACUCCAUUACAGCACUUACGUACACGAGUUCAUGAGAUCGGGCCUCCAAAAUGAAUAUCGGCUAAGUGUUUAUCUACUCAGAUGAAGGACGAUAAUCGUGUUCUUGGGAAAUAUCAGCGACAUAACUCCUUACUUCCUCCGCUUCUUCCUAGUGUUUUUGUUGUUGUGAUUGAGUCGACAUAGCAACAACGCUGCACUAUUACAACCAGUACGAUUAUAUCAACUAACAAUGUAUUCCUUAUAUGUUACUAUUUAUUUUUCUCAUAUUCAUUAUGCUUAAAUCACAUGUGCACCUUUCUAUUGACAUCAAAAAAUAGUAUCAACUUUCUAGAUUAAAAUGCAACUAAAAGUACCUAAAUUUCUAUCAGUGGGGAUUGAGUGAUUCUUUAAACCGAUUAUUACAUAAGUUAACCACACUAAAAUUAACAUUGGUGAAUCGUGCCAUGAUUUUUUUCUAGUGCAAAAUAGCCAAACCAAGCAACACAUAUGUGGCUAUCGUUACACAUGUGUAAAGGACAUCACACCAUUGUCACCCAUGUAUUUGGACAAUAACGAGAGGAAAAACCACUUAUUUAUUGUAUUUUAUCAAGUUUGUCUUGCUUACGUAUAAAUUAUAACCCAACAAAGUAAUCACUAAAUGUCAAAACCAACUAGAUACCAUGUCAUCUCUACCUUAUCUUACUAAUGUUCUUUUUGCAAAAUCCAAAAGUAAUCUUGCACAAGCACAAGGACUGAUAUGUGUAUAAAUAUCUCUUAGAUUAGUAGCUAAUACAUCACACAUAUUAUUGAGACCAACUAGCAACAUAGAAAGCACAAUAGUGUACCAACAAUGGCAGCCAAAAUAUUUUGCUUCCUUAUGCUCCUUGGUCUUUCUGCAAGUGCUGCUACCGCAACCAUUUUCCCACAAUGCUCACAAGCUCCUAUAGCUUCCUUUCUUCCCCCAUACCUCUCACCAGCGGUGUCUUCAGUAUGUGAAAACCCAAUUCUUCAACCCUACAGGAUCCAACAGGCAAUCGCAGCAGGCAUCUUACCUUUAUCACCCUUGUUCCUCCAACAACCGUCAGCCCUAUUACAGCAGUUACCUUUGGUGCAUUUGUUGGCACAAAACAUCAAGGCACAACAACUACAACAACUUGUGCUAGGAAACCUUGCUGCCUACUCUCAGCAACAGCAGUUUCUUCCAUUCAACCAACUGGCUGCAUUGAACUCUGCUGCUUAUUUGCAACAACAACUACCAUUCAGUCAGCUAGCUGCUGCCUACCCCCAGCAAUUUCUUCCAUUCAACCAACUGGCAGCAUUGAACUCUGCUGCUUAUUUACAACAGCAACAGCUACCACCAUUCAGCCAGCUAGCUGAUGUGAGCCCUGUUGCCUUCUUGACACAACAACAGUUGUUGCCGUUCUACCUGCACGCUGCGCCUAACGCUGGCACCCUCUUACAACUGCAACAAUUGCUGCCAUUCAACCAACUUGCUUUGACAAACCCAACAACGUUCUACCAACAACCCAUCAUUGGCGGUGCCCUCUUUUAGAUUGCUUAUGAGUUAUAGUUCAAUAAUGAAGUUUUUUGGAUGAUGUUUGUGGCUUCCCAGAAAUAAGAAAGUACAUUUCUAGAUUCUUAUGUGCUUCUAGCCUCCAAAUGUGGUUGAUAGUUAUUUUGCUCUAAGAUCGGGAGUAAUGAGGUAUAAAUCAUCGUUGUGGUGUGCUACUCGGUUAAUUAAGCAUUAACACACACAAACAUGACGAGGAUGGUAUGACCUCCAGGGCCAGUAACACGCCGGCACCAGCAAGAUAUCGUGUGAUGGUUAUUGGCGCGUGUUGUUUGUUCGACCCAUUGCUGCAACGCAGACCGCCGCUAACUACCAUCUCCAAGAGACUCCUUCAAUUAAGUCCUAAAAAUCAAAAUAGGACAUGGUUUAAAUUAUUUAAAACCCACCAAUUCGUUUUACUCCAACCGUGAGUCUGAGAGCACCUAGAGGGGGGGGGUCGAAUAGGUGAUCCUGUAAAACUUGAAAUUUAACUCACAAAACUUGAUUAGGAGUUAGCACAAAUAAUGCCAAGUGGCUAGAGAGGAGUCUCAACAAAACACAAUAACCACAAGAGAUCAAUCACAGAGAUGGCACAGUGGUUUAUCCCGUGGUUCGGCCAAGACCAACGCUUGCCUACUCCACGUUGUGGCGUCCCAACGGACGAGGGUUGCAAUCAACCCCUCUCAAGCGGUCCAAAGACCCACUUGAAUACCACGGUGUUUUGCUUGCUUUACUAUAUCCCGUUUGCGAGGAAUCUCCACACUUUGGAGCCUCUCGCCCUUACACUUAGAUGAUCACAAAGAAGCACAGAGUAAGGGAGGGAUAAGCAACUCACUCAAGACAAGAAAUCACAGCAACACCACGCACACAAGUCGCAACAAGAGCUCACAACACAACUCAAUGAGUUCACAACUCAACUAGAGCUCUAACUGCUAUCGCAAGGAAUCAAAAGCGCGGAAUCGAUGUCUUAGUGCUUAGGAAUGCUUAGAGAAUGCUUGGUGUAGUCCUCCAUGCGCCUAGGGGUCCCUUUUAUAGCCCCAAGGCAGCUAGGAGCCGUUGAGAGCAAUCCGGGAAGGCAAUUCUUGCCUUCUGUCGCCUGGCGCACCGGACAGUCCGGUGCACCACCGGACACUGUCCGGUGCGGAUUUCCUUCCUUAUUUGGCGAAGCCGACCGUUGGCAGCCUUGGAGCCGUUGGCGCACCGGACACUGUCCGGUGCACACCGGACAGUCUGGUGCCCCCUCCCGACCGUUGGCUCGGCCACGUGUCUCGCGCAGCCGACCGUUGGCCCGGCCGACCGUUGGCUCACCGGACAGUCCGGUGCACACCGGACAGUCCGAUGAAUUAUAGUCGUACGUCGUUAAUUUAUUCCCGAGAGUGACAAGUUCGCCUGUGCCAGCCUGGCACACCGGACACUGUCCGGUGCACCACCGGACAGUCUGGUGCACCCAGACAGAGCUGGCUUUGGCUGAACAAGGCUAUCUCUUUUCCAAUUCGAUUUCUCCUGUUUCCAGCACUUAGACACAAUAAAUUAGUCACUAAAACAAUGUACUAAGUCUAAGAAACAUACCUUUAUACUUGAUUUGUACUUUGUCCACCAUUUGACACUUAGGCACUUGUGUUGGACACUAGAUCACCAAAACACUUAGAAAUGGCCCAAGGGCACAUUUCCCUUUCAAUCUCCCCCUUUUUGGUGAUUAAUGCCAACACAACAUAAGGCAAGUAGAACAAGUACGAAAUCAAUUCAAAUAAGAACUCAAAUUUGUUUUGAAUCAAAUUUGGCAUAUAUGGAUCAUUCUUUGCCACCACUUGGUUUGUUUUUGCAAAUCAACCUCAAAUUCCUAUCUCUAAGUCAAAAACACUUGUUGAGACAUAACAAGAGUUGUUCCAAGAGAAAUUGAUCAGAGAUUUCAAAAACUCCCCCUUUUUCCCAUAAUUAAGCCUUCUCCCCACAAGAGACCAACUUUUGACAAUAAGAGGCAAACAAGAGUAUUUUGACAAACAAAAACUCUAACUCUAUUUUUUUAAAAUUCUCAAGUGGUAGCUGAUCUAUUUAUUGCUUUGGCCUUAUUUUCUCCCCCUUUGGCAUCAAGCACCAAAACGAGAUCAAUCUUGGCCCUCGAACCCCAUUGCCUCACCAAAAUCUUCAACUAAGAGUUAAAAAAAGGCAAUAAGAGUACAAAGAUGAACUUGGAAUAAGUUACUCGUUCAUCGGAGUGCAGUGGAAGUCUUGCAUAGUCCAAGUCCACCUUUUCCCUUUCAAUCCUCCUUUGAGACUAAAAUAAGCAAACUCACGCACAUGGUUAGUCUCAAAGGGUCAAGUUGUAGCACAUCUCCCCCUAAAUUUGUGCAUCACUUGCAAAUGAACUUGUAAGGUCCGGGGAGUGCUUGUACAACUUGAGCACCAUAAGUAAACAACAAAAUGCAUAAGGAACAUGAUCAAAGGCAUAAACACAUGUAUGCUAUAAAUCAAUCCAAGUUCCGCGAAUCUAAGACAUUUAGCUCACUACGCAACUUGCAAAAUGUCUGCUCAUCUAAAGGCUUGGUAAAGAUAUCGGCUAGCUGGUUCUCAGAGCUAACAUGAAACACUUCGAUAUCUCCCUUUUGCUGGUGGUCUCUCAAAAAGUGAUGCCAGAUGUCUAUGUGCUUUGUGCGGCUGUGUUCAACAGGAUUAUCCGCCAUGCGGAUAGCACUCUCAUUAUCACAUAGGAGUGGGACUUUGCUCAGAUUGUAGCCAAAGUCCCUGAGGGUUUGCCUCAUCCAAAGUAGUUGUGCGCAGCACUGUCCUGCAGCAACGUACUCGGCCUCAGCGGUGGAUAGGGCAACAGAGGUUUGUUUCUUAGAACUCCAUGACACCAGGGACCUUCCUAAGAAUUGGCACAUCCCCGAUGUACUCUUCCUAUCGACCUUACAUCCAGCAUAGUCGGAGUCUGAAUAUCCAAUCAAGUCAAAGGUAGACCCCUUUGGAUACCAAAUCCUGAAACAAGGUGUAGCGACUAAAUAUCUAAGAAUUCGCUUCACAGCCACUAAGUGACACUCCUUAGGAUCGGAUUGAAAUCUAGCACACAUGCAUACACUAAGCAUAAUAUUCGGUCUACUAGCACAUAAAUAAAGUAAAGACCCUAUCAUAGACCGGUAUGCCUUUUGAUCAACGAACUCACCUCCUUUGUUGAGGUCGGUGUGUCCGUCGGUUCCCAUUGGAGUCUUUGCGGGCUUGGCGUCCUUCAUCCCAAACCGCUUGAUCAAGUCUUGCUUGUACUUGGUUUGAGAGAUGAAGGUUCCAUCCUUGAGUUGCCUCACUUGGAAGCCAAGGAAGUAGAUUAACUCGCCCAUCAUCGACAUCUCGAAUUUCUGAGUCAUCACCCUGCUAAACUCUUCACAAGACUUUUGGUUAGUAGAACCAAAUAAUAUGUCAUCGACAUAAAUUUGGCACACAAAGAGAUCACCAUCACAAGUCUUAGUAAAAAGAGUUGGAUCGGCUUUCCCAACCUUGAAAGCAUUAGCAAUUAAAAAGUCUCUAAGGCAUUCAUACCAUGCUCUUGGGGCUUGCUUAAGUCCAUAGAGCGCCUUAGAGAGCUUACACACGUGGUCGGGGUACCGUUCAUCCUCGAAGCCAGGGGGUUGCUCCACGUACACCUCCUCCUUGAUUGGCCCGUUGAGGAAAGCACUCUUCACAUCCAUUUGGAACAACCUGAAAGAAUGGUGAGCGGCAUAUACUAGCAAAAUGCGAAUGGACUCUAGCCUAGCCACAGGAGCAAAAGUCUCCUCAAAGUCCAAACCUGCGACUUGGGCAUAACCUUUUGCCACAAGUCGUGCCUUGUUCCUUGUCACCACCCCGUGCUCGUCUUGUUUGUUGCGGAACACCCACUUGGUUCCCACAACAUUUUUCUUGGGACGAGGCACCAGUGUCCAAACUUCAUUUCUUUUGAAGUUGUUGAGCUCCUCCUACAUGGCCAACACCCAGUCCGGAUCUAGCAAGGCCUCUUCUACCCUGAAAGGCUCAAUAGAAGAGACAAAGGAGUAAUGCUCACAAAAAAUUAACUAAUCGAGAUCGAGUAGUUACUCCCUUGCUAAUAUCACCCAAAAUUUGGUCGACGGGAUGAUCCCUUUGAAUCAUCGCUCGAACUUGGGUUGGAGGUGCCGGUUGCGCUUCUUCCUCCAUUGCAAGAUCAUCUUGUGCUCCCCCUUGAUCACACGCCUCCUGCUCAUCAUCUUGAGUUGGGGGAUGCACCAUUGUUGAGGAAGAAGGUUGAUCUCGUUCAUCUUGUUCCUGUGGCCGCACAUCUCCAAUCGCCAUGGUGCGUAUUGCGGCCGUUGGAACUUCUUCUUCAUCUACAUCAUCAAAAUCAACAACUUGCUCUCUUGGAGAGCCAUUAGUCUCAUCAAAUACAACGUCGCUAGAGACUUCAACCAAACCCGAUGAUUUGUUGAAGACUCUAUACGCCUUUGUAUUUGAGUCAUAACCUAACAAAAAUCCUUCUACAGCUUUGGGAGCAAAUUUGGAAUUCCUACCCUUCUUCACUAGAAUGUAGCAUUUACUCCCAAAAACUCGAAAAUACGAAACAUUGGGUUUGUUACCGGUUAGUAGCUCAUAUGACGUCUUCUUGAGGAGGCGAUGAAGGUAGACCCUGUUGAUGGCGUGGCAAGCCGUGUUCACAGCUUUCGACCAAAAGCGCUCGGGGGUCUUAAACUCUCCAAGCAUCGUCCUCACCAUGUCUAUAAGCGUCUUGUUCUUCCUCUCUACCACACCAUUUUGCUGUGGUGUGUAGGGAGCGGAGAACCCAUGCUUGAUCCCUUCCUCCUCAAGGUACUCCUCCACUUGAAGGUUCUUGAACUCGGACCCAUUGUCGCUCCUUAUCUUUUUCACCUUGAGCUUAAACUCGUUUUGAGCUCUCCUUAGGAAGCGCUUGAGGGUCCCUUGGGUUUCAGAUUUAUCCUGCAAAAAGAAUACCCAAGUGAAGCGGGAAAAGUCAUCAACUAUAACAAGACCAUACUUACUUCCUCCUAUACUUAGAUAAGCGACGGGUCCAAAGAGGUCCAUGUGAAGCAUCUCCAAAGGUCUUGAUGUGGUCAUCACAUUUUUGGUGUGAUGAGAGCUUCCCACCUGUUUGCCUGCUUGACAAGCUGCACAAGGUCUAUCUUUUUCGAAUUGUACAUUAGUUAAACCUAUCACGUGUUCUCCCUUUAGAAGCUUGUGAAGGUUCUUCAUCCCCACAUGUGCUAAGCGGCGAUGCCACAGCCAGCCCAUGCUAGUCUUAGCAAUUAAGCAUGCAUCUAGACCGGCCUCCUCUUUUGCAAAAUCAACUAAGUAAAGUUUGUCGUCUAAUACACCCUUAAAAGCUAGUGAACCAUCACUUCUUCUAAAGACAGACACAUCUACAUUUGUGAAUAGACAAUUAUAUCCCAUAUUGCAUAAUUGACUAACAGAUAACAAAUUAUAUCCAAGAGACUCAACUAAAAACACAUUAGAUAUAGAGUGCUCGGAUGAAAUAGCAAUUUUACCUAACCCUUUUACCUUGCCUUGAUUCCCAUCACCGAAUAUUAUUGAAUCUUGGGAAUCCUUGUUUUUGACGUAGGAGGUGAACAUCUUUUUCUCCCCCGUCAUAUGGUUUGUGCAUCCGUUGUCGAUAAUCCAGCUUGAACCCCCGGAUGCAUAAACCUGCAUGGCAAAUUUAGGCUUGGGUCUUAGGUACCCAACUCAUGUUGGGUCCUACAAGGUUAGCACAAAUAUCCUUAGGGACCCAAAUGCAAGUUUUGUCUCCCUUGCAUUUUGCCCCUAAUUUUCUAGCAACUAUCUUCCUAUCCUUUCUACAAAUAGCAAAGGAAGCAUUUAAAGCAUGAUAUAUUGUAGAGGGUUCAUUAACUUUCCUAGGAACAUUAACAACAUUUCUCCUAGACAUAUGAACAAAAUAUCUCCUAGACAUAUCUCUACCAUGCAUAUAGGAAGAACUAGAAGCAAACAUGGCAUGAGAGUUAAAAGCAUCAUAAGCAUUACAACUCCUAUAAGACUGUCUUCUAUCAUGGUACAUAAAAGCAUGGUUCGUUUUAGCACUAUUUGCCAUAGGGGCCUUCCCUUUCUCCAUGAUGGAGAUGGGUGCCUUAUGGCUCGUUAAGUCCUUGGCUUCCCUCUUGAAGCCAAGUCCAUCCUUAAUUGAGGGGUGUCUACCAAUCAUGUAGGCAUCCCUUGCAAAUUUUAGUUUAUCAAAAUCACUCUUGCUAGUCUUAAGUUGGGCAUUAAGACUAGCCAAUUCAUCAUUCAGUUUGGAAAUUGAAACUAGGUGUUCACUACAAGCAUCAAUGUCAAAAUCUUUACACCUAUUGCAAAUCAUAACAUGUUCUACACAAGAGUUAGAUUUACUAGCUAUUUCUAACUUAGCAUUCAAACCAUCAUUUAUGCUCCUUAAGCUAGAAAUUGUCUCAUGGCAAGAAGAUAGUUCACAAGAAAGCAUUUCAUUUCUUUUAACUUCUAAAGCAUGAGAUUUUUGUGCCUCUACAAAUUUGUCAUGCUCUUCAUAUAAAAGGUCCUCUUGUUUUUCUAAAAGUCUAUCCUUUUCAUUCAAGGCAUCAAUCAAUUCAUUAAUCUUAUCUACUUUAGUUCUAUCCAAUCCCUUGAACAAACUAGAGUAAUCUAUUUCUUCAUCACUAGACUCAUCAUCACUAGAAGAAUCAUAAGUGGCAUUGUUUCGAUUACAUACCUUCUUCUCCUUCGCCAUGAGGCAUGUAUGACGCUCGUUGGGGAAGAGGGAUGACUUGUUGAAGGCGGUGGCGGCGAGUCCUUCAUUGUCGGAGUCGAAUGACGAACAAUCCGAGUCCCACUCCUUGCCAAGGUGUGCCUCGCCCUUAGCCUUUUUAUAUGCCUUCUUCUUCUCCCUCUUAUUCCCCUGUUCCUGGUCAGUAUCAUUAUUGGGGCAGUUAGCGAUAAAAUGACCAAUCUUACCACACUUGAAGCAUGAGCGCUUCCCCUUUGUCUUGGUCUUGCUUGGCUGCCCCUUGUGACCCUUUAGCGCUGUCUUGAAGCGCUUGAUGAUGAGAGCCAUCUCUUCAUCAUUUAGCCCUGCCGCCUCAACUUGUGCCACCUUGAUAGGUAGCGCCUCUUUGCUUCUUGUUGCCUUGAGAGCAAAGGGUUGAUGCUCAUUGAUUGGACCAUUCAAUGCGUCGUCCACGUAUCUCGCCUCCUUGAUCAUCAUUCGCCCGCUCACGAAUUUCCCAAGAACUUCCUCGGGCGACAUCUUGGUGUACCUAGGAUUUUCACGAAUAUUGUUCACCAGAUGUGGAUCAAGUACAGUAAAGGACCUUAGCAUUAGGCGAACGACGUCGUGGUCCGUCCAUCGCGUGCUUCCGUAGCUCCUUAUUUUGUUGAUGAGGGUCUUGAGCCGGUUGUAUGUUUGGGUUGGCUCCUCGCCCCUUAUCAUUGCAAAUCUCCCGAGCUCGCCCUCUACCAACUCCAUCUUGGUGAGCAAGGUGACGUCAUUCCCCUCAUGAGAGAUCUUGAGGGUGUCCCAGAUCUGCUUGGCAUUGUCCAAGCCGCUCACCUUAUGGUACUCGUCCCUGCACAAAGAGGCUAACAACACAGUAGUAGCUUGUGCAUUCUUAUGAAUCUGUUCAUUAAUGAAUAUAGGACUAUCCGAGCUAUCAAAUUUCAUUCCAUUCUCAACAAUCUCCCAUAUACUUGGAUGGAGAGAGAACAGAUGACUACGCAUUUUGUGACUCCAAAAUCCGUAGUCCUCCACAUCAAAGUGUGGAGGUUUGCCAAGAGGGAUGGAAAGCAAAUGUGCAUUUGAGCUAUGCGGAAUACGGGAGUAAUCGAAAGAAAAGUUCGAAUUAACCGUCUUUCGUUUGUCGUAGUCGUUGUCGUCGUUGUCCUUUUGGGAAGAAGUGGACUCAUCGCUGUCGUCGUAGUAGACAAUCUCCUUGAUGCGUCUUGUCUUCUUCUUCUUCCCAUCUUUGCAUUUGUGGCCCGAGCCCGAGUCGGUAGGCUUGUCAUCCUUGGGCUCAUUGACGAAGGACUCCUUCUCCUUAUCAUUGAUCACAAUCCCCUUGCCCUUAGGAUCCAUCUCUUCGGGCGGUUAGUCCUUUUCUUGAAGAGAACGGCUCCGAUACCAAUUGAGAGCACCUAGAGGGGGGUGAAUAGGUGAUCCUAUAAAACUUGAAAUUUAACUCACAAAACUUGAUUAGGAGUUAGCACAAAUAAUGCCAAGUGGCUAGAGAGGAGUCUCAACAAAACAUAAUAACCACAAGAGAUCAAUCACAGAGAUGGCACAGUGGUUUAUCCCGUGGUUCGGCCAAGACCAACGCUUGCCUACUCCACAUUGUGGCGUCCCAACGGACGAGGGUUGCAAUCAACCCCUCUCAAGCGGUCCAAAGACCCACUUGAAUACCACGGUGUUUUGCUUGCUUUACUAUAUCCCGUUUGCGAGGAAUCUCCACACUUUGGAGCCUCUCGCCCUUACACUUAGAUGAUCACAAAGAAGCACGAAGUAAGGGAAGGAUAAGCAACACACUCAAGACAAGAAAUCACAGCAACACCACGCACACAAGUCGCAACAAGAGCUCACAACACAACUCAAUGAGUUCACAACUCAACUAGAGCUCUAACUGCUAUCGCAAGGAAUCAAAAGCGCGGAAUCGAUGUCUUAGUGCUUAGGAAUGCUUAGAGAAUGCUUGGUGUAGUCCUCCAUGUGCCUAGGGGUCCCUUUUAUAGCCCCAAGGCAGCUAGGAGCCAUUGAGAGCAAUCCGGGAAGGCAAUUCUUGCCUUCUGUCGCCUGGCGCACCGGACAGUCCGGUGCACCACCGGACACUGUCCGGUGCGGAUUUCCUUCCUUAUUUGGCGAAGCCGACCGUUGGCAGCCUUGGAGCCGUUGGCGCACCGGACACUGUCCGGUGCACACCGGACAGUCCGGUGCCCCCUCCCGACCGUUGGCUCAGCCACGUGUCUCGCGCAGAUCGCGCAGCCGACCGUUGGCCCGGUUGACCGUUGGCUCACCGAACAGUCCGAUGAAUUAUAGUCGUACGCCGUUAAUUUAUUCCCAAGAGCGGCAAGUUCGCCUGUGCCAGCCUGGCACACCGGACACAGUCGGGUGCACCCAGACAGAGCUGACUUUGGCUGAACAAGGCCAUCUCUUUUCCAAUUCGAUUUCUCCUGUUUCCAGCACUAAGACACAAUACAUUAGUCACUAAAACAAUGUACUAAGUCUGAGAAACAUACCUUUAUACUUGAUUUGUACUUUGUCCACCAUUUGACACUUAGGCACUUGUGUUGGACACUAGAUCACCAAAACACUUAGAAAUGGCCCAACAACACAUUUCCCUUUCAGAGUCAUAUAAUCAUGUUACUUAGUUAAUUCUUCGCUUCACCGCAACAAUGUCGUCGUCGCUCUAUCAUCGUCCAUGUUCGGUCAGGUGAGGUGAGGUGAGGUGUAGUCUCUAAUAUACUUAAAGCACCAGUUUCAACGGUCGUCCUACGCCAUCUUUUUACAAAAAGUCCCUACAUUUCUUUUAAAUCAAUUCAGCGUAAAAUGUUAAAAAGCGGCGCCAGAGACAAUCUUUCACAUGAUCAUGUUGUCCUGCAGAUGGAGUAGUAGGCCUUCACGUGAUCAUGUUGUCCGAUAGAUAGGGUAGCGGGCCAGCGGUUGUUGGUUACUCUCCACCAACAAGAGAGAUAGGAAUCUAUUAGAAGCCAGAGCUCCAGCUUGCUAGUUCGAUUUGAUGGCAGCAACUAACAAGACAAUGACGCUCAGCAUGAUAUGAAGAUUGCCAUCGAUAGGAAGGAUCAUCACCUGCUGUUCGCGGAGGCGAGAAAGGAUGUGGUCGACUUCUUCUCCCUACUCGUCCUACUCGUCGGCGCGACCGUCAAACUGCUGGGGAAUAAGGGCAUGGCCGACAACACCUGACCAUUGAUCUCACAUGCCAUUUUAGCUCUCUCAUUCUCUAGUCUCACCCUGACUAUUUAGGUCUCCUGACUCGCUAAUAUAAACACCAUCCUAUCAUUUGAUCUCGAAUACUUCUUUGUCACAACUCAACUGUCAGAUGAGUACUCCAUUACAACACUUACGUACAAGAGUUCUAUGAGAGCAGGCCUCCGAAAUGAAUGUCGACUAAGUGUUUAUCUACUCAGAUGAAGGACGACAAUCGUGUUCUUCGAAAAUAUCAGCGACAUAACUCCUUACUUCCUCCGCUUCUUUCUAGUGUUUUUUGUUGUGAUUGAGUCGACACAACAACAACAUUGCACUAUUACAACCAGUACGACUAUAUCAACUAACAAUGUCUUCCUUAUAUGUUACUAUUUAUUUUGCUCAUAUUCAUUAUGUUUAAAUCACAUGUGCACCUUUCUAUUGACAUCAAAAAAAUAGUAUCAACUUUCUAGAUUAAAAUGCAACUAAAAGUACCUAAAUUUCUAUCGGUGGGGAUUGAGUGAUUCUUUAAACCGAUUAUUACAUAAGUUAACCACACUAAAAUUAACAUUGGUGAAUUGUGCCAUGAUUUUUUUCUAGUGCAAAAUAGCCAAACCAAGCAACACAUAUGUGGCUAUCGUUACACAUGUGUAAAGGUAUUGCAUCACACCAUUGUCACCCAUGUAUUUGGACAAUACCGAGAGGAAAACCCACUUAUUUAUUGUAUUUUAUCAAGUUUGUCUUGCUUACGUAUAAAUUAUAACCCAACAAAGUAGUCACUAAAUGUCAAAACCAACUAGAUACCAUGUCAUCUCUACCUUAUCUUACUAAUGUUCUUUUUGCAAAAUCCAAAAUUAAUCUUGCACAAGCACAAGGACUGAUAUGUGUAUAAAUAUCUCUUAGAUUAGUAGUUAAUACAUCGCACAUAUUAUUGAGACCAACUAGCAACAUAGAAAGCACAAUAGUGUACCAACAAUGGCAGCCAAAAUAUUUUGCUUCCUUAUGCUCCUUGGUCUUUCUGCAAGUGUUGCUACCGCAACCAUUUUCCCACAAUGCUCACAAGCUCCUAUAGCUUCCCUUCUUCCCCCAUACCUCUCACCAGCGGUGUCUUCAAUGUGUGAAAACCCAAUUGUUCAACCCUACAGGAUCCAACAGGCAAUCGCAACAGGCAUCUUACCAUUAUCACCCUUGUUCCUCCAACAACCGUCAGCCCUAUUACAGCAGUUACCUUUGGUCCAUUUGGUGGCACAAAACAUCAGGGCACAACAACUACAACAACUUGUGCUAGCAAACCUUGCUGCAUACUCUCAGCAACAUCAGUUUCUUCCAUUCAACCAACUGGCUGCAUUGAACUCUGCUGCUUAUUUGCAACAACAAUUACCAUUCAGCCAGCUAGUUGCUGCCUACCCCCAGCAAUUUCUUCCAUUCAACCAACUAGCAGCAUUGAACUCUGCUGCUUAUUUACAGCAGCAACAACUACUACCAUUCAGCCAGCUAGCUGAUGUGAGCCCUGCUGCCUUCUUGACACAACAACAGUUGUUGCCGUUCUACCUGCACGCUAUGCCUAACGCUGGCACCCUCUUACAACUGCAACAAUUGCUGCCAUUCAACCAACUUGCUUUGACAAACUCAACAGUGUUCUACCAACAACCCAUCAUUGGUGGUGCCCUCUUUUAGAUUGCUUAUGAGUUAUAGUUCAAUAAUGAAGUUUUUUGGAUGAUGUUUGUGGCGUCCCAGAAAUAAGAAAGUACAUUUCUAGAUUCUUAUGUGCUUCUAGUCUCCAAAUGUGGUCGAUAGUUAUUUUGCUCUAAGAUCGGGAGUAAUGAGGUAUAAAUCAUCGUUGUGGUGUGCUACUCGGUUAAUUAAGCAUUAACACACACAAACAUGACGAGGAUGGUAUAAUCUCCAAAAAUAUGUACUUUGUUAGGUGGGACCCUAUAGCCAUGCAGAAUGUGCUAUGUUAGGCUUGCCGAUGGAAACGUGUGACGCAUACGUUUUGUGAACCUGUUGAUAUUAUAUGUGCUUUUAUAUUAUCAUAUUUUAUUAAAAUAUUAAUAUUUAUUACUAGUAAGAUAUAACAUUCUAUCUAACUUAAAACUUACCAUAAAUAUUCCAUCAUAACUAGAUUUACCAAACUAAUAAACUAAAUAUACAUAAUAAAUACAAAAUUAACAAGACAUUAAUCAAUAUUUACGAGCUUAAUAAAUUUAAACAUUAUGGUUUGUCGACGAUAAUCAUACUAACUUUCUGUAAUUGCUUGAUUGUAAAUAUGCUUAGACUAAUGCCUCUUUGUUCUACAUGGCAAAUAGGGACCGCUCUAGAAGACUAGGAUGUCCCUUGAGACGAAAAUGUUAUCAUUGGUGUAGACUAAUUUCUAUCGGUCGCUGACUUCACUAUUGUAACCAUUAUCUCUUGGGUAAAUCAUAUACGAUUAUCCAGCCAAAGGGCCCAGAUGAUAAAAAACAAUUUUAAUUGCUAUUUCAGGACAAAUGAAUUAGCAUGGUUCGAAGGAUUAUGACCUUCCCCCAUGACCUUUGUCAUACUGCUUUAGUCUAAUCGACAAAACCAAGAUUAGAUUUCAUCGAAGAAGUUGAUAAGCGAAGCUGUGACGAUGAAAGGAACAUGGUGGCAAUAGGACGAACGACAAUUCCUUUGUCUAAGAAUGACAUCUAGAAGAAAUCUCAGACAAAAUAGAACAUGAAUGGCUUGUCAGUACAACGAAAAUACUGAAACAUGCACCCUUGAAUAUGAAACAUUUAUAUGUAAGAGGAAGGGCUAAAAAACUAAUUUCUCGUGCCUAAUGAUUUUAUUGAGAAUUUUAAGGCGAGACUUAUGGAAAAGGGUUAUACCCAAAAAAAGGAGAGAUUAUUUCGAUACUUAUUAACUUGUUGCCCUUCUAAUGACCAUACAUGUGUUACUUUUUUGGUUGCCUCGCAUGGUCUUAUCGUUCAUCUGAUGAAUGUUAAGACUUCUUUCCUAAAUGGAGAGCUUAAGGAACAGAUCUACAUUGACUAGCUUGGUGGUUUUAUAUCAAAUGAUAAAGAGAAAAAGGUGUUUAAAAUAUUACAAUUGUUUGGUUUAAAACAAGCACUAAAGCACAUAAGAAAUUUGGUAAAGUUCUGACUUUGGCUAAAUUUGUUGUAAAUGAAACUGAUAAAUGUGUCCAUUACCGAUUUGACAGGGGCGAAGGUAUGACCCUUUUUAUAUGUGGACAAAAUAUUAACCUUUUGUAACGAUGUUAAUAUGAUCGAGGAAGUAAAGUACUUUUUGUCUAGUAACUUUGAAAUAAACAAUCUGGGAGAGGCUAAUGUUGUUCUUAACAAAGAGAUAUUGAGAGAAGAAGGAAAUACGGAGUUACUCUUGUGCAAUCCUAUUAGGUUGAAAAGUCGCCGAGUCACUUUGGAUAUAGUGAUUACACGUCUCGUCCAACAACUUAUGAUCCAAGCGUGCUAUUAUGGAAAAAUCAUAUUAUCGCAUAUGAUCAAUUGAGAUACUGUCAAAUCAUGGUCUUCUCAUAUAUUUGGCUAGCCCAGCGAUGUCUGAUAUCUCAUUUGUUAUGAGCAAACUCAGUCAGUUUGUAUCCAAUCUAGGGGAGGAUCAUGGUAUGCCCUAGAGAGGGUAUUGCACUUUCUCAAAGGGACUAUGAGUAAUGGCAUUUAUUACACUAGGCACCUAAGAGUACUAGAGUGUUAUAGUGAUGCAAAUAGGAUAUCUGAUGUUGAUUAGGUUUAAGCCACAAGUAGACUUGUGUGCUUUCUUGGAGGUGUGAUUGUUUCAUGGAAGUCUUGUAAGUAGACCAUCUUAACAAGGUCAACAAUAGAAGUAGAACUCACAAUAUUAGAUACUACCAAAGUUGAAGUUGAGUGGCUCCAUGAACUCCUUAUGGAUUUAGCAGUAGUUGAAAAAUCAAUACUGGUUAUCUCUAUGAGAUACAAUAAUCAAACAUUUGUAAUCAAAGUAAAUAGUCCUAAAGUUAACAUGAUGUCUACAAAGCACGUAAAAUGGUUGAAACUGUUAAAACACUAAGAAACUCUAGAUUAAUUAUGUUGGACUAUAUCCAUACAUCUAAGAAUUUGGUAUGCCACUUUAUAGAAGAUUUGUCACAUAAUAUGAUUCAAGGUGCAUCGAGGAAUAUAGGCUUGAGACCCACUUAAUGUCAAUCCAUAGUGGUAGCAUUUUCUAUGUGAUUGGAGAUCUCAUGAAGUAGAAUGGUGAAACAAGGUAGAGAAUGACUGAUGGAGAGACUCCUUAAAUAAAAUCUUGGUAAUUUGAGAUGCACAUUUCUCAUUUGAUGUAUUGUAGGCGAACUAAAAUCUUAAUAUAAUUUGAGUGACUUAUCUAAGUAGGGAUGUUAUCUUACAGAACAUCCUAGAAAGAACACACCUAUAUGAGUUUGAAUGUUAGUCAUAGUCUAUCAUGUGUGGGUAAUCUUUAUAUACUCAUGAAAGGCCUCGAAGUUUGACUUAUACAGUUCAAACCAAGGGGGUGCUUGUAACAGUCUAGUACCAGAUAAGAACUUUGGUGAUACUCACUUAACACAAAAAUGUCAAUUCAAGGCAUAGUUCAUUGUUUAGAUGUGAAUGUGUAAUCCCUAUUUUAGAUGGAUGGUCAACUUAACAGCCUCCACCAAAACCCUGAUAUCUCAAAGAGUAGUGGAUUUGAGUUUGUCUAAUAUGUGGCUUAGAAUUUGGUGGGGAUUGUUAAUAUUUUAUGGGCUUGGCCCAUUUAAAGUAUUUAAUACUUUUGAAAGCCAAGAUUAAACAAACUAUGUAUGAUCCUUUAUCACUGUAUAGAUGGUUGAUGGGAUGGUUACAUUGUUUAUAUAGAUGGACCUAUCUGUAUUCAUUGAGUGGUUGAGAAAAAGGUAAAGGCGCGUCACACCCACGUGUGUGCCACCUCCACCGAGACGAUGUGUGGCGUGGCAAGGUGAGGCAUGGCAUGGUGCAGCACGGUUGCAGUCAUGGUCGUGGCGCGGUGUAGCGUUGUUGUGGAUAGAUAGAUAAACUAUUGUUGUAGUUAGAGCACAUGAGUUUUUGAAUGUAACACUAGAAUCUUCGCAUGUUAACUUAAUUAAGAACUUAUAUCUUGAUGACAUAGAGUUACCUGACCAUUGAUCUCACAUGCCCGUUUAGCUCUCUCGUUCUCUGGUAUCACCCUGUCUAUUUAGGUCUCCUUACUCGCCAAUAUAAACAUCAUCCUAUCAUUUGCUCUCGAUUCACUUCUGUCACUACUCAACUGUCAGAUGUGUGGCAGAACCUCCCAAGUUAUUGGGCCCACAUGCACCUGCCCUUGUCUCAAAGACCUCAGACGACUAUGCAUGUGCACCAGAUAACUUAACAGGAUCCGUCUGAGUGUCCCAAGGACCCCGGAUAAACCACUUACAACCAGGACCACAAGAUUAAGUAAACACAAAUCACACACUAACGUUUAGCAGCGGAAUUUCUUUAUUACAAAAAACUUACAAGUUACACCAAAUUUACAUUAUGUUUAUCGGAGUGGUUACAAAAGUGUUUCAAAGGAAUAAACUUUGAAGUGUUAUAAAUUAUUUAUAAGUUUGAAAUAUAUGCUAGCUUAGUGACAAUCCUCAACAAGAAGUAUAAUAGAGGUACUUAGACUUAUAAGAAGGUCGUGCCCACCGGCGGUUAACACCAUCCAUAGCAGCACAAACCUAGUACCUGCAACAACAUGGGUUCGAAAACCCUUAGUACGAAGUGUACGUUCGCAAGUCUUACCCGUCUAAGGAAAAAGACUCUCAAGGAUAUGCUGGCUAUUGGGAAUCAAGGUAAAGCUUAUCAAGAAUCAAAGAUUGUUUGCAGAAAAGCUUACUAUAAGUGAAUCCUUAAAAAAUCAUUUUACUUGUCAGGUUAAGUAAAGUUACCUGCAUCUAGAGUUCUUUCUAUCCUAGUUCAAUCACUUGGCCUAUACUAGCUGUCUUUUUAUCAUCCCAUCAGUUCACUGGAUUGCUACGUGUAAGUCAGUGACCAAGUCUUCAUGUCCGAGAAGUAACGGCGAUCCGAAUCGAUUAAUACUCAGCUAAGGAUCUCUAAUCACACGACAUAUGUAGCACUUAACCCUUGCAUAUGUCAACUCGCCACUGGGUUUCUCAAGACCAGACCGGGUUCACGCUAACCGAGAGCACAGAUACACCACCGUCCAGCCUCUUGCCACGGAGGAUACACACUACUCUCGCCAUCUCUCCACUCCCAUUGCGUGUUGGCCUUUCUGGUAUUGGUCUGCCCGAGGCAAAGCUUACCCAUGACGAGGCAUGUGACUAGUUAAAGGGUCCUCGGUCAGCAGACCCACAUCGGUACGGUCCUUAAUCGACUCAGAUGGAGACACUACACCGAGACUCCCUUCUUGUGCAAGUCAACUGCCCGGUCUCAGCUUUAUUAUUUAAAACCCAAAGUUUGGUACUUGGCAGAAGUACAUCUUUUCAGAUGUUGAACCCAUCAAGGCCCUGAUGGAUCCACCAUCAUAAGUUUUUCUUUGUAAAAAUUCCCAUCCAAUCUGAAGCAUCACCUUUUUUUGUAAAACAAAACAUUUUGUUUCUCUAAAGCAAUGCUAAGCAUCAUAAAAUCCUUUUCAUAAAAGGGAUAUCAAGGGUAAUCAAUUUUUCAAGGAAGAAAAUGCAUCAAUUGUUUAGCACACAACUUCUAUCACCUAAUGCAUCAAACAAGGCGAUAAAGAUUUUAAAACAGCAAGGAGGUGGCAAAUGCACUGGGACUUGCCUAGAUAACACUAGGUUAGUGUUGUUAGGUGGCAACCAGCCUUUUGUGUUGGCACUUAUUCAGUCUGCCAUCUUCAGGUUGAUCCCCCAGCAUCACCUUGGGGAGAAGCCCACGCUUAACAUCAUCUUGUGGUCGACUCAGCUCUGGUCCUCCAUAUCACGUGAUCAACUAGCGUACCUCAUAAGAUGCACGAUGCACAUGUAUGAGUAUCAAGACGAAUAUCGCAAGAUAAUAUUACGAUUUUACAGAAUGAAGAAUUAAACACUUAAUGGUAAAGCAUCACGACAUUUCAUAGGCAACCCGCAUGGAUCUAACGAUAUCACACAACGUAAUAUAACUAAACAAUUCAAAUCCGCGAGGACGACGACGAAUCCAGUCCGAGCAAUCCACCGAAUACUCGAUGAACGUCGCAUGGAUCUUACUUCAUCAAAGCAAAGGUCACCACAAAAACAUAACCUUAACAGUCUAACGUAUUUAUACAAUCUUAGUACAUAGUUUCUUAGAUUUCGAUUAAAAUCGGCUCACCGACACUACUCGUUUCCAAAUAAUUUUAAGCUACGACCCACAUUUAUCCCCCGAAUAUCGACUUAAGUGAUCAGCAUUCGUCUAUGACACCUAGCCGAUUAACAACAUAAUACGGCACUAUUAAAGCAAAUCACUACUUCACCACUACUAUUCAAGUAGAAACUAUUGGCUGGCUGAUUAAAAUCCCAAACCUAUUUUACAUGUUAUGAACUAGCCAAAAUAUAACAUAUAUAUCUAUCAAUAUCUUCAACAUAAUUAACACCCCAAGCCUAUGCUUCAUCACACAAAGACGAAGUGUCAACUCUACAUUUAUGAGCAUCGCCACAUACUACAUGUGAUACAUUUUAACAAUCAUUUAAUAUAACCACACGCACCUGUGCAACUAACAAAAGAAUUCGUCGUGACCAACAAACUAACUCAAUCUACUCCAUGAGUCGGCUAGCGGGAGUAGUGAAAUAGCUCACCACACCAUAAACGACUCGGAUCUGCGAAAUCGACGAUGAAUCCUAGCUCAAGCAUUUCAUUAGACAUUUGGCAAGUGUUGCGUUGAACUACGGUUUCUUUUCCGCACAAAACCCUGGGAUUGCUUUCCUUAAAUCAGGCGCCCAAACUCACGACAUCGACCAAUUCACGGGUACGCAUGGAACAGUGGCGACAACGAGUCAAUGAUAGUUGACCAAACUUUACAUUACCUCGAGCAGUUGGCGAAUGCUGCGGCACGGAAGCAGUAGCGUGCGCAUAAAGGCAGUGAAUGUGGCGAGGGCCCGGUUUGGACAUUUCGUUGAGCGCCUAGCUUGUACCGACGGCGCAGGUGCUGGGCCGAGAGACAACGACAAAAUCCGAUUAUCUAUACUACCUAUUAAGGCUCUAAGGGGUAGGCUGCCUCUGCUUGUUCUGCCUUCCGACGAUCUCAACCGUCCAAUACGCUCUAGAGUCUCUCAGCCGUCCGAUGCGCGCACUCUCACCCCCCACGCAUCGCCCCGCCCCCACCCGAUCGUCCAACCGUGCGCUACCCUAGCUUUGCCUCUACACUCCUCCCGCCGCCUCCUACCCUCCUCCGCGCGACGGCGCGAGCCGCAGCCGGCCCCCGCUCGAGUUGUCCACGAAUCCCACCGCUUGACGCCGUCCAUGCCGCGCCGCACGCCCGCAACCGCCCGCGAAUCCCGCCGCGACCCGCACGCCGUCCCUACGCCCGCCGCUAAACCCCCGUCGUGAAAUGCCCGCACGCACACCUGCUAGCCGCUGCGCACGCCCGCCGCGCGAUGCCGUCCAUGCCGCACCGCACGCCCGCAACGGCCGCCUCCCUACGCGCUUGGGAACCGCCCGCACAGCCCGCCGCGACCCGCACGCCCACGCGCCCAAAUCCCGUCAUGGUCUAGGGCUUCCCCACAACGCCCUCCUUCCCUGCGGCCGUAGAGGCUCCCGCGGCCCCCGUGGCGUGCGCCAGGUGCGGCGCGGACGGGUGCACGGCGGCCGGCUGCUGCGAGCUCGUCGCCGGGUCCAGCAGCGACAGCGACGACGCAGGGUGCUUCGGGACCCGCACCAACGGCGGCGGCCUAGGCCUAGGCCUAGGCGCGGGCAAGCGGAGAGGGAGGGGAGGGGGAGGAAGGUGAGCCAGUACAGGGGCGUGCGGUCCAAUUUUUGGGUAAAUUUCUGGGUCUUCAUCGUGUAUUUUAUGGUUCGUUGAUGGGUUUCCUGAUGGUUGAUGCACGCCUGCUUGGUGGAGGCGGGAAUGGUGAUCGAUGAUUCGUUGGGUGGGUGGGGGGACUGGCUGACAGCUGACAGCUGACUGUGUAUUGUGGUUUGGAUGGCAGGUUUAGCGUCAGUAAUAGCUAGGAUUAGGGUUCAGGCGAUGCUAAGAUUUUGGGGCGCCAAUUGCAGAAUCACUGGAUUGAUUCAUCUUUUAGGGGUUUCCUCGUACUCGGAGUACGAGGGCACCGUUUUAGUUGAAUGUUGCUCUGGUGUCUAAGCGCCAGGUAGUCAAUUUUGCAGUUUCAGUUGGGGAUUGUACGCUGGCAUCAGUUUUUACCUUCUACUCGUUUCAUCUCUUAACAACUUUGUGGUUUGCAGUGGGCACAACAAUUUGUUGCUGCAAACUCUUGUGCUCCGUGGGGCGUGGGCUGUGCAGCAGUUGUGCAGUUUAAUUGUUCUGUUUAUCAUAAUACACAAGGAGUUAGUGUUUGAGCAGAUGUCAAGAUGUUAAUUGUUUAGCAGAUCUCUAGAGGUAAGGGGUUUAUUUAUUUGUUUUUGUUGAACAUAGGGUUUAAGCAGGUCUAAGACUUCAGAUUUUGUGUGGUGACAGUCUUAGGGAUUGCUAAUUUGCUACUAAGAUCGGGAUGCCCACAAUUGUAAUUGUUUUUCGAUCAGAUACUGUUGGUUUUGCAUGGUCCUUGUAUGAGGAUUACUUCUCUAUGACAUUUUUUCUUCUGCAGAAUAAUCUGUCCUUGAAAUAGUGGUGAUAUGUAUUUCUUUUCAGUGCUGUUUUUGUAACUGUGUGAUGGUUAAUCCAUUGGAUUCAUAUGUUCUUGUGUGUCAUAUUUAGGUUGUGUUGGAGGAAUUUAAAACCCUAGCCUAUUGAGUGAGCUGAGUCCUGAGUGUUACAUGUAUUAGAAUUAGGCUCAUAACACUUGUCAUGGCUAGAAAAUUUAGAUCCAGUCUAAAGUUUUUAUUACGGAUCUCACUACUCUAGCAUGGGAAUCGUUCUUCAUUACAUGCUUAGGCUCGAGCCAUUUACAUCUCUGUAUCUAAAUUUUCAGGUUGUCAUUUUGCUCAUAGCUAUCACUGUUUCCUUAAAAUUCGAGCACAUAGCUAUUAUUUUCAAAACAUUAUUCAUGAAUUUGUCAAAACAUAAUUUCUCUUGUUGUAUUUCACCACAGUUCAAAAUAAGGGAUCUUAUCAUAUUAUUUACAUUUAUGUCUGUCUGACACUUGUGCAGGGUGGCAAGUUUGACCAUGCAGAUCAUUUGUUCCAAAGCAUUGAGAGCGCUUACAUAAAUAGCUUAUCAAAUACAAGUGACGUCAAAGAGCUUAUUCCAGAAUUCUUUUACAUGCCCGAGUUUCUUGAAAAUUCAAAUUCAUAUCAUCUUGGUGUCAAGCAGGAUGGGGAACCUAUAGGCGAUGUUGCUCUCCCUCCAUGGGCAAAGGUAACAGUUCCUCUUGAUGUUAGUUAUAUUUGUAAUAAUAGUUUUCUUGAGGAUGGAUUGUUUGUCUACCAGGAUAGUUCUGUUGCUUUUCUAAUGACAGUUAAUUUAGCUUUACAACUGUGUUAGUAAAAACCUUACUAUUCUCAGAUACACAGGGUAUAUCUAGCUUUCACAUACAUGUUACAUUUCCUAUCCCAUCUAUCAACUACAGACGGCAAGAAGUUUGUUGACUGCUUGAAGGAUCAGAAUAUCAUGCCUGGCAUCAAGGUUGACAAGGUAUGCAUGCCAUGAUCUUAUAACAUCAUGUUAGCCCACAAUUUGCUUCUAUCAUUAUGAUUCUCACUGCCUGAUUGCUUUGGUUUCAUGAAUCAGGGUUUGGUUCCAUUGCCUGGAUCCAACAAUGAAUCAUGGUGCCAAGGUCUUGAUGGUUUGGCUUCAAGGUGUGCUGAGUACUAUAAGCAGGGGGCGCGCUUCGCAAAGUGGUCUGUUCAUACUUCCCUUAUUCAUGUGUCAACUAAUCUUAUUUGUGCUUCCUUUCUAAAGUUGCUAUGAUUAUCGAUCUUCUCUAGGAGGACUGUUGCUAGCAUCCCUUGUGGUCCAUCUUCAUUAGCAGUCAAGGAAGCAGCAUGGGGACUUGCUCGAUAUGCUGCUAUUGCUCAGGUAACAAAAUAAACUGCAACUGUGGAAACAUCUUGCAAUAAUUUUUUGAUGACUCAUGGAGCUUUGGUGAAGAACCUAUCUGCAUUCGUAUGGGCACGCAUUAGUCGUGCUGCAGUUACUGUGGAUAGAAAGACGUAUUUUAAUGGGGCUCAGGAUUUGUUUGUUGUUCAACCUGAGGUGUUUAUAAACAUCUAAUACCCCCUGUUCCAAACUAUACUAUGUUUUGACUUUUAUAGAUUCAUAGCUUUGUUGUGUUCUUAGAUAUACACUAUGUCUAUAAUAGUAUAAUCUAUAUAUAUAUCUAUACUACCUAUUAAGGCUCUAAGGGGUAGGCUGCCUCUGUUUGGUUCUGCCUUCCGACGAUCUCAACCGUCCAAUACACUUUAGAGUCUCUCAGCCGUCCGAUGCGCACGCUCUCACCCCCACGCAUCGCCCCGCCCCCAGAUCCCGCAUCCCCCACGGAUCCCGCAGCCGCGCCGCUGUCGCUCCCUCCCGUGCUCCCUUCGCGCCCGCCCAUGGAUCUCCGACAUCGAGCGCUGCCGCCGCUGCCUCGCCUCGGCAAACCCGGCUCCAGGGCGACAGCUCCCGCCGGUGGGACCUCGUGUUCAGCGUCGUGAAGCCGUCCGUGAUCCAGCUGCGGGGGCCCACCAAGGUCAGUGUCUUCAUCGCCAGCAACGACGGCAGCGCUCGCUCCCUCCGUACCAUCCAAUGGCCCGCGUUCGUCCCCUGCCCCGGCAACCCAGCUUAACCCUAGCUCGCUCCCUCCGUAGCCGCCUCUUCCUGCUUCGCUCCUCUCGCGUAGCAACCGCUCCCUCCACUCCCGAGAUCGUGGCCCGACGCCAUGCCGCUCCCGAGACCGCGCCACAAAGCCGCGGAACGUCCUCACCGAUGCACCGACGCGCCCCCGAGCCUGCUUCCCGACGCCACCCUCACACAACCUGCCCCCUGUCACCCUCUGGACGGGACGACACAGGUCUGGAGAAGGGUCCAGAAACCGGCGCGAGUCCACCGCGAAUCCACACGAUCGAUGUCGUCCUCCCGCUCGUUUCGCCGUCGACCUUUCUCCAGUGGUUGAGUGCGACAGGGUUGGUGGCUAGGUCGUGCGAUGGCGAAAUCGAGUCCAGAGUAGCAGAGCAAGGCUGGUCCCAGCGGGCUGCCGGUGUUGUGACCUGCGUGCGUGGUCGUACGCCUGGCCGUUGUGCCGCUAGCUGCGGCGGGCGGGUGGCUGGCGGCGUCGCAUGGCGGACCCAACGCCCAUACAACCUCCAGGGAUUGCUUCCUCCCCAUGGCGUGGAUCUAGAUGGUCUUCACGGCAGAGGAGGAAGAGGUGUCACAGCAGCUUCCGAAGACAUCGUCGACGUCCCUUACCACCUCGAUUGGCGAUGGCAUCGACAGCCCCCAGCCACUGCCCGCGCUAACGGUGGCGUGGACCUCACUGUCUUCAAGCAGUUCGAGCGGAUGGUGUGUUGGCUUCUGCAUGCUUCGUGUUUUCGAAUACGUUGCUAAGCUCAGCAUUGGUUGGUGAUGGUUUUGGUUUGCCAUCUUAAAGAAUCCUGAGCCUGCCAAUGGCGACGACGAUGGAGCUUUGUCACUGCCAGAGACAGGAUUGGGGCUUAGCUUGAAUACUGACGGGGUGCUCAAGGCGUGGUGUGCAGAGGCUCUGCGUUUGCUGAUGGCAAUGGGCCUGACUUGCCAUUGUCCCCUGCUCAUGUGGUAGUAAGUAUUUCCAGCUUAUCUAAAAAUUAUAAAAGAUCUUACAUUUCCAGUUAACAAUUAAAGAUGGCUAGAGCUCUUGGAACCCUGAGUUAUACCUGCUAUUAGUUCAUAUCGUCUGGUAAGUAGAAUCUAUUUCACUUCAGUAGAAGUACAGAUCGUCUGUUGUUUUCUAUCAGCAGUGAUCAGAAAAACUUGGCAUGCAUUACUUUGUUUCGGUCCCUUCGCAUUUCUUGUCAAUGGCAGAUUUCUCCCAGAAGAAAAUCUGUGUCUGAAAUUUGCUAAUAUGAAAUAGUACAGUAUGCCCACCAGUACUUGACUUUACUGACUCAAUGGGCCAGGCAGAAGGAAAUUCCAAUUGGUUGUUUUCUUUGAGUUGAAUCAUUAUAACAAACUUAGCCCUCAUUAUGAUGUAUCUGCAGUUUUUGAAUUCAAUUGAAGUAAAAGGAAAUAUCAUAGUUUGGUCCUUUCGUGAAAUUUUUUUGUCCAAUUUUUUGUCCUUGUAGGUUUUUACGUUGCAUUAGAAAACAUUGUAGGCAACUGAUUUUCUAACAUGUCCCUAUCAGAACUUCCUCCGAGACCAUUUCUUGAGAUCUUGGCACGAGAACUACGACGACGACGACUGGUAAUGUGAUUCUUGCGCCUUCGUUUUUCCCCUGUUUAGACUUUAGAGUGAAUUAGUAUCAUUUUGCUUUUUCCUUUCACCUGAUUGGCAGGGUCUUAGAUUAUUCAACAUUGAUAUGAUUAGGGAGCACCCCCCUUGUCAAGCAACUCACACCAUUACAAGAUCUACACGACAUGGCAUCUGCAUCGCCAAGGCCUCGCUCAACUCAGCGCGGUGAGUAGCACAUGAACAAAAGUGCCCUUUUACCAGUUUUUUAUCAGGGUGCAAUUCUGGAAGCUCAUUGUUUCUAUAAAGAAUUCAAGCUCACUGCAGUUUACUUUGUGUAACAGGAAAGGUGCAUCGAUGACAACCCGGUUCUAUUGUAACAAGAUCAGUGUGGUCCUGGUUGCUUGAUGCUUGUUUGGUUUAAUUGUAUAGCAAAAUUAGGUGUUGACUGCCGAUACCUGGAGAUGUGACACCGCCAGAUGUGUCGCUCAGGCCAGUCACACUGCUCUGCUGUUUUUCAAAGAACAACCUCUUGCUGCGUCAUCAAGGGGUAGACCAGUCUCUGAUGAUUCGUGUAAGAAUCCUUGGGAGAAAGCAAGUGGUCCUGGAAAUGUUACCAGGACAUCUCUGGCCCCACAAGGGCUGCAAGCACAAGUAGGUAUUUAUGUGUUUCACUGAGGAGUGCUACUCAUACCCACGAUGGGAUUUUUUAACCUUAGUCUAAAAUUCGCUCCCAUGGGCAGUCGAACUCAGGACACUGAGGAGUGCUACUCAUACCACAACCAAAACCAAGUCAGCCCUUUCGCUAUACUCUUAAAGGGUUUCUUCAUUUUUUGUUUUCAAUGUUGAUUAUCAUACCUAAAAUGAAAAGAAUGUAGAUUAUGGUCGUAUGGCUGAAAUACUCGUUCGGAGGGCAGGCUCUACUGAUGAAUUCACUCGGUUGACAUCUAUCACAUGGGUAAUUUGUCUUUCAUGUUUUCCUGUGAUCUUAAAACCUAGAAUCUAGACUGCAGAAGCUGGUUUAGUAUUUGUAAGAAUGCUUGACUUAUGACUUAUCCUUUGAAGUGUAGAUCAACGAGUUUGUGAAGCUUGGUGGGGAACAACUUGUUCCCUACUAUGCAGAUAUAUUGGGCGCUGUCUUACCAUGCAUAUCUGACGAGGAGGAGAAAAUCCGAGUGGUACUUUCCCAUCAUGAUUCAUACACUUACUGCAAUGUGAACUGCGUGGUGUGUGCAUGUUCAGGAAUAGCAUUUACUUUAGUUACUGAUUUGUUUGCAAGGUUGCACGCGAAACAAAUGAGGAACUCCGUGCUAUAAAAGCUGAUCCAGCUGAGGGAUUUGAUAUCGGAGCAAUUCUUUCAAUCGCAAAAAGGUUCUCUAUAAAGUCCCUUGGAAAUGAAACUAUGUAGAACUGUUAGGCAUCUAUCUGUAUGCUCUGCCUAUGCUGGUAUUUGAUAAUUAUAUCAACAUGAAAUUUGUGACAAGGCAUUGACCUUUUGUCCUUCAUUUCCAGAGAAUUGAACAGUGAACAUGAGGCCACUCGAAUCGAAGCAUUGCAUUGGUUCUUCACUUUGCUGGAUCGAUAUUGUGCUGAGGUACUAAAAGAGCGAUGGUUUUUGGGCUGCAUUUUGAUAAAUUUCAACAUGUAUCUAAAUGUUUUUAAGCUUUUACAUUGCUGUGAUUUUAUUUUGUCAACUUAGAGUUGGACAUAUGAGAGUUGCAAUUCAUUUAGAUUAACACAAGUCUAUUUGGACCUAUGGUUUAUUUACAUAUUUUCUGGAACAGUUCUUGGCUUACCUGAACGAUAUUUUUGAUCCACUCCUAAAUGCACUUUCUGAUCCUUCGGACGCGGUGAGUUUUCUUUGAAAAGCCUUCCAAACUGCUCUGCUUGUUUCUAGAAUUUGAAACUACAUCCUGUUGUGGGCUGUGAUUAGCUGAUAUUAUAUUGUGCUAUUUGUAUGCGAUGACUUAUAAAGUUAUAGUUUAGUACCAUUUCACAACUCAAUCAAGGUUUGGAUCUAUUUGGAGGGCACAAGCUGCAACUGUUGGGCCUGGUACUGUAGAACCACACCCCAGCACCAUUGGAGUAAUAAUCUUAGAUGAUAAGUUAGAUUCACAUAAUCUCUACUAUAUUUAAAUGGGAAUAAUCUCUCUUCGUGCGUCGCCACGCGUCUCCGCUCCUCCCGCCUGCCUAGCUGAAUUAAUCAAAAAAGGAGAAAAGGAAGAUGGCUCCAGGAUUCAAACCUGGACUGCAAGGACCAAAGCCACGCCCCUUAACCACUGCAUAUAAUGUUCCUUUGUGUUACAGAAGGAUAGAUAUUAUAAUUAAAAGGUAGAUAUUAUCACUACACCUUUAAAGCUUGUGCAAAAAAGAUGCGGGAUGAAAGAUUCGAACCCUGGUCUCUCAAGAAGGGUACAAAGACUUCGCCUGCUAACCAAUACACCUCAUGUUCUGUUAUGUUUUACAAAGGAUCAAUAAUUUUAAUAUAAUAAUACGUAUAAACAGCGCCUGCCCAGGGUGGGUGGUUGCCAUGCUCGUAGCGAUCGGCAGACUGGAUGUUCGCUGUACGUGCAAGGAACAACCUCCAACCUGACCAGUCACAGCAUUGAAGAGAACUGUGACUAUUUCUGCUGGCCCUUGAUGACAGUUCCCCCCCCAGUUAUUUGCUACAAGAAAACCUUUUUUCAGCAGAGUAGCUUUUGGACACCUUGUAUAUGCCUUCAAUUAAAGCGUUUGAAACUCUUUGCAGCCUGCUCACGAGAAAAUCGGUGUCGUUGAUUCCCAAUGGAUUGUACACCAAGUGAUUCCUUCUCUCGGGAACCAGGUAAGGAAGAAAAAAAAGAAACAAAUGUGUACAAUCAGAUUCUACUGUAGCGCCUGAAUAGCAUCUUCCAAAUGCACAGGGGCAGUCGGAGAAUGGGAGGGCGCCAUGGGAAGGGGUAUGAAUCUGACGACUUUGAUAGAUAAUCUCAUGAUGUUUUGUGAGUGUGUGAGGUGCUGUGAAUGAUCUUUAUCUUGGUUGCUGUGUAUGCAGUUAAGAGAGCGUUGCCGGAAAGAGUGGGGGCUUUUCCAGACAAGAAUGGCAGAAGCUGAGAAAGCAUAUUACGAGAUGAUGGGGAUUACACCUCCGAAUGUAAUAUUUGUCUCCUAGGAUAAAAGUUUCAACCCACAUUUUUUUCCUUUGUGUCCAGCAGUGGCUCUUCGAAUAGAGUUAGAUAUUGAUGAAUGGUACAAGUAGAUCAUACGUGACGAUAUAUAUAUAUAUAUAUAUAUAUAGAUCCUUUGAUCCUUCUUCCUGUGUAUUUAUCGUGGGCUGUUCUCACUAGGGUUCUGGUGAAAUGAGAAUGAUAUGUCUGUUCAGUUUAGAGCUUAUAUUCUCUGAACAUGAACAUUCAGAAUCGACAGCAUUGUGCGCACACGAAAAUUCUGCAGAAAACAUUUCAGACGGACAAGGAUGGCCAAAGUAUGACACUUCAUUGUAUACUAGGUGAAUGCCCGUGCGUUGCUACAGAGCGAACAUGUUACAAUAAGAUACAUUAAAAUUCAAAAUACUAAUUACUAUUUUAUGUUCUUAUUAACAUAUUUUAAAAGUUAAGAUAUUUUACAUACCUUAAAAUUCCUACACAUCAAACAAAUCCAUCAUGUGCAGUAAAAUGCAAUAGAGAAGCAUGCAGAUACUGAUGAGGGACGCAGAUUUUUUGGGGACAAAAUGAGGGAGCUGUUGGAGCAUAGAUAAUCACUAGGUAGGGGCUCGUGCGAUGCCACGGAACAUAAAUCUCGAUUUGUAUAUCAGCUAUGCUUCCUGUGAAGCAAGGAAGCGAACGCAAGCCAGCCUUUUGUAUUAGUGCAUUAUGUUCAGUUCUUACUUGAUCAUCCCGUGUUCUCGUGUGUGCCAUUGCCGAGUGGCAAGCUCAACACUGGUAUUGUUGUCUUGUCUCAAAUGAAGUCCGCUUCCACAAGUUAAUCGGAAAUCUUCAUGGGUGAUAGCUGUGUCAGAUUCUUCCGCGCAUAGGGCAAGUAAUGCAAGUGAUAGCUGUGUCAGUUUACCCCCAUUUUUUGGGCAUCUCAAAUGAAGUCCAUUGGAGGUUCGCAAUUUAUGUUCCGUGGCAUCGCACGGGCACCUACCUAGUUAUUGUAGACGAGGAGGACAUGGAAAAUCCUGAGCGAGCACCAGCGUGGAGCUGGGGACCGAGCAGAGGAGGUCUAGGCUAGAGUGGCGCCCAAACACACGACCAUGCAAUCGGUAAGGACUGGGAGCUCAUUUUCGGAUCUGGGCGACAGCGCAGUCCAAGACGGCUAUGACCAGGAACCGAGCUGCAGGACGAGGUCAAACGGAGACCAGAGCUGGCUCACAACGAAGUUGGAGUCGACGACCGGCGACAAAGGAAAUAGGGGGGCGCUCCUCCGACAACUAAAGCCCACGCCGGACCGAGCAGAGAGCGCAGGACCACGGCAAAGUGAGCGCUCCCACGAAAGAACACAACCACACAGACGCGGCCACCGGUGAGGAACCUCGACGUUGAAGCUGGAGUAAGCGAGGGCGUCCGAUCUGCAGAAACUGAGAAGGGGAAAAAUGGAGAAGGGUCGACGGCGUCCUGCGCAGGGAGAAAGCGCGCGCGACCAGGGACUCGGGCAACGCAGUGACUGCGAUCUGUAGACCGGCCCAACAGCGAGGACAAGCAGAGAGGGGCGAGCUGGAGCAGAGGGCAGGGCCGAGCUCGGCGUUGGGGGCGAGUGCCGGCCAUGGAAGAUGAGCAGUCGGCGCUGGGGAGCAGGGAGAUGGGAACUCGAGCUGGGGAAAGGGACUCGGCGACCUCAAUCACCAGGAGGCGCGGCCAAGUGAAAUACGAGCAGGGGCCAGGAGCGCGCGGAGGGAGAGGAAGAAAGCUGAGCGCCAUGGAGACGGGCACGGCAGGGAGGAGCGCCGGCAGAGGAGGAGCUCGGCGCGCAGAGGGGCGAGCCAGGGAGCUCCGGCCGGGCGCAGUCCGAGCAGGGUCUAGGGGCGUGUGGAGGAGAAGCCGGGGAGGAGCGCCGGCGAGCUCGCGGCACCAGGGAGCAGGGCGCGCGGCGAGCAGCAGAUGAUGGAAGUUGCCGCAGGGAGAAGCCAAGGUGAGGGCGCGUGAGGAAGAAGGAAAUUGUGGCUGGGCGUCGAUGGUGAGAAGGGAGGAUAAGGACGGCUGAAGCCCAAGCGGUGGAGAGAUAUUUUUCCUUUUCUCCCUUUUCUUUCUUUUAAUUAGGGAAUACACUGCUAACCGAAUUUAAGAAUUAAACGAGACUAAAAUGGAUCAAUUUAUGAUUUUAGGAUUAAGAUUUUAGGGGGUCUAAAAGAUGUAUAAAAGGAUCAGCCAAAAACGAGAUCGACAACAAUAUUUAGACAGGUUUUGAUGUGGUGAAUACUCCCGGUGUCAAUGAAUUCUUACCCUUUAUUUAUAUUUGAAGAUUUAUAUCGAGACAAGAAACAAAUGGACCAAUCCAAAAUGAUAUGGACGACGAUAUUUGAGACUAUUUGAGACUGCAUUAAUUUAGUUGAAAUCGGAUAAAAAUUUAUCCGAUAUCUAAACAUGGUUGAUUUUAUUAUCUUACAGAGUGUGCUGAAUAAUAAAUUAGAUCAUAACCUCGCGCACGAUUUUUCUCGGACAAUGUGUGAUUCAGAUUAUUUUGCCCCGAACAUUUUUUUGUCGUCGAGUUCUACUUAAUCUGUUUGAGAGGAAAUCGGAGGACUGAACUAAAUUUCCAAAUUCGUAUUCGCUUACUGAUGAAUUUUAAAUAGGCACAUGACUCGCAAACUUUCAGAACAAUUACGUUCCGAAAUUCGCGAAAACUUUAGGAAGAGUCUAAAUAGACAGAAACAUAUACGAUAUUAAAGUCGCGAUAGACAAAAAUGAUUAAAAUUUAGCAUCUAUUUUAUCCAACGCUAUCACGUGUUAAAGUCCGCACUCGUGGUCGAGCAGACAAUAAACACCUGGGGUGUUACAAGAUGAGUACUCCUUUACAACACUUACGUACAUGAGUUCUAUGACAGCAGACCUCUGAAAUGAAUGCCAGCUACAUGUUUAUCUACUUAGAUGAAGGAAGACAAUCACUUUUUGUGAUGUCUCGGCGACAUUACUCCUUACUUCCUCCACUUCUUCCUAGUGUUUCUUUAUUGUGAUUGAGUCGACACAGCGACUACACUGCACUACAACAACCAGUACGACUAUAUCAAUUGGCAAUGUCUCCAUUAGGUUUGAGUCUUAUGAGGGGCUUAAAACUAUGUCACAAUUUAUUUUGUUCAUUUUUAUUAUGUUUAAAUUACAUGUGCACCUUUCUACUGACAUAAAAAAAUUAUCAACUUUCUAGAUUAAAAUGCAACUAAAAGUACCUAAAUUUCUGUCGAUGGGGAUCGAGUGACUCUUUAAACCGAUUAUUACACAAGUUAACCAAACUAAAAUUAACAUUGGUGAAUAGUGCCAUGAUUUUUUUUAGUGCAAAAUAGCACAACAAAGCAACACAUAUGUGGCUAUCGUUACACAUGUGUAAAGGUAAUGCAUCACACCAUUGUCACCCAUGUAUUUGGAAAAUACCAAGAAGAAAAAACAACUUGUUUAUUGUAUUUUAUGGAGAUUGUCUUACUUACAUACAAUUAUUACCCAACAAAGUGGUCACUAAAUGUCAAAACCAACUAGAUACCAGGUGACUUUAUACCUGAUCAAGGUCGGAGGUGACCAAGCGACGGGGAGAGACACCGAAACCGUGGAGACUUCGACUCGAUCUCCGAACGACCGCAGAAUCACAACCGGAGCUAAUUCACACAAUGCGAGGCAGCCGUACUGCAACUCACAAGGCACGAACUAGUGGAUCCCAGAGGAAUCUCUUCACAAGUCCAGGAGAACAAGGAAGAACAGGGGUAGAGUAAACACUCAGCAACUUGGCUGCGGUACUCACUUGGAUUAUCAAAUCAUCAAAUGUUAUCAAAAGUUGUUUUACAUCAUAGACAUAGGGGGUAUUUAUACUAGUGAAAGGGAAAUGUGCCCUUGGGCCAUUUCUAAGUAUUUUGGUGAUUGAGUGCCAACACAAGUGCUUAAAUGUGAAUCUAUGCUCUUGGAUGGACAAAGUGCAAAUCAAGAGUAAAGGUAUGUUUCUAAGCUUUAGUACAUUGGUUUUGUGUACUAAUAUACUUGUCUAAGUGUUAGAAACAGAAAGAAGAAGAAAAGAAAAGAGGUGAAAAAGGCUUGGCUGUGUACAGCCAAGACUGAGCUCAGUCUGGCACACCGGACUGUCCGGUGGUGCACCGGACAGUGUCCGGUGCGCCAGGCUGACUCGGCGUGAAGUGGCCGCUCUCGGGAAUUCGCCGACGGCGUACGGCUAAAAUUCACCGGACUGUCCGGUGUGCACCGGACUGUCCGGUGAACCAACGGUCGGCCGGGCCAACGGUCGGCAGCAGAAUCUGCGCGCGACACGUGGCCAGGCCAACGAUCGGAAGGGGGCACCGGACUGUCCGGUGUGCACCGGACAUGUCCGGUGCACCAACGGCUCCCAGAUCUGCAACGGUCGGCCGCGCCAUUUUAGGAAGGAAAUCGGGCACCGGACAGUGUCCGGUGUGCACCGGACUGUCCGGUGCACCCGACGACAGAAGGCAAGAUUGGCCUUGCAGAUUUUCUCUCAACGGCUCCUAGCUGCCUUGGGGCUAUAAAAGGGACCCCUAGGCGCAUGGAGGAGAGAACCAAGCAACCUUAGAGCAUUCUUGAUCAUCCACACUCAGUCUUUGCGCAUUCGUUUGUCAUUCUCAGUGAUUCGAGCUCCGUUCUAGUGAGAACUUUGAGAUAGUCUUUUGAGCUCGACUCUUGGCCGUGUGUGUGCGCAUUUUGCUGUGGAUUUGUGUGUGUUGCUUCCCCCCUUACUCCGUAUUUCUUUGUGAAUCUCAAGUGUAAGGGCGAGAGGCUCCAAGUUGUGGAGAUUCCUCGCAAACGGGAUAUUGAAAGGCAAAGCAAAACACCGUGGUAUUCAUGUUGGUCUUUGGACCACUUGAGAGGGGUUGAUUGCAACCCUCGUCCGUUGGGACGCCACAACGUGGAGUAGGCAAGCGUUGGUCUUGGCCGAACCACGGGAUAAACCACUGUGUCAUCUCUGUGUUUGAUCUCUUGUGGUAUUGUGUUUUGUUGAGACUCCACUCUAGCCACUUGGCGAUUAUUGUGCUAACACUUAACAAGUUUUUGUGGCUAUAAGUUUAAGUUUCACAGAAUCACCUAUUCACCCCCCCUCUAGGUGCUCUCAAUUGGUAUCGGAGUCGUUCUCUUCACAAAGGGACUAACCGCCCGAAGAGAUGGAUCCUAAAGGGAAGGGAAUCGUGAUCAACGACAAGGAGAAGGAGUCCUUCGUCAACGAGCCAAGGGAUGACAAGUCCAACGACUCGGGCUCGGGCCACAGACGCAAAGAUGGGAAGAAGAAGAAGACAAGACGCAUCAAGGAGAUCGUCUACUACGACAGCGAUGAGUCUACUUCCUCCCAUAAGGACGACGACCACAACGAAUACGAGAGAAAGAAACCGGUCAAUUCGAACUUUUCUUUUGAUUACUCUCGUAUUCCUCAAAGUACUAAUGCUCAUUUAUUAUCUAUUCCACUUGGUAAACCUCCCCAUUUUGAUGGAGAGGACUACGGAUUUUGGAGUCAUAAAAUGCGUAGUCACUUGUUCUCUCUCCAUCCUAGCAUAUGGGAGAUUGUAGAAAGUGGAAUGCACUUUGAUAGUACGGAUAGUCCCAUGUUUAUUAAUGAACAGAUUCAUAAAAAUGCACAAGCUACUACUGUGUUGCUAGCCUCUUUGUGCAGGGACGAGUACCAUAAGGUGAGCGGCUUGGACAAUGCCAAGCAGAUCUGGGACACCCUCAAGAUCUCUCAUGAGGGGAAUGAUGUCACCUUGCUCACCAAGAUGGAGUUGGUGGAGGGCGAGCUUGGACGGUUCGCAAUGAUAAGGGGCGAGGAGCCAACUCAAACAUACAACCGGCUCAAGACCCUUAUCAACAAAAUAAGGAGCUACGGAAGCACGCGAUGGACGGAUCACGACGUCGUCCGCCUAAUGCUAAGGUCCUUUACCGUUCUUGAUCCUCAUUUGGUGAACAAUAUUCGUGAAAAUCCUAGGUACACCAAGAUGUCGCCCGAAGAAGUUCUGGGGAAUUUCGUAAGCGGGCGAAUGAUGAUCAAGGAGGCAAGAUAUGUGGACGAUGCGUUGAACGGUCCUAUUCAUGAGCCUCAACCCAUUGCUCUCAAGGCAACGAGGAACAAGGAGGCGCUACCGAGCAAGGUUGCGCAAGUUGAGGCGACCGGGCUAAAUAAUGAGGAGAUGGCCCUCAUCAUUAAGCGCUUCAAGACGGCGCUUAAAGGUCGCAAGGGACAGCCAAGCAAGACCAAGACAAAGGAGAAGCGCUCGUGCUUCAAAUGUGGUAAGAUCGGUCAUUUCAUUGCUAACUGUCCCGAUAAUGAAAGUGACCAGGAAAAGGGGAACAAAAGGGAGAAGAAGCAUUACAAGAAGGCCAAGGGCGAGGCACAUAUCGGAAAGGAGUGGGAUUCGGAUUGCUCCUCAUCCGACUCCGACAAUGAAGGACUAGCCGCCACUGCCUUCAACAAGUCAUCCCUCUUCCCCAACGAGCGUCACACUUGCCUCAUGGCAAGGGAGAAGAAAGUAAGCACUCAUGAUACUAGUACUUAUGCUUCUUCAAGUGAGGAUGAGUCUAGUGAUGAUGAUGAGACAGAUUACUCAUGCUUAUUCAAGGGAUUAGAUAGAUCUAAAUUAAUAAGAUUAAUGAGUUGAUUGAUGCUUUGAAUGACAAGAAUAGAUUACUAGAAAAACAAGAAGAUCUUUUAUAUGAGGAGCAUGAUAAAUUUGUCAGUGCACAAAAUUCUCUUGCUCUAGAAAUUAAAAGGAAUGAAAUGCUCUCUGGUGAAUUAUCUACUUGUCAUGAAACCAUUUCUACUUUACAAGGUGUUAACAAUGAUUUAAAUGCUAAAUUAGAAGUAGCAAAUAAAUCUAAUUCUUGUGUAGAACAUGUUAUAAUUUGUACUAGGUGUAAAGAUUUUGACAUUGAUGCUUGUAGUGAACACCUAGUUUCAAUUUCCAAAAUUAAUGAUGAAUUAGCUAGUCUUAAUGCUCAACUUAAGACUAGCAAGAAUGAUUUCGAUAAGCUAAAAUUUGCAAGGGAUGCCUACACGAUUGGUAGACACCCCUCAAUUAAGGAUGGACUUGGCUUCAAGAGGGAAGCCAAGAACUUAACAAGCCAUAAGGCUCCCAUCUCCGCCAAGGAGAAAGGGAAGGCCCCUAUGGCAAGUAGUGCUAAAAAGAACCAUGCUUUUAUGUACCAUGAUAAGAGACAAACUAGAAAUGCUUACAGGAGUUACAAUGCUUAUGAUGAUUUUGAUUCUCAUGACAUGUUUGCUUCUAGUUCUUUCUAUGUGCAUGAUAGAAAUGUUGGUAGAAGAAAUGUUGUUCACAAUAUGCCUAGGAGAAAUCUUGUUAAUGUUCCUAGGAGAGUUAAUGAACCUUCUACAAUAUAUCAUGCUUUGAGUGCCUCCUUUGCAAUUUGUAGAAAGGAUAGAAAGGUGAUUGCUAGGAAAUUAGGGGCAAAAUGCAAGGGAGAUAAAACUUGCAUUUGGGUCCCUAAGACAAUUGUGACUAACCUUGUAGGACCCAACAAGAGUUGGGUACCUAAGUCCCAAGCCUAAAUUUGCCUUGCAGGUUUAUGCAUCCGGGGGUUCAAGCUGGAUUAUCGACAGCGGAUGCACAAACCAUAUGACGGGGGAGAAGAAGAUGUUCACCUCCUACGUCAAGAAUAAGGAUUCCCAAGAUUCAAUUAUAUUCGGUGAUGGGAAUCAAGGCAAGGUAAAAGGGUUAGGUAAAAUUGCAAUUUCUAAUGAGCACUCUAUCUCUAAUGUGUUUUUAGUAGAGUCUCUUGGAUAUAAUUUGCUAUCGGUUAGUCAAUUAUGCAAUAUGGGAUAUAACUGUCUAUUUACAAAUGUAGAUGUGUCUGUCUUUAGAAGAAGUGAUGGUUCACUAGCUUUUAAGGGUGUAUUAGACGACAAACUUUAUUUAGUUGAUUUUGCAAAAGAAGAGGCCGGUCUAGAUGCAUGCUUAAUAGCUAAGACUAGCAUGGGCUGGCUGUGGCAUCGCCACUUAGCACAUGUGGAGAUGAAGAACCUUCACAAGCUUCUAAAGGGAGAACACGUGAUAGGUUUGACUAACGUGCAAUUCGAAAAAAGAUAGACCUUGUGCAGCUUGUCAAGCAGGUAAACAAGUGGGAGGAGCACAUCACAGCAAGAAUGUGAUGACCACCUCAAGACCUCUGGAGCUGCUGCAUAUGGACCUGUUCGGACCCGUCGCCUAUCUGAGCAUAGGAGGAAGUAAGUAUGGUCUAGUUAUUGUUGAUGACUUUUCCCGCUUCACUUGGGUGUUCUUUUUGCAGGAUAAGUCUAAAACCCAAGGGACCCUCAAGCGCUUCCUAAAGAGAGCUCAAAAUGAGUUUGAGCUCAAAGUGAAGAAGAUAAGGAGCGACAACGGGUCCGAGUUCAAGAACCUUCAAGUGGAGGAGUUCCUUGAGGAGGAAGGGAUCAAGCACGAGUUCUCCGCUCCCUAUACACCACAACAAAAUGGUGUGGUAGAGAGGAAGAACAAGACGCUAAUCGAUAUGGCGAGGACGAUGCUUGGAGAAUUCAAGACCCCCGAGCGUUUUUGGUCGGAAGCCGUGAACACGGCUUGUCACGCCAUCAACAGGGUCUAUCUUCACCGCCUCCUCAAGAAGACUUCGUAUGAGCUACUAACCGGUAACAAACCCAAUGUAUCUUACUUUCGUGUAUUUGGGAGCAAGUGCUACAUUCUAGUGAAGAAGGGUAGAAAUUCUAAGUUUGCUCCCAAAGCUGUAGAAGGGUUUUUGUUAGGUUAUGACUCAAAUACAAAGGCGUAUAGAGUCUUCAACAAAUCAUCGGGUUUGGUUGAUGUCUCUAGCGACGUUGUAUUUGAUGAGACUAAUGGCUCUCCAAGAGAGCAAGUUGUUGAUCUUGAUGAUGUAGAUGAAGAAGAUGUUCCUACGGCCGCGAUACGCACCAUGACGAUUGGAGAUGUACGGCCUCGGGAACAAUUGGAGCAAGAUCAACCUUCUUCCUCAACAACGGUGCAUCCCCUAACUCAAGACGAUGAACAGGUUCAUCAACAGGAGGCAUGUGAUCAAGGGGGAGCACAAGAUGAUCAUGUGAUGGAGGAAGAAGCGGAACCGGCACCUCCAACCCAAGUUCGAGCAGUAAUUCAAAGGGAUCAUCCCGUCGACCAAAUUUUGGGUGACAUUAGCAAGGGAGUAACUACUCGAUCUCGAUUAGUUAAUUUUUGUGAGCAUUACUCCUUUGUCUCUUCUAUUGAGCCUUUCAGGGUAGAGGAGGCCUUGCUAGAUCCGGACUGGGUGUUGGCCAUGCAAGAGGAGCUCAACAACUUCAAGCGCAAUGAAGUUUGGACACUGGUGCCUCGUCCCAAGCAAAAUGUUGUGGGAACCAAGUGGGUGUUCCGCAACAAACAGGACGAGCACGGGGUGGUGACGAGGAACAAGGCUCGACUUGUGGCAAAAGGUUAUGCCCAAGUCGCAGGUUUGGACUUUGAGGAGACGUUCGCUCCUGUGGCUAGGCUAGAAUCAAUUCGUAUCUUGCUAGCAUAUGCCGCUCACCAUUCUUUCAGGUUGUACCAAAUGGAUGUGAAGAGCGCUUUCCUCAAUGGUCCAAUCAAGGAGGAGGUGUACGUGGAGCAACCCCCUGGCUUCGAGGAUGAACAGUACCCCGACCACGUGUGUAAGCUCUCUAAGGCACUCUAUGGACUUAAGCAAGCCCCAAGAGCAUGGUAUGAAUGCCUUAGAGACUUCUUAAUUGCUAAUGCUUUCAAGGUUGGGAAAGCCGAUCCAACUCUUUUUACUAAGACUUGCGACAGUGAUCUUUUUGUAUGCCAAAUUUAUGUCGAUGACAUAAUAUUUGGUUCUACUAAUAAAAAGUCUUGUGAAGAGUUUAGCAGGGUGAUGACGCAGAAAUUCGAGAUGUCAAUGAUGGGCGAGUUGAACUACUUCCUUGGGUUCCAAGUGAAGCAACUCAAGGACGGCACCUUCAUCUCCCAAACGAAGUACACGCAAGACUUGCUAAAGCGGUUUGGGAUGAAGGACGCCAAGCCCGCAAAGACUCCGAUGGGAACCGACGGACACACCGACCUCAACAAAGGAGGUAAGUCCGUUGAUCAAAAGGCAUACCGGUCAAUGAUAGGGUCAUUACUUUACUUAUGUGCUAGUAGACCGGAUAUUAUGCUUAGCGUAUGUAUGUGUGCUAGAUUUCAAUCCGAUCCUAAGGAGUGUCACUUAGUGGCAGUGAAGCGAAUUCUUAGAUAUUUAGUUGCUACGCCUUGCUUCGGGCUCUGGUAUCCAAAGGGGUCUACCUUUGACUUAAUUGGAUAUUCAGACUCCGACUAUGCUGGAUGUAAGGUCGAUAGGAAGAGUACAUCAGGGACGUGCCAAUUCUUAGGAAGGUCCCUGGUGUCAUGGAACUCUAAGAAACAAACCUCCGUUGCCCUAUCCACCGCUGAGGCAGAGUAUGUUGCCGCAGGACAGUGUUGCGCGCAACUACUUUGGAUGAGGCAAACCCUCCGGGACUUUGGCUACAAUCUGAGCAAAGUCCCACUCCUAUGUGACAAUGAGAGUGCUAUCCGCAUGGCAGAAAAUCCUGUUGAGCACAGCCGCACAAAGCACAUAGACAUCCGGCAUCACUUUCUGAGAGACCACCAGCAAAAGGGUGAUAUCGAAGUGUUUCAUGUUAGCACCGAGAACCAGCUAGCCGAUAUCUUUACCAAGCCUCUAGAUGAGAAGACCUUUUGCAGGCUGCGUAGUGAGCUAAAUGUCUUAGAUUCGCGGAACUUGGAUUGAAUUGUAGCAUACAUGUGCUUAUGCCUUUGAUCAUGUUCAUUCUGCAUUUUGUUGCUUAUUGUGGUGCUCAAGUUGUACAAACAUUCCCUGGACCUCACAAGUCCUUGUGUAAGUGAUGCACAUAUUUAGGGGGAGUUGUGUUACAACUUGACCCUUUGAGACUAACCAUAUGCUUGAGUUUGCUUGAUUUAGUCUCGAAGGAGAAUUGAAAGGGAAAAGGUGGACCUGGACCAUGAAAGACUUCCACUACACUCCGAUGAGAGGGUAACUUAUUCCAAGUUCAUCUCAUGAACUCUUAUUGCCAUUUGCUCUUAAUUGAAGAUUUUGGUGAGGCAAUGGGGUUAUAGGGCCAAGAUUGAUCCCGUUUUGGUGCUUGAUGCCAAAGGGGGAGAAAAUAAAGGCCAAAGCAAUAAAUGGAUCAGCUACCACUUGAGAAAUUUUGAAAAUAGUAAAAUAGAGCUUUUUGUUUUGUCAAAACUCUUGCAUUGUCUCUGUUGUCAAAAGUUGGCCUCUUGUGGGGAGAAGUGUUAAUUAUGGGAAAUAGGGGGAGUUUUUGAAAUCCUUGAUCAAUCUCUUUUGGAAUGACUCUCUUUAUGCUUCAACAUGUGUGUUUGACUUAGAGAUAGAGAUUUGAGUUUGGUUUGCAAAAACAAACCAAGUGGUGGCAAAGGAUGAUCCAUAUAUGCCAAAAUUGAAUCAAAAUAAAUUUGAGUUUUAUUUGAAGUGAUAUUGCACUUGUUCUAGUUGCUUUAUGUUGUGUUGGCAUAAAUCACCAAAAAGGGGGAGAUUGAAAGGGAAAUGUGCCCUUGGGCCAUUUCUAAGUAUUUUGGUGAUUGAGUGCCAACACAAGUGCUUAAAUGUGAAUCUAUGCUCUUGGAUGGACAAAGUGCAAAUCAAGAGUAAAGGUAUGUUUCUAAGCCUUAGUACAUUGGUUUUGUGUACUAAUAUACUUGUCUAAGUGUUAGAAACAGAAAGAAGAAGAAAAGAAAAGAGGUGAAAAAGGCUUGGCUGUGUACAGCCAAGACUGAGCUCAGUCUGGCACACCGGACUGUCCGGUGGUGCACCGGACAGUGUCCGGUGCGCCAGGCUGACUCGGCGUGAAGUGGCCGCUCUCGGGAAUUCGCCGACGGCGUACGGCUAAAAUUCACCGGACUGUCCGGUGUGCAACGGACUGUCCGGUGAACCAACGGUCGGCCGGGCCAACGGUCGGCAGCGGAAUCUGCGCGCGACACGUGGCCAGGCCAACGGUCGGAAGGGGGCACCGGACUGUCCGGUGUGCACCGGACAUGUCCGGUGCACCAACGGCUCCCAGAUCUGCAACGGUCGGCCGCGCCAUUUUAGGAAGGAAAUCGGGCACCGGACAGUGUCCGGUGUGCACCGGACUGUCCGGUGCACCCGACGACAGAAGGCAAGAUUGGCCUUCCAGAUUUGCUCUCAACGGCUCCUAGCUGCCUUGGGGCUAUAAAAGGGACCCCUAGGCGCAUGGAGGAGAGAACCAAGCAACCUUAGAGCAUUCUUGAUCAUCCACACUCAGUCUUUGCACAUUCGUUUGUCAUUCUCAGUGAUUCGAGCUCCGUUCUAGUGAGAACUUUGAGAUAGUCUUUUGAGCUCGACUCUUGGCCGUGUGUGUGCGCAUUUUGCUGUGGAUUUGUGUGUGUUGCUUCCCCCCUUACUCCGUAUUUCUUUGUGAAUCUCAAGUGUAAGGGCGAGAGGCUCCAAGUUGUGGAGAUUCCUCGCAAACGGGAUAUUGAAAGGCAAAGCAAAACACCGUGGUAUUCAAGUUGGUCUUUGGACCACUUGAGAGGGGUUGAUUGCAACCCUCGUCCGUUGGGACGCCACAACGUGGAGUAGGCAAGCGUUGGUCUUGGCCGAACCACGGGAUAAACCACUGUGUCAUCUCUGUGUUUGAUCUCUUGUGGUAUUGUGUUUUGUUGAGACUCCACUCUAGCCACUUGGCGAUUAUUGUGCUAACACUUAACAAGUUUUUGUGGCUAUAAGUUUAAGUUUCACAGGAUCACCUAUUCACCCCCCUCUAGGUGCUCUCAACUAGCUACAACCAGCCUUAGAUAGGUAUAAACACAAAAAUAAGUAUUUUAACGUGCUAAUGUGAAGGGGCCUCUUCGGAAGAUCUCCAGAGCUGAAUUCCGCGUGGCUGUUUGACUUCUUCACAACCUUUAGGGCAUGUACAACCUAGACACUGCUGCACGGUACUCCAAGUAUAAGACACAACUAAAACACAACAUAAUACAGUGGUCAUGUAUAAAACAUGUGUCUUACUAUAUUCAUUGUACCAAUCAGAGCAUUCAAUAAGUUAAAGUGACCAACCAGAUAGUCUCAUGUCUUGAAUAUAGAGCUAAGACACUGUGUCUUCGUUAAGAUACAUGUCUUGAGAUUUUUUACAUUCACCCCCCUAGACACACUCUAAGACACAACUUAAGACACCCAUUGUACAUGCCCUUAGUAUUUUGAUAAUAACUCCUCCUAGGAAUCUCCAAAUGGCGUGGGGCUGGAUGCGUUGGAAAGCUAACUUGAUUUGCUUUCUCACCAUGUAUAGCAUGCUUAAUGAAACUUUGUAGAAUGAUGCAGUUUAAUACUAAAACUUGGUCAUCAAGCAGACUGUUGACCUUAUGACAGUCAGAACUAAAGUAGGUCGGUUACCGUGUUGGGUGAUCCGAUUAAGUCGGUCCUAGAAGCAUUGGAAACUAGACUUCAAUAGCUUUCCAAAAUGUACUUAUUGGCCUUCAUAGCUUUUGGGAAUCAAAAGAUAUGAUUGUUUCUUCUGGAUGGUUCUAUCACGCUAGACUGACUCGAACAUAGUUCUCUCUGAUUCGCCCUUGAUAUGUUUUGUCCUUCCUCUUUGGUGGACCUAAGAAAAAUCAACAUACACAACUUAGGUAGAAUAAAGUUGUCAUUAGUGUUUAAUUUAAAUUCAUAAAGUAGCGCGUGCACCUCUUGUUGUAUCUGUUUCACCCGGCUUCGAGUGAUAGGUCCAGUAAGAAUGGUCGGCAAGGUUGACGAUGCUGGUAUGGUCACAUCACACUCCCCCCUUGAAAAAUGAGUCGUCCUCAACUCUUCCAAUCCAAAGCAAGGAGAGAGGUCGGCCACAUUAAAACUAGAACUCACACCAUAAGUAUCUGACAGAUUAAUUUCAUAAGCAUUUUCGUUGAUCUUGCAAAGCACUUUGAAUGGACCAUCAACUCGUUGUUGUAAUUUGCUUUUGCGUUGUUCAGGAAAUCUUUCUUUGCAUAGAUGUACCCAAACCAUGUCUCCUGGUUCGAACAACAUCUUUCUUCAACCCUUGUUGGCACACUAUUCAUAUUUCUUGGUCAUUUUCUCAAUAUUUGCUCGAGCUUUUUCAUGAAGGUUCUUGAUUAACUCGACUCGCUUGCUAGCGUCAAAGUUUACUCGUUCCUGCACAGGCAAUGACAAAAUAUCUAUGGGAGUUGUGGGUUUGAAGCCAUAUACAAUUUCAAAUGGACAAAAUUUAGUAGUCGAGUCUACAGCUCUGUUGUAUGCAAACUCGACAUGUGGUAGACUUUCUUCAGAGAGUUUUAAAUUUUUCUUGAGGAUAGCUCGCAGCAGCAUUGAUAAUGUUCGGUUUACAACUUCAGUCUAUCAAUCUUUUUGUGGAUGGCACGUUGUAGAGAAUAGUAGUCGUGUUCCAAGUUUUCCCCACAAAGUUUUCCAAAAGUAACUCAAAAAAUUAGUGUCACGAUCAGAAACAAUGGUUCGUGGAAUCCCAUGUAAACGAACAACUUCUUUGAAAAAUAAUUCAGCAAUAUGUGAAGCAUCAUCACUCUUGUGGCUUGGAAUAAAAUGUGCCAUUUUGCUAAAUCAAUCAACCACAACAAAAAUGGAAUCCCUUCCCUACUUUGUUCAUGGUAAACCAAGAACAAAAUCCAUGGAUAUGUCUUCUCAAGGCACACUAGGAAUAGGUAGUGGAGUGUAUAAGCCUAUGAGGGUUUAAACGAGACUUAGCUUUAUGACAUGAUUCACAUCGAAGGACAUGUCGCUCCACAUCCCUUUUCAUUUUAGGCCAAAAGAAAUGAUCGGCAAGCACUUGCUCCGUCUUCUUGGCGCCAAAAUGGCCCAUAAGUCCUCCUGCAUGAGCUUCCUGCAAUAUUAAAAUUCGAACAGAACAUUCUGGAAUGCACAUUUUGUUAGCUCGGAAUAAAAAACCAUCAUUAACAUGAAAUUUUACCCAUCCUCUGCCAUCACAACACUUAGAAUAUGGUUCAACAAAGUUUAAGUCAGUCGGUUAUAAUUCCUUUAUACUUUCUAAUCCAAGAAUUUUAGCAUCGAGUUGUGUUAGCAAAGCAUGUCGUCGAGACAAAGCAUCUGCUACAACAUUAUCUUUUCCUUUCUUAUAUUUGACAAUAUAAGGAAAUGAUUCAAUAAAUUCACACCAUUUUGCAUGCCUUCUAUUUAGUUUUAGAUGUCCUUUAAGAUGUUUUAAUGAUUCAUGGUCUGAAUGUAUCACAAAUUCCUUAGGAAAAAGAUAGUGUCGCCAAGUUUCCAAACUCCGAACAAGAGCAUAUAAUUCUUUAUCAUAAACUGAAUAAUUUAGAGUAAGACCACUUAGCUUUUCACUGAAGUAGCCAAUUGGUCUUUGUUCUUGCAUGAGCAUGCCUCUAAUCCCAAUUCCACUGGCAUCACAUUCUAUUUUAAAUGUCUUACCGAAGUCUGGGAGUGCAAGAACUUGGGCUGUUGUUAACUUCGUCUUUAAUUCUUCAAAUGCCUUCUGUUGUGAUUCUCCCCAUUUGAAAGGUACUUCUUUUUUGGUCAAUUCAUUGAUGGGAGCAGCAACAGUACUGAAGUCUUUUUCAAACCGCUGGUAGAACCCAGCGAGCCCAAGGAAACUUCUCACUUGGCUCACAUUCUGUGGAGGCAUCCAGUCGCGUACAACUUUGAUAUUUUCUUCAUCUACCUCCACACCUUGUCCUGAUACAACAAAUCCAAGAAACACUACCUUGUCGGUGCAAAAGGUGCACUUCUCAAGGUUAGCAUACAAGUUUUGUUCUCGAAGGACAACAAGUACAUAUCAGAUAUGUUCAACAUGUUCAUCAAGGCAUUUACUAUAAAUUAGUAUGUCAUCAAAAUAGACAACAACAAAUUUGCCAAUGAAAGUUCUAAGAACAUGAUUCAUUAUCUCAUAAAUGUACUUGGUGCAUGUUAACUCGAAGGGCAUCACCAACCAUUCAUACAACUCAAAUUUUGUUUUAAAGGUUGUUUUCCAUUCAUCUCCCUCUUUCAUACGAAUAUGAUGAUAGCCACUUCUUAAGUCAAUUUUAGUGAAAAUUAAAGCUGUUGGGUCUAUGCUUCGUCGCCGAAGGUCUUCAAGGGAGAAGCGGCUUUAUAAUGAGUGAGCAGGUAUCUUCGGACUUGUAUCAGAAAGGGAGAAGCUCAAAAGAUACAAAGGUUGACACAGCGCCGAAGCUGUGAAGCAGGAAAGCUUCGGCAUGUUCGCAGAAAAGGGAACCGACUUAAAGAUGAAAAGGCCAUUUAGACCUCGAUAGAGUGCUAUAGAAUUAUCACCAAAUGUAAAGGGCAUGUAUGUAAUUUUGUAUGGGUUGUACCCCGUGCCUAUAAAUAGGUGAACAGUACCCCCGUACUGUUCACGCUGACUUGGCAUUUGCUUUUGCGUCACACUUGUAUUUUCAUCUCCUUCCAAGCCGAAGGUACAUUUAUAAUUCAAUAUUGUUUCUAUUUUUCUAUGAUGAUAUAAUAAAGUGAAAUAAAUGAUGUUAUAUGAUUAUUUGUGUUAUCCUUUAACUUUCAUAUACUUCGUCUUUCAUUAAUGUAUACUGUAAUGAUGAAGGUUUGUCCUUCAUAACCUUCGUCCGGAGAUCGUUAUAUCCUAAGGGAAAUAAUGCCUCAAAGGACGAAGGACUUUAUCGUUUAACAUUUUCUAUGUUGCCUUGUUCUUAACUCAUAGCACUUGAGAACAAGUCCCCAACAUUGGCGCCCACCUCCGGUGAACUCACUUCCACUUUUUUGAGCUGAUGGCUUCGUUCAACGAUCAAGCUGGAGCUGCUUCGGACCCGAAGCUGGUGCUCCCGAUCACAGGUGGCUCGUCCUCAGAGCCAGCUAACAAGAAACAGAAGAAGGAAGCACAGAGAAGGGUACAGCAUGUUGGGGUGCAAGGACCCUUCAUCAAGACAAGAUGGUCUCACAUUCCUAUUACCUUCUCCCAAGAGGACCUUCAGCUCAAAGAUUACCCACACAACGAUGCCAUGGUUAUCUCUUGUGUUAUCAAAGGAUUUCUGGUCCACAAUGUCUUGGUUGACACAGGCAGUGCAGCUGACAUCAUAUUUGCUAAAGCCUUCAGACAAAUGCAAGAGCCAGAAGAUAAGAUUCAUGAUGCUACACAUCCUCUCUGUGGCUUCGGAGGAAGACAGAUUGUAGCACUGGGCAAGAUCACCAUGUUAGUGACCUUCGGAUUCAUCAACAACACUAGAACUGAGCAAGUUGUGUUUGACAUUGUUGACAUGGAAUAUCCUUACAAUGCAAUUAUUGGUCGUGGUACUCUUAAUGCCUUCGAAGCAAUCCUUCAUCCUGCUUAUCUUUGCAUGAAGAUACCUUCGGAUCAGGGACCCGUUGCUAUCCAUGGAAGUCAGGAAGCCGCAAGAAGGGCCGAAGGUAACUGGACUGACUCAAAAGCAAUCCAUAAUAUAGAUGGAGCCGAAGCUUGUGCACAGUACAAAUUCAGAAGGGAGAAAGCAGCUUCAGCAGAUCAGCCGAAGCCUAUGCUCUUAUGUGAGGACAUAGCAGAGCAGAAGGUGCUGUUAGGCUCUCAACUAUCCGAAGAGCAGGAAAAAACCUUGAUAAGAUUUUUGUUCAAUAACAAAGAUGUUUUUGCAUGGUCAGCCAAUGAUCUAUGCGGAGUUAAUAGGGAUGUUAUUGAGCACUCGCUCAAUGUCGAUCCAUCCUUCAGACCCAGAAAGCAAAGGCUUCGGAAAAUGUCAGAUGAUAAGGCCGAAGGUGCUCGCAACGAAGUCAAAAGACUCCUCAGUGCAGGAGUUAUUAGAGAAGUGAAGUACCCAGAAUGGCUGGCUAACACUGUUAUGGUAAAAAAGGCCAAUGGUAAGUGGCGAAUGUGCAUCGAUUUUACAGAUCUUAACAAGGCUUGUCCGAAGGAUGAAUUCCCACUACCAAGGAUAGACUCUUUAGUUGAUGCAGCAGCUUCGUCAGAGCUCAUGAGUCUGUUAGACUGCUAUUCAGGCUAUCACCAAAUUUGGAUGAAGAAGGAAGAUGAGCCGAAGACUAGCUUCAUUACUCCAAGUGGCACAUGUUGCUAUCUUCGGAUGCCUGAGGGGCUCAAAAACGCUGGAGGAAGUUUCAGCCGAAUGACUGUGAAGGUUCUUCAAUCUCAAAUAGGCAGAAAUGUGUUAACUUAUGUUGAUGACAUCAUUGUCAAAAGCACGAAGCAGGAGAAUCAUAUUGCUGAUCUGCAGGAGACCUUCGCCAGUUUCAGGCAAGCUGGCUUGAAGUUAAAUCCAGAAAAAUGUGUCUUCGGAGUGAAGAAGGGGAAAUUUCUUGGAUGCUUGGUUUCAACAAAGGGAAUUGAAGCCAAUCCAAGUAAAAUUGAAGCUAUACUUCGGAUGGAGCCACCAACUACAAAGAAGGGGGCUCAAAGAUUGACAGGAAGGUUGGCAUCUCUCAAUAGAUUCAUAUCCAGAUCAGCAGAGAGAAAUUUACCAUUCUUCGAAGUGCUGAAGUCGGCCGAAGUCUUUCAAUGGGGACCAAUCCAACAGAAGGCUUUCGAAGAACUGAAACAAUAUUUGAUAGAUCUAACAACAUUGACUCCACCAAUGCAAGGGGCUCCUUUAUUGUUAUAUGUGGCAGCUUCGCACUCAGCGGUAAGUGCAGCGCUUGUUCAGGAGAAGCUUGAUGGUCAAGUCAAAAGGCAGGCCCCAAUAUAUUUUGUUUCCGAGGUCCUUAGUUUAUCAAAGAAAAAUUAUACAGAGUUGGAGAAGAUACUGUAUGCUGUCUUGAUGGCCUCCAGGAAGCUUCGGCACUAUUUCCAAGCUUACAACAUAAUUGUUCCUUCGUCACAACCUCUGAAGGAUAUUAUGAGGAACAGAGAAGCUACUGGAAGGAUUGGAAAAUGGGCUGCAGAGCUCAAUGAAUUUUGUAUUGAAUAUGUUCAUAGAUCUUCGAUUCAGUCGCAGGCACUGGCAGACUUUAUUGCUGAUUGGACACCAGGGGCUCAGGAGGAGGAAACAAAUAAAGAUAACGAAGCCUGGAUAGUGUUUUGUGAUGGAUCUUGGGGAACCUUCGGAGCAGGAGCGGCUGCUGUGUUGGUUUCACCUUCCAAAGUCAAAACCUGUUAUGCGACAAAACUUGAUUUUAAUUGCACAAAUAACAUUGCUGAGUACGAAGCAUUGAUUUUAGGUCUUCGGAAAUUAAAAGCAAUGGGAAUCAGAAGGGCCAUACUUAAAACUGAUUCCCAGGUUGUUUCGGGUCAUAUUGACAAAAGUUGUAAGGCUAAGGAUCCGAAGCUUGAAAAAUAUCUGGAUAUGGUUCGAAGAGUCGAAGCCUCCUUCGAAGGGUUUUCUGUCAAGAAUAUCCCUCGAGGACAAAAUGAGCAUGCUGAUCUGCUAGCUAAGUCAGCAGCACAGGGGCUGCCUCUACCUUCGGAUGUAUUCUUUGAAACAAUAAAAGCACCUUCGGUGGAACUCCUUGAAAGAGCAGUUCUUAAUAUAUCUCCUGUUUUUAGUGAAGAUUGGAGAACUGAGAUCAUCUCUUACCUUCAGGGUAAAUUUCUUUCAGAUGACGAAGCUUAUAACAAGAGAAUAGAGGCAAGAGCUCGUCCAUAUGUCAUGAUAGAGGGGGAGUUGUACAAACAUGGAGUUUGUGCUCCGUUGCUCAAAUGCUUAUCCAGAACCGAAGGUAUAGAGUUAAUGAAAGAAAUACAUGCAGGCCUGUGUGGAUCUCACAUCGGAUCUAGGCCGUUACUUGGAAAAAUUUUCCGUCAAGGAUUUUAUUGGCCGAAGGCAGCUUCGGAUGCAGCAGAAUUGGUUCAAAAGUGCGAAGGUUGUCAGAAAUGUGCAAGAGAUCAAAAACGACCUUCGUCCUUGACACAGCUCAUACAACCCACUUGGCCAUUGCAAAGGUGGGGCCUUGACUUGUUAGGUCCGUUACCACCGGCCCAAGGGAACUUGAGAUAUGUUGUGGUAGCUGUGGAAUAUUUUUCUAAAUGGAUUGAGGCGAAGCCUUUAGCCACAAUAACUUCGGCUACCGUCCAAAAGUUUUUCUGGCAGAAUAUUGUUUGUCGUUUCGGGGUGCCAAAGGUUAUCACUGUGGACAAUGGAACACAGUUUGACUCCGAAGCUUUCAGGGAUUUCUGUGACCAAAUUGGUACGAAGAUCCAUUUUGCAUCAGUCAGGCACCCGGAGUCAAAUGGACUCGUUGAAAGAGCCAACGGCAUUAUAAUGACAGGAAUAAUGAAGCUAAUCUUCAAUCAGCCUAGAGGAAAAUGGCCAGAUCAGCUAACCAAAGUGGUGUGGAGCCACAACACGACAACAUCAAGGUCCACAGGCUUCACUCCAUUUAAGUUAUUAUUCGGUGACGAAGCAAUAACUCCAGAGGAAGCUAAAGCCGGAUCAAUAAGGAUAGUAGCUUCGGCAGAAUCAGAUUCCGAAGCUGCUUAUUCUAUAGAAAAAGAUGCUUUAGAAGGGAUCAGACUGCAAGCCGUGGAGAAUAUUAAUAAAUAUCAAGCUGAAACAGUCAAAUGGCGGGAUAGAAAGGUUCGGCUAAAAAAUAUUGAGCCAGGGCACUUGGUACUUCGGAGGGUGGCCAACCCGGAAACAGUGGGCAAAUUGCAGUUGAAAUGGGACGGGCCUUUCUUAGUAGCAUCUUCGUCAAGGCCCGGGUCAUACAGAUUGAAAGAUAUGGACGGCAAUGACAUUCCUAGGUCCUGGAAUGCGGAUGAGCUUCGGCGAUAUUAUGUAUAAUUCGAUGUAAUUUUUCACAUUUUUAUUUUUUCUUUCAUGGCACCCUUUUCCUUUCCAAAGGGGGAGAAAGGUUUUUAAUGGGGCCAGCAUAUGUAAUUUCCUUUUUUAGUCUUAUAAGAGCAAAAUCCCCCAAAGAAUGUAAAUGUAAAAGCUGAGAGUGCACCAUCGAGUGCCGAAAAGUAAAAACGACGAAGCUCCAAAGACGUUCCUAAGGGAAUGCAGAGCUUAUACCGCCUAAGUAAAAGGCGAAGAAGCUCCAAAGACGUUCCUAAGGGAAUGCAGAGCUUAUACCGCCUAAGUAAAAGGCGAAGAAGCUCCAAAGUCGUUCCUAAGGGAAUGCAGAGCUUACAGCGAAAAGUCAACGCUGAUUCCGCCAAAAGUAAAGGCGAAGAAGCUCCAAAGUCGUUCCUAAGGGAAUGCAGAGCUAAGGUGUGAUUGUUUUUAAGAGAAUAAUGGCUAUAAAUAUAGCUUCGGAUACGUGUUUGGCCAUUCAUUUGCACAACACAUUACAUCAUAGCAUUUGCAUUCAUAAACAUUCAUCUAGGCAUAUGUAGGAUAAUCAUCUUCAUCGCAUAAAAUGAUUGCUUCGGCAAGAAGAGAAAAAAGAAAGGGAAAAGAGCUUCGUGCACAAAAAAGAGGGGAAACUGUUGUUUUUAUGAAGGAGAGCUUCGGGAAAAAGGAAAAUGUUGUUUUCUAUGCUUCGUUGCGUACGAAAAGAAGGGAAGGUGUUUUUUUUUGCCUUCGGCUCAAAAAAAAGAAAUUUCGUCCACAUCAAAGCAUUUCUCAUAAAUCAGUGAAAGGUUAAGGAUAUAUUACAAGGUAUGAACAGUAUACAUGGAAGUUUUGUUUACAUUUACAAGAGUUAUCUCAAAAGUUUUUCAAGUACUGUCUGCAGUCUACUAUCUAAAUCUCCAAGGAGCUUCGGCUUCGGUAUUAUUUUGGAUCAUCAGCUUCGGCUUCGUCAUCCUACAUGAAUAAGGUCAUUGGAAGUCAGAAUCAAGUUUAUAGAAAAAGGUAAGCACAAGGUAUGAUUUCUUACUGGAUCAAGGUGGCUACGAGCUUCGUCUCCAGCUUUUUCUCGACCACCUUUUGUCCAUAUCAUUUUUACAAAUCGAUUCGAGAUGCUUCGGGCGAGAUCAGGGAUGUCAUCCAGGAUUGAUGGUGACAAAGUAAAAUUUGGCCUAUUGACAAUUUUCCCAUGAUCACAGCCAGCCUUCAUGAAGGCUGCAGCGGUCCCUCGAGAAGCCACCCAGGCACAGAAGUCACCAUGCCCAGCUAUGACUUCGUCGAGCUCGUCAAUCUCCCCCUCAAUGUGUUCGAAGGUUUUUGGUAGAUCUUCAGCUGAGGGGGUAAAUUUUUCGCUGCUAGCUCCAACCGAGUAAAAAAUCUUUCUUAAUCGUUGAAUGCACUUGUUGCUAAAUUCCAGGCAUUUUUCUUGAAGAUUUGUCAGUAGUUUUCUCAAAUCCGAAUUCUGCUGAGCUUCGGCUUCAAGUUUUUCAUUGAGAUCUUGUUUUUCUCGUUCGAACUGCUCAGACUGGCGGAGAAGCUUCGAGUUUAGUUCUGAUAUUUUUGCUUCAGCUUCCGCCAGUAAGCCUUCGGCUGCCUGGAGCUCAAAGUUCUUUUUCUCAAAAGCAUCUGAUUGCUCUUUUAUUUUGUUUUCCAAAUUUCCGAUUAUAAUUUCAUGCUUUUUAUCUUCAAGAUCUUGCUGCAUUUGCAAGGCUUUGCUCAAUAGCAUGCUCUACAUAAACACAACCUUCGUCAGACAUGUUUUAUUAGAAACAAUAAAAGUUAAGGGACAAGUCAUUUACCUUGAAGUUGGAGUAAAACAAACUACCAACGACAUGUUGUCGUCGAUAGCGGCUGAUAUCUGCUUCUAGCUUCGGGAAUCCAAUACUUUUGGACAGAGUACUAAUAACUUUGGCCCCUGUUUGGUCCCGGAUACACUCUAAUUUCUCGUCAUCAACGCCUCCGAAGAGGAGUGCCCCAGGUUUAUAUCCACAGGAUUGGGCAUACUCUUUAAGCUCUUCUAUUUCAGCUUUUGUUAGAUGUUCUCCAACUAAGUUUUGGAAUGCGAAAGCUUCGUCUUCUGAAGCUUCAUCAGCAAUUUCUUUUCCUUUCUUUGACGCUGCGGUCACAGUCUCUUCGGCAGCAGCGGCAGCUUCUUCUGCAGCCAUGUCUAGCAGCAUUUGGUCAAUAUGUUCAAUUGUGCUCUCUAAAUUCAAAUCUUCAGCUGAGGUAACUUCGGCGACUGCGGCCUCCGAAGGUGCAAUUUCAAUAUCUGCUUCCUCUAAAGCUGCUCGUGUCUUUUGGGCCGAAGCUCUUGGCGGCGUUUUGUCAAUUACCUCUGUCACGGUAAUGAUUCUUUGUUUCCUUGCCUUGAUUGUUUUCUUCGAUUUCUCGGGCUCCUUGUCCUUCUGAAAAAACUUUGUCAGUUGUGGACCCAGUGGACUUAGCUUCGCAGGUAAGGAUUCAGUCAUUACCUUCAGAAUUUCCUCAACAACGGCAGCAGAAGGCGAUGCGGGGGUUUCUUCUGCUUCGGAUAUUUGUUGCUUCGGAGAAGAAGUUUUCCUUUUCUUUGGAAUUUUCUUCUUUAUUGGCUCUUUUUCACCUUCAUCUAAGGCUUCAGUCCCCCUUUUCCUUUUUUGGCCUCCGGCACCUUUGUUCAGAUCUUCGUAGUCUGGGUACUCGAAACCCAAGGCGUCCAAUACUCGAUUUAGCCUUCGUUUCGGUCGAGUGCCGAAGGCUGCGGUCAUCAAUUGAUCUUCUUUUUUCGAAUAAUUGCCAAGUAUCUCGUUGCACAUCACUUCGAUCAUAUCCAGCCACUCUUGGCAAGGAGCUUUAAAGUAUUUCUUAAAUUUGAAGCAGUAAGGCAAACGUACAAGUUCACCUUUUUUCUUUUCCCCCUCCAGUUUCGGCAUUUCCCACUCUUUUACACUAGGGAAAACCUUGAAAGCCAAGAAUUCCUGGACUAGGUCCCUUGUACUGAUAUUCUCUGCAAUUAUUUUGAAUUCAUACAUUGCUUUUUGGGUCGGACCCUCUGGUAACAUGUGGCACUGGGGGCGGGUUUCUCCGAAGGUCAAUUCAAGUGGACUCUGUACAAGCUUUUCCUUAUCGUCAUCAACCUUGACAUAGAACCAUUCCGAUUUCCAUCCUGCUGCCCAUUUGCUUCGGUAGCUGAUCACAGGAUACUUCGUAGUUUUCCGAUAAGCAAAAUUAUAGCAACCAAAAUUCUCAUGUAAUCCAUCUUUUCUAGCCUUUGUCUGAUAGUGCAAUUCGUGAACCCGGCAAAAGCUGUCCGCAAACGGUUCCACCGCCUGGCUUCAAAGUGCCCAGAUAUAAACAUUAAGCCUAACGAUAGCGUUGGGGGUCAGCUGGUGAAAAUAGAUUCCAAAAUUCUUUAAUAUCUCUGCAAUAAUCCCAUGAAGGGGAAUCUUAAUCCAGCCUUUAGGAAACUCUUAAAAAUAACAAUUUCAUCUUUUUCCGGCUUUGGGGUAGUCUCUUCUCCCCCGAAGCGUAAUAGCUUCUUUUGAUUUUCAGUAAAAUAUCCUGACUUUACCAUCUUGGACAAAUCAGCCUUCGAAACAGUAGAUUUCCCGAAGUCCAAAUGACUGGGUUUGCUUGGUGUGGCAAGGUGAUAAUCAUCUUCGGAGUCAGUUUCCUCAGCAUCUUCUCCUUCUGCUUCAGCGAUUGCUUGUUCUGCAUCAUCAAUAGGAGCCUUCUCCGAAGUCACUAGCCCGGAUCAUCGCAUGGCUUCGGAGAUAGGGACAGUCUCCGAAGCAUCAGUUUCGUCCCCCUCACGUUCAACCCUAGCGGUAGAACGGACUCUGGCCAUUUAACUAUGAACUUGUGAAACUUUAAUACUUUUUUCUCCGAAGCAGGCUUCAAGAUGGAGCUUCGUUCAAUUCUGACAAACAAGCUUCGGCGAUGGUUAAGAAUUUUGGCAGCAAAACAGUGCAAAUAGCAGUAAAUGCUGUGGUAACUUCACACCUACUCGUCUGUUUAUAUAGUGCCGCAGGUAAGAAGGCGAAGCGCCAGAAGUUUUACACCAGGCGGGCACCCGCUCGCACUCGCUGAACGGUGGACCACAGAGACCGAACAGUAAUUCUGCAAGGUGGGGCCGCUACGCGCAGGGAGAGUGAAUCGUUUCUCGGCAACGAGCUCAGGGAAGGUGUUUUUUGGACCUUCGGCUCCCCGAAGCUUAAGAGACUUUUUUCACGGAUCAAGCUCGUUACGAAAAACGAUCUAGCACCGCGAAAGGGGCUACUGUUGGGUCUAUGCUUCGUCGCCGAAGGUCUUCAAGGGAGAAGCGGCUUUAUAAUGAGUGAGCAGGUAUCUUCGGACUUGUAUCAGAAAGGGAGAAGCUCAAAAGAUACAAAGGUUGACACAGCGCCGAAGCUGUGAAGCAGGAAAGCUUCGGCAUGUUCGCAGAAAAGGGAACCGACUUAAAGAUGAAAAGGCCAUUUAGACCUCGAUAGAGUGCUAUAGAAUUAUCACCAAAUGUAAAGGGCAUGUAUGUAAUUUUGUAUGGGUUGUACCCCGUGCCUAUAAAUAGGUGAACAGUACCCCCGUACUGUUCACGCUGACUUGGCAUUUGCUUUUGCGUCACACUUGUAUUUUCAUCUCCUUCCAAGCCGAAGGUACAUUUAUAAUUCAAUAUUGUUUCUAUUUUUCUAUGAUGAUAUAAUAAAGUGAAAUAAAUGAUGUUAUAUGAUUAUUUGUGUUAUCCUUUAACUUUCAUAUACUUCGUCUUUCAUUAAUGUAUACUGUAAUGAUGAAGGUUUGUCCUUCAUAACCUUCGUCCGGAGAUCGUUAUAUCCUAAGGGAAAUAAUGCCUCAAAGGACGAAUGACUUUAUCGUUUAACAUUUUCUAUGUUGCCUUGUUCUUAACUCAUAGCACUUGAGAACAAGUCCCCAACAAAAGCAACACUAAGUUCAUCAAGCAUAUCACCUAAUCUAGGAAUUGGAUGUCUAUACCUUACGGUGAUGUUAUUGAUAGCUCGACAAUCCACACACAUUCUCUAAGAUCCAUCUUUCUUAGGAACUAGAAGGACAUAGACAACACAAGGGGAAAGACUUUCUUGUACGUACGCUUUUUUAAUCAAUUCUUCCACUUGUUGCUGAAUCUCCUUUGUUUCUUCUGGGUUGGUGCUAUAGGCAGCACGAUUUGGGAGGGAAGCACCAGACACAAGGUCUAUUUGAUGUUCAAUCCCUCUCUUAGGUGGUAGCCCUAGUGGCACUUCAUCAGGAAGCACAUCCUCAUAUUCCUGUAAUGCAUCAAAGACAAUACUUGGCAAAGUAGAGGGUAAGUUGUUAGUAGAAAGAAGGUUGUCCUUGUACAGGAGCACAAAGAACAUGGCAUUAGGUUCACUCAAUUCUUUUAGAUCCCCCUUCCUAGUCAUCAUGACUAAUCCCUCUUUUCCCGGUGUCUUGGUUAUUGGAGGCUGUGGAGUUUUAUUUGGCUUUGAAAACUCUUCCUUACUAUUUUUGUGGAUCACUCUCAAGUGCUUCUCGCUCUCUCGCUGUUUCUUCUUUAGAUCAUCCUUCAUAAUUUCCUCCGGUGUCAAAGGAAGCAAAGAGAUUCGCUCUCCUUUGUACAAGAAAGACAACUUGUUGGUUCUUCCAAAAAUCUGGACAUCACGAUCAUAUAACCAAGGUCAACCUAGCAGCAAUUGACAUGCUUGCAUAGGGACCACAUCACAUUCCACAUGAUCAUUCUACUUCCCAACAGAAAAAGGAAUAUUCACCACAUGGCUAACACGCAACGCUCCACAAACAUUAAGCCGCUGCAUCUUAUAUGGACUAGGACGACACCUUGAUUUUAAUUCCAAUCUGUCCACCAAUUCUUGACUAGCAAUGUUGUUGCAGCUACCAUUAUCAACAAUGAUGCGACAUAGCUUAUCUUUGACCAUACCUUGGGUAUGGAAAACAUUAUGGCGCUGUCCAUUUUCUUCUCUUUCAGCAGUCACACUUACCACUCGAAGAGAGAUAAAACAGUUAUGAUCUACUUCUGGCUAGAUCUCAUUCUCUUCAUGUUGAAUUUCUUCAUCAAACUUCAGUCCAUCGUCUUCUGGAACACUAUCUGAUUUCCAUUCACCUUUUUAAUUCAACAACAUUGUUCUUCUACUUGGACAUCGAGCAGCAAUGUGCCCACGACCAUGACACUUAUGGCACACAAUUUCUCUUGUAUGGGUAGAAGAAGUAGCGACUAAAGCUUCAGUCGGGUCUGAUGUACUAGCAGCAGGCCGAUGCUUAUUUGCAGGGAAUGAACCUAUAGAAGCCACCAUCUUUGAUGUACUAUUGGAUGGAGAAGACCUAGCUACAUUUCCUUGGGAUGGUCCUCCACCAAAAGAAGCACUGGAUUGUUGUUUGUGCCAUUGGACAACAUUAUAAUGACUUGCAUAAGAUUUUCCACGUGACUCUUGUUGAAAUUUUCUCUCUGUACGCAUUGCUUGAUCAACUAGAUCUUGCAAGGUACGGUAUGGGAACAUCUCGACAAAUCCAGAAAUCUCUUCAUUGAUUCCGCCUAGAAAUCUUGCCAUGGUUGACUCAGGAUCUUCUCUAAUUCGAGUUCGUACUAACAACAACUACAUCUCCUUAAAAUAUUCAUCAACAGAUUUCUUUCCUUGCUUCAAUAAUUGCAAUCGAUUUCGAAGAUCGCGUUGAUAGUUGGAAGGAACAAAUCGCCUCUUCAUCACUCGCUUCAUCUCUUCCCAUGUAUUAAUAUGUCUUAGUCCCAAUCUAAGUUGAUGUUCUUGCAGUUGAUUCCACCAAGUAAGAGCAUAACCAAAAAACUCAACUGGGGACAUGUUCACUCGUUGUUGAUCUAAAAAAUUGUGAAUUCUGAAAAUUUGAUCACACUGCUCAGCCCAAUUAAGAUAUUCAUCUGCACUUUCUUUCCCAGUAAAUUUAGGAAUAUCCAACUUGACUCGGGCAAUAUGGUCUCGGUCAUUUCUAUGACGACGUCCAUGAUAAUGGUCUCUAUUUUCAAAAUUAGCAUGUCGGUGAUGAUGACGCCGACCAAACAUUCCAUCAUUUGCAAAAGGAUUUUCAUCAGAUCCUUCCUCACGAUCAUGGUCUUCAGACUCCUUGUCUUCAAAUCUUACUCGACGUUCGUGUGCAUGACGCCUUCCACACAAAUUAUCGAAAUUAGCGCGGCGACCAUCACCAACCUCUACGGCCAUCGCCGAAGGGAUCGAAUUCAUGGUCAAAACCAGAAUUCUCAUCUCCGGAUUCUUCACGGUUAAAUUCUUCUGGAUCAUGAUGAUGUAGCCUUUGACCUCCUGUCGCAGUCAGACGUUCUUUUGACAUCCUUUCCAUGGCUCCCACGAGUGAGUCGGCCAUCUGAUGCAAUUCAGCCCGAGAGACAGGGGGCUCUCCAUCUCCAUGGUUUCCACCAUGAACACUUGAAUUGGAUCCUACCAUGUUAGAGGGAAGCAAGAGAAAGUAGAAUAUGAAAGUAUUUGUGGAACACUCGAUCUCACCUCUUACUUACUGUUGGGGACUUGUUCUCAAAUGCUAUGAAUUAAGAACAAGGCAACAUAAAAUGUUAAAUAUUAAUGCCCUUCGUCCACUGAAGCAUUAUCUCCCCAAGGAUUUAAUGAACUUCGGACGAAGGCCAUGAGCAAGAUAUCACGAAGAUCAUACCUUCGUGAUUAGAGUUAUAAAACAAUGUAGGAUGAAAUAUAAAAAUAUGAAACAUAAGGGAAUGAUAUAUCAAAAACACAUAAGAUUAUUCACACAUUUUAUUAUACAAACCUAAAUAUUAAAACAUAAUAUUUAGGUACAUUUAUACCUUCGCCUUGGCAGAAAGCAAUAAUUCCAGCGUAAUGUGCCAGCGAUUACAAGAUUGCGUGAACAGUGCAGGGGUACUGUUCACCUAUUUAUAGGCACAAGACGCAGCCUGUGUAUAAUUACAUUUAUACCCUUUACAAUCAACUACAAUAAUGACACAGAAUAUCAUGGGUCUUUAGGUCAUUUCAUCUUUAAGUCGGUUCACCCCUUCGUCUUGAGACAUGUCACUGUGCCGAAGCUUUAUAGGCAAUAGCUUCGGCACUGCUUUUGAGAGGAUCUGCCGAAGGUGUUUCUUUCUUUAGGAUCUUCGGCUAUGAAGCAUACCCCCAACAGUAGCCCUUCGCGGUGCUAGAUCUUUUUUCGUAACGAGCUUGAUCCGUGAAAAAAUCUUUUAGGCUUCGGGAUGCCGAAGAUCCGAAAAACACCUUCCCUGAGCUCGUUGGCGAGAAAUGAUUAAAAUAAUCCAUGCGCGAGGUGGCCCCAUCUUGCAGCAGUUACGCGCACCCUGGUGAUUCACCUUCUCGGACUCUGUGGCCCACCGUUCGGUGAGUGCGGGUGGUUGUUUGUCCGGUGCGGAAGACCUUGACGAUUCACCUUUCCACCUGUGGCACUAUAUAAACAGACGAGUAGGUGUGAAGUUACCACAACAUUCAUUGCUAUUGCGCUGUUUUGCUGCCAAAAUAUUGACUAAAGCCGAAGCUUGCUUACUGCAUCCUCAUCUGAAGCUAUUUGUUUUACUCAAGCUUCGUAACAAGAAAGAGCUUCAACAAAGUUAAAAAUUUCAACUUCAUUCAAAAAACAAGAAAUUCAAUCAUCAGAUGGCCAAAGUACGUUCAACAGCUAGAGUUACUCGCGACGGAGAGGAAGCCGAAGGUGCCAAAAUUGCUCCAAUCUCUAAAGUAAUGAAGCGUUCAGGGCUGGUAGUAUCGGAGGAUGCACCUGCCGCUGAAGCUGAGCAGGCUGAUGCUGAGGAAGUUGAGUCAGAAGAUGAUUACAGCGCAGUGCCAACUAAACCCAGCCACCUGGAGUUUGGGAAAUCCACCAUUUUCGAAGGUGACAUGCCGAAGCUGAUGAAUUUGGGCUAUUUCAGUGAAGCGAAGAAGGAGCUGGUUCAUUUCGGCGGGGAGGAGAUUACUCCGAAGCCAGGAAAGGAUGAAGUAGUGGUCUUCAAAAGCUUCUUUAAAGUUGGUUUAAGAUUUCCUUUAAACAAGAUGAUUGCUGAUGUUUUGAAGAAGUUUGGGAUCUAUCUUCAUCAACUAACUCCUAACACUAUCGUUAGGCUUAGCGUUUAUAUCUGGGCUCUCCGAAGCCAAGGGGUGGAACCAUUUGCCGAAGGCUUCUGCCGACUGCACGAGCUUCAUUAUCAGACCAAGGCUAGAGGAGAUGGGCUGCAUGAAAACUUUGGCUGCUACAAUUUUGCCUAUCGCAAGAGUACAAAAUUUCCAGUGAUCAGCUAUCGUAGCAAGUGGCGAGCUAGCUGGAAGUCUGAGUGGUUUUACGUCAAAGUUGACAAAGAAAAGGAGAAGUUGGUCCAGAAUCUGCUAGAAUUAAUCUUCGGAGAGACCAGACCCCAGUGCAACAUGACACCAGGGAGUCCAAGCCAAAUUGCUCUGGCUGAACUUAGAGUUAUUGUGGAGCAUAUCGGCACUAGGGACUUAGUGCAAGAAUUCUUGGCUUUCAGAGUGUUCCCAACUUUGAAAGAGUGGGACAUGCCGAAGCUUAAGGGAGAAAAGAAGAAGGGGGAACUUAUUCAGUUGCCUUAUCAUUAUAAAUUCAAGAAACAUUUCAAAGUGCCUUGCCAAGAGUGGCUGGACACGAUUGAAGUAAUGUGCAAUGAAAUUCUCGGCAAUUACUCUAAAAAAGAAGAUCAACUAAUGACUGCAUCCUUCGGCACCCACGGUGGGCGCCAAUGUUGGGGACUUGUUCUCAAAUGCUAUGAAUUAAGAACAAGGCAACAUAAAAUGUUAAAUAUUAAUGCCUUUCGUCCACUGAAGCAUUAUCUCCCCAAGGAUUUAAUGAACUUCGGACGAAGGCCAUGAGCAAGAUAUCACGAAGAUCAUACCUUCGUGAUUAGAGUUAUAAAACAAUGUAGGAUGAAAUAUAAAAAAUAUGAAACAUAAGGGAAUGAUAUAUCAAAAACACAUAAGAUUAUUCACAUAUUUUAUUAUACAAACCUAAAUAUUAAAACAUAAUAUUUAGGUACAUUUAUACCUUCGCCUUGGCAGAAAGCAAUAAUUCCAGUGUAAUGUGCCAGCGAUUACAAGAUUGCGUGAACAGUACAGGGGUACUGUUCACCUAUUUAUAGGCACAGGGCGCAGCCUGUGUAUAAUUACAUUUAUACCCUUUACAAUGAACUACAAUAAUGACACAGAAUAUCAUGGGUCUUUAGGUCAUUUCAUCUUCAAGUCGGUUCACCCCUUCGUCUUGAGACAUGUCACUGUGCCGAAGCUUUAUAGGCGAUAGCUUCGGCACUGCUUUUGAGAGGAUCUACCGAAGGUGUUUCUUUCUUUAGGAUCUUCGGCUACGAAGCAUACCCUCAACACUUACCCAAGCUCUUUCCUAAUCUCUAGGGCCGUGAUGGUGCCGGUGUGGCAGCUUCGACAGAGGUGGUAGAGCAGUCGAAAGGAUAACAAGUCAAACGUCCUGGUUCAGGUUUUUUAGUGGAGCUAUAGGAGGCUGAUCAAGGUGGGCUAUGGUACUAUCAACCAAGUGUGUUGAUGUGCUAAAAAGAUAUGAAAUUGUUGCUGGAAAGAUUCUCAUCAAAUCAAUGUAAACUAAAAUUUUCAGCAACACACCGCAACACAAUCCCCUUUCACAAAUUUUUUCACUUCUUCUUUUUUUGACUUCUUUCUCUUCUUCUUUUUUUCUUUCUCUCUUUUUUAUAACACUAAUGGAGUGUCGAGAUCAAAUGCAAUGACACAAUAUGAAUACGACGGUGGUAACUAGCAACUUGAGGAACUUUAAACAACACAAGGUAACAAUACCGCCAAAGGGUUAUAGGUUUUUUGUGUGGCUUUGGACUAUAGGACAAAACAAAAUAUAAGAUGGAUGAAGACUGUGAUAAAUAAGUGGAUGACAGUAAGACCUACCAUGACAACGAAAGCUCUGAUACUAGAUGAUAUGUACCGAGUUAUAUUCGGUACUAGGGUGCCCCAAUCUUCACGACAAUAGGUUGAUAAAUAAGAUGGUUGGGUAUAAAAGUAAUGGAAUAACAAGGUAAAUUUGUUGUAGAACAUCGGGUAACUGACUUUAUACCUGAUCAAGGUCGGAGGUGACCAAGCGACGGGGAGAGAGACACCGAAACCGUGGAGACUUUGACUCGAUCUCUGAACGACCAUAGAAUCACAACCGGAGCUAAUCCACACAAUGCGAGGCAGCCGUACUGGAACUCACAAGGCAUGAACUAGUGGAUCCCAGAGGAGUCUCUUCACAAGUCUAGGAGAACAAGGAAGAACAGGGGUAGAGUAAACACUCAGCAGCUUGGCUGCGGUAAUCACUUGGAUUAUCAAAUCAUCAAAGGUUAUCAAAAGUUGUUUUACAUCAUAGACAUAGGGGGGUAUUUAUACUAGCUACAACCAGCCUUAGAUAGGUAUAAACACGAAAAGAAAGUAUUUUAACGUGCUAAUGUGAAGUGGCCUCUUCGGGAGAUCUCCAGAGCUGAAUUCUGCGUGGCUGUUUGACUUCUACGUAGCCUUCAAUAUUUUGAUAAUAACUUCUCCUAGGAAUCUCUAAAUGGCGUGGGGCUAGAUGCGCUUGAAAGCUAACUUCAUAAGCUUUCUCACCAUAUAUAACAUGCUUAGUGAAACUUCGUAGAAUGAUACAGUUUAAUACUAAAACUUGGUCAUCAAGCAGACUGUUGACUGUCACACCCGGGUUUUAGGGGGCACCAAAACCCGGACGCGAGAUAAUCACCAAGUGUGCUGGGACCAAGUCUCACACAUAUGAUGACUCAUGGUACAUAAACGAAUGUCACAUCUUUAGUAUAUAAUAGGAUUUCUAUACAAAAUAAAUAAAUAAUUACAUCAUAUGGAGACAACUAUCCAACAACCCAAAGUUGAAUGUGAGACGACGGCUUAGACCUCUUACGAAUUCAUCACAACAUCCUCCAUGUGCCUCCUCCUGCGGUAACUGUUCUUGACCUGUGGGGGGUGUGAGACAGCAAGGGUGAGCUCACAUACGUUCAUCGCUCAAUAAGUUGUGGGGAAUAAUGUGCAUGAACUCACCAAAGGUGGGAGCUCAUGUAAAGUGUAAGGCUUACCAAAGAAGAUGGCUAAAGCUGAGCAUUGCUUUUAAAUUUGGUCAAAUUUUAUUACAGUUACUAAGUAUAAGUAGAUACCAACCCAAAUAAGUAAUAGAUCAAAAUUGAUAACAACACCCACGAUGCAAUGCAUAUGACAAAUUAAGUUUAGUUCCAUAAAUUAAUCAUGUGAGUUUCGAGCCGCUCAUGACCGUAAGCACGACUGAUACACCAAUUUUACACUCUGCAGAGGUUGUGCAUAUUUACCCACAAGUUGUGUUAUCCAUCUGUCAAGGGGUUAUGAAUCCCAUACACCUCUACCAAGGAAGUGAGGUAGGGUAACAAUACGAGGCCUUUACAAAGUUCCACUAACUUCAGAAAACCCGCUACAGUUUCUAGGAAGCUCCAAUGCAGGGAUCCCUCACUUGACCAUCAUCGCAGCAAAAUCAACCCAAGGACCUCCCUACACUGACCACUCCCCUACUGCCCUUGCCCCUUUCGGGUAAGAUAGUCCUCCACUAGCUUUCCUAAUUAGUCAGCCAAGGGCGUCCCAUACCACCCUUGUGGUAGCACUGUUUUCCCGGGUGGUUCUCCAUGUUCCAAUUAACAAUAUGAUCUUAUCAUGAACAAUAAUUAAACAACAACAUAAUUGGAACAUGAUUAUAAUGAAACAUUAGUUUCCCAAAACCAAAUAGAGCAAUAGCAAAGAUACCCAAUAAUUCAUCUGUCUACAAGGUGAGGAAUAAACAAUGCUAGGGAAACCUAUUAGGUCCCAUCAAAUUAACCCGAUGCCUGUCACAGUGAUUAGCAAUGAACAUUAUUAGGUAAAAAGGAGUGAUCGAGGGCACAACUUGCCUGGGACUCGAGAUUCCAGGUACCAGGAUGAUCUUCAGAUGACUCGCAACCUCGCGCUAGUCGUAGCAAUACAAACAAACAUAGCAUAGGCAAAAUUAACAUCACACCAAACAUAAUCACAAAUUAAAUAAUAAUGAUCUACACGUCGUAACGAGAUCGUAGGUUCGAGAAUUACUAAAAUCGGAGCUACGGUUUUAAAGAUACGAUUUUCUAAAGAUUUAGGAGUCGGGUACAAAAGAAAUUAAGUACAUGAUUGUAAUUUAUGUUUCAUAACAAAAUAAAGUUACCAGGGGAUAAACAAUAUUAUUAUGGAACUAAUGCAACUGGAAUAAAUCAAAAAGGAGUUAAAAUGCGCAAGUUAUGAAUUUUCUAAGUUUAUUCUAUAUUAUAAAUCAUUUUCUAGAUUUGUAUUUGCUUAAAACAAAAACUAUGGCUGCAGUUACUAAAUCUGAAGUGUACAGGGGCUAUCCCAUAAAUGUCCAGGGCACAAAUAGAAUUAUUUAGCACUGGUAGGGGAUGGCAGGUUAGUUUCAAGAUUUUCCGAGGACUCUUUAGCAAAAGACCCACGACGAAGGGGUAAGAUCACACCUGAGCCGCACGAUCUGAAGUCUAUGGCCCAGAUUAGAUCGCCUACAACUGAAUGGGUAUAGAGCUGUAGCCCUUGGAUCCACGAUCAACGCUCUGGAUUUUAAAGACUUGAAUGGGUUCUCACGCGUCAGAUUUAGAUCGGACGGUGCGCAGCUAUCCAUGAAGGGGUAUCAAGCUUUUCUGACCGCGUGAUCACAAAUUGAUGGUCCAGAUUUAAAGGCACAUACGAUUAUGCAUCUUCUAAUAUGAAUCAUUGAUCAAGCAGUCAACGACUCAGAUCCCAAUCCCUGAAGUUGUACCCGAAGUUCUAAUCCUAGCCCUCCAAAAUGGAUCGCAUGACUCAAUUACCAUCUUCUUCCCUCAAACUACACACACAGCGGCGCACGCCGGUGAACCACCCCAUCACGGCGCAUGGGUACACGAUUCCCAAAUCAAUCUGGUGCUACACGAUGUAGGCCCAUGGGCGAAUCGGUAUAGGGAGUUCUUAUCGUGUCUCGACGCAACAGAGGACGUGACCACGACGCACAGGGGUGUGGUGGCAGCACAAGAGCUCCUAUGAGCAAUCACCACACCAACGCAGCCACCGAGUACCAAAUACCCCACGUGUGUGAUCUUUACCUUCAAGCGAACCUCCCCACCCAAUUGAUCGACACCGAGUUGCAGUGGCGGUGAGAGUAUGCUGCGGCAGCGCUCAUGUUUUCUUCCCCUGUCAAUGGUGUUCGGCGCGGUGACCCAAGCUUUAUAGACACGCAGAGUCUGUGCCAAGACCAGCUACCCACCUAGCGCCAGUUGUGUGGGUGUUGCGCCAAACCCCGAAGAUCGUGGACGGCGGGCGAGAAGGAUCUCGCGGUCUUUUUUGGGAUGCGGCAGUCGUGGCUCUUGAUAGAGGGAAGAAAGACCUGGCGGACGGGGCCCACGCGACAGAUAGAUAGAUCAGGUGCGUGCAUAUGGGUGGCCUACAAGCGGGCCCCGCAGGUAAGUGUGAGGUCCAGAACGGAAGCGCGCGUGUGAGUAGAGUGGGUUGGUGGAAUGGUGAGCCGGAUGGGCCGAGGGGAGAGGAAAUGGGCCCAUGCGUGGUUCUCUGUUUUUCUUUUUCUUUUUAUUCUGUUUUGAAUUUCUUUCUCAAUUUCAAAUUUCAAUACUUAACUUCGAGUUUAAAUUUCCUGCCUUGAAUUUUUAGACUUCCAAUUAUCUAAUACCAUUCUAAUUGUGAAUAUAAACUUGUACAAAAUUUUAAUAUUAUUAUUAUUAAUUCUCCCUCUAUUUUACAAUUCUAAUAGCAACAAAUUACUAUUACUAUUUCUUCUCUCAUCUUCUAUUUUAUAUUUUCAUUGAUAAUUUGAGGUCAAUUUUAUGUUUAAAAUAAAAUGCAUCACAACAAUAUCAUCAACAAGAGAUGUACCUUUCUUUGUUUACUUAUUGGUUACUUAACUAAUUUGGUACCAUUAAUUGUUUAGGAAAGAAGGAAAUGUCCUAAUGAAUUCCAAAGGUUUCAGAAACUCUAGAAACACUAUUAUAGAUAUUUUAUUUCUUUAUUUUAUUAUUUUAUUAUAUUUUUUUCUUCUACCAAUUUUAGGCUUUACAAAUCCUACCCCCUUAACAGAAAUCUCGUCCUCGAGAUUAGUAAGAAAAAGGAUGUAUAACCAUAUUGUCUCAGAACAUAUGCACAAACAAGAAUCUCAGCAUGAUGCAUAGCUUAUUAGCAACACAUAGGGUCAAAUAGACCUUAUUAUUAUUAUUCCUAAAAUAGUAAAAUACUAGCUACUAACUAAAGUAAUAUUUAGGUCUUACAAAUAGUACUCUAAAAGUAUGUAGAUAUAUAUAUUUAUAUAUAUAUAUUUAUUCUAAUCGUGUUGUUCAUUGCCUUCUUCAUCAAUUUCUUCACCUCAACCACCAAUUUCUGCAUGGUUGACCUGCCCCCGAUUGACGGAUAAGGGCUGACUCUUGCCUGCUGAGGCUUGACCCUGCUUCAUCGAAGUCGGAGUAGUAUAAGAAGCCCUGUUGGGACAGUAGUUGGCAUAGUGUCCAAACUGUCCACACUUGAAGCAUGACAUGUUCAGUAUAACACCAGUGUAAAGGAAAAGUGCAAUAUAGAUCAACUCAUGGCACAGUGUGUCCAGAAGAAGGAUAGUGUUGGGGACUUGUUCUCAAAUGCUAUGAAUUAAGAACAAGGCAACAUAAAAUGUUAAAUGUUAAUGUCCUUCGUCCACGAAGCAUUAUUCCCUUGAGGAUAAUGAACCUUGGACGAAGGUUGAUAGCAAUACAAUUACGAAGGUUAAGUCUUCGUAAUUGAAUUUUAAUAGAUUGUAUAAGAUAACAUAAAAUAAAGAAUAUCAAAGGUAAAUGAAUUAUAAACGGAACAUAUUGUAUUUACUUAAUAUAUUGAAUUUUUGAAUACAAUUAUACCUCUGCCUUGGCAAAGAUUGGUUCCUGAAUGAUGUGAUUGCCAAAACCGGAAUCCGUGAACAGUAAGGGAAUACUGUUCACUAUUUAUAGGCACAGGACACAGCCUGUGAGAAAUUACAAUUAUGCCCCUCACAAAGGAUUACAACAGCGACCUAGGCACUUAUGGACUAGAGGGUCAUUCUACUUUUAAGUCGGUUUGUAAUACCGAAGCUUCAUGAAGAGGAACCUUCGGUCAUCUCAUACGAAUAGCUUCAGCCGCAAGCUGCUUCUUCCUACAAGACCUUCGGCGACGAAGCAUAGUCCCAACAGUAGCCCCUUUCGCGGUGCUAGAUCGUUUUUCGUAACGAGCUUGAUCCGUGAAAAAAGUCCCUUAAGCUUCGGGAAGCCGAAGGUCCAAAAAACACCUUCCCUGAGCUCGUUGUCGAGAAACGAUUUAGUUUCCCAGCGCGUAGCAGUCCCACCUUGCAGAGUUACUGUUUGGUCUCUGCGGUCCACCACGCAGCGAGUGUAAGCGGGUGUCCGCCUGGUGUAAAAAUCCUGGCGCUUCGCCUUCUUACCUGCAGUACUAUAUAAACAGACGAGUAGGUGUGAAGUUACCACAGCAUUCAUUGCUAUUUGCACUGUUUUGCUGCCAAAAUUUUUAACCAUAGCCGAAGCUUGACUCUCGGAAUCGAACAAAGCUCCAGCUUGAAGCCUGCUUCGUCAGAAGGAAAAAACUUCGGAAGUAAAAGUAUUUAAUUGCCACAAAUUCAGAAUUAAAUGGCCAGAGUGCGUUCUGCCGCUAGGGUUGAGCGUGAGGGGGUGAAGCUAAAGGUUCAGAGAAUGUUCCCAUCUCCGAAGCGAUGCAACGAUCUGGGCUGGUAAAUUCGGAAAAAAUCCCCAGUGCUGAUGUAGAACAAGCAGAACAAACAACUGCCGAAGCAGAAGAAGAAAACAUUGAGGAAACUGAUCCUGAAGAUGAUUAUCGUAUUGCUAUGCCAAGUAAGCCCAGCCACUUGGACUUCGGAAAGUCUACUGUUUCGAAGGCUGAUCUCUCCAAGAUGGUAAAGUCGGGCUUUUUCAGUGAAAGUCAGAAGAAGCUACUACGCUUCGGGGGGGAAGAAACUACCCCAAAGCCGGAGAAGGAUGAAAUUAUCAUUUUCAAGAGCUUUCUAAAGGCUGGAUUAAGAUUCCCCCUGCAUGGAAUUAUCGCAGAGGUAUUGAAGAGGUUUGGUAUCUACUUUCAUCAGUCGACUCCUAACGCUAUCGUUAGGCUUAGCGUUUAUAUCUGGGCCCUCCGAAGCCAAGCGGUGGAGCCGUUUGCGGACAGCUUUUGUCGAGUUCACGAGCUGCACUAUCAGACGAAGGCUAGAAAAGAUGGAUUGCAUGACAAUUUUGGUUGCUAUAAUUUUGCUUAUCGGAAAACCACAAAGUUUCCUGUAAUCAGCUACCGAAGCAAAUGGGCAGCAGGCUGGAAGUCGGAGUGGUUCUAUGUCAAGGUUGAUGACGACAAGGAGAAGCUUGUGCAAAGUCCACUUGAACUAAUCUUCGGAGAAACCCGACCUCGUUGCAACAUGACACCAGAAGGUCCAGCCCAACAAGCGUUGGAUGAAUUCAGAAUUAUUGCAGAGCAUAUCAGUACAAGAGACCUGGUUCAGGAGUUUUUGGCUUUCAAGGUUUUUCCUAGUUUAAAAGAAUGGGAAAUGUUGAAGCUAAAGGGGGAGAAGAAAAAAGGUGAACUUGUGCGGUUACCUUACUAUUUCAAGUUUAAGAAAUACUUUAAAACACCUUGCCAAGAGUGGCUGGAUACAAUUGAAGUAAUGUGCAAUGAAAUACUCGACAAUUAUUCCAAAAAAGAAGAUCAACUGAUGACCGCGGCCUUCGGCACCCGUCCGAAGCGAAGACUAAAUCGAGUGCUGGACGCCUUGGGUUUUGAAUAUCCUAACUACGAAAAUCUGAAUAAAGGUGUCGGAGGCCAGAAAAGGAAAAGGAUAACCGAAGCCUUAAAUGAAGAUGAGAAAGAACCAUCAAAGAAGAAAAUUCCGAAGAAGAGGAAAGCGUCUUCUCCGAAGCAAAAAGUAUCCGACGAAGAAGAAACCCCCGCAUCACACUCUGCCACUGACGUGGAGGAAAUUUUAAAGGUAAUGACUGAAUCCCUGCCUGCGAAGCUAAGUCCAUUGGGGCCUCAACUGACAAAGUUUUUUCAGAAGGAAAAGGAGCCCGAAAAAACGAAGAAAACGACUAAAGCAAAAAGACAAAGAAUCAUCGGUGUAACAGAGGUCAUUGACAAGACACCACCGAGAGCUUCAGCUCAGAAGAUACCAGCGGCUGAGGGAAUGACAAAUAUUGAAAUCACACCUUCGGAGGUCGCGGCUGCCGAAGCUACCUCAAUUGAAGAUUUGAACUUGGAAAGCACAAUUGAACACAUCGACAAAAUGCUGCUAGACAUGGCCGCAGAAGAAGCUACUACUGCCGCCGAAGAGGUCGUAGCCGCAGCGUCGGGGAAAGAAAAGGAAAUUGCUGACGAAGCUUCAGAGGACGAGGCCUUCGUAUUUCAAAAUUUAGUUGGAGAAAAAUUGUCAAAAACCGAAAUAGAAGAGCUUAAAGAGUACGCCAAAUCUUGCGGAUAUAAACCAGGAGCACUCCUCUUCGGAGGUAUUGAUGAUGAAAAAUUGGACUCUAUCCGGAAUCAAACUGGAGCUAAGGUUAUCGGUACUCUGUCAAAGAGUAUCGGUUUUCCGAAGCUAGAAAUGGACAUUAGCCGCUACCGACGACAACAUAUCGUUGGUAGUUUAUUUUAUUCCAAUUUCAAGGUGAACUAUUUUUCCCCUGACUUUUAUUGUUUUGGAUAAUGAAGACAUGUCUAACGAAGGUUGUUUUCGUGUAGAGUAUGCUGUUGAGCAAAGCUUUGAAAAUGCAACAAGAUCUGGAAGACAAGAAACACGAAGUUAUAAUUGAAAAUUUAGAAGGCAAAAUAAAAGAGCAAUCAGCUACUAUUGAAAAGAAGAACUUCGAGCUUCAAGCGACUGAAGGCUUAUUGGCGGAAGCCGAAGCUAAAAUGACAGAACUGAACACGAAGCUUCUGUGCCAAUCUGAACAGUUUGAACGAGAAAAGCAAGAACUUAAUGCAAAACUUGAAGUCGAAGUCCAACAAAAUUCAGUUUUGAAAGAACUAUUGGCGGGCCUUCAAGACAAAUGUUUAGAAUUUAGCAACAAAUGUAUUCAACGAUUGAGAAAAAUUUUCCAUUCGGUCGGAGCUAGCAGUGAGAAGUUCACCCCGUCAGCUGAAGAUUUACCAAAGACCUUCGAACAUAUUGAGGGUGAAAUUGAUGAGCUUGACGAAGUUAUAGCCGGGCACGGUGACUUCUGCGCCUGGGUAGCUUCUCGGGGCACUGCUGCAGCUUUCCUAAAAGCUGGCUGCGAUCAUGGAAAGAUUGUCAAUAGGCCCAAUUUCACUUUAUCGCCAUCAAUUCUAGAUGACAUUCCUGAUCUCGCCCGAAGCAUUUCCAAUAGAUUUGUAAAGAUGAUAUGGACAAAAGGCGGGCGAGAAAAGGCAGGAGACGAAGCUCGGAGUCAUCUUGAACCAGUAAGAAAUCAUACCUUGUGCUUACCUCUUCCUUCAAGCUCGAUUUUGACUUACAACAACUUAAUUCAUGUAGGAGGACGAAGCCGAAGCCGAUGAUUAAAAAGAAUGACGCCGAAGCUGAGAUCCCUUGAAGAUUAAAUAGGAGUAGACUGUAGACAGACUCAAGAAACUUUUAAGAUAACUUUUGUAAAUGUAACUAAACUUGUCUUUAAUGAAUUCUGUUCAUACCUUGUAUUAUGCUCUUAUCCUUCCAUUAAUGUAUGAGAGGUGCUUUGAUGUGGACGAAAUUAUCUUUUUGAGUCGAAGGCGAAAAAACACCUUCCCUUCUUUUCGUACACAGUGAAGCAUAGAAAACAACAUUUCCCUUUCUUCCGAAGCUCUUCUUUUCGUACACGAAGAAGCUCUUCUCUCUUUUUUUUUCUUUUUGCCGAAGCAACCACUUAUGCUAUGAUGAUGAUUAUCCUACAUAUGCCUGGAUGAAUGUUUAUGAAUGCAAAUGCUAUGAUGUAAUGUGAUGUGCAAAUGAAUGUCCAAACACAUAUCCGAAGCCAUAAUCACAGCCAUUAUUUCCUUAGAAACAACCACAUAUCAGUGCUAACUUUUCGCUGUAAGCUCUGCAUUCCCUUAGGAACGACUUUGGAGCUUCUUUGUCUUUUACUUUCGGCGGAAUCAGCGUUGACUUUUCGCUGUAAGCUCUGCAUUCCCUUAGGACGACUUUGGAGCUUCUUCGCCUUUUACUUUCGGCGGAAUCAGCGUUGACUUUUCGCUGUAAGCUCUGCAUUCCCUUAGGAACGACUUUGGAGCUUCUUCGCUUUUUACUUUUCGGCACUCGAUGGUGCGUUCUCAGCUUUUACAUUUACAUUCCUUGGGGGAUUUUGCUCUUAUAGAACUAAAAAAGGAAAUUACAUAUGAUGGCCCCAUUAAAAACCUUUCUCCCCCUUCAGAAAGGAAAAGGGUGCCAUGAAAAAGAAAAAACAUAAAAAAUUACAUCAAGUUACACAUAAUAUCGCCGAAGCUCAUCCGCAUUCCAAGAUCUAGGAAUGUCGUUGCCGUCCAUAUCCUUCAAUCUGUAUGAACCGGGUCUUGACGAAGAUGCUACUAAGAAAGGUCCCUCCCAUUUCAACUGCAACUUGCCCACUGUAUCUGGGUUAGCCACUCGCCGAAGCACCAAAUGUCCUGGCUCAAUAUUCUUUAGCCGAACCUUUCUAUCACGCCAUUUGAUUGUUUCGGCUUGAUACUUAUUGAUGUUCUCCACAGCUUGAAGCCUGAUCCCUUCUACAACAUCUUUUUCCACAGAAUAAACAGCUUCAGAAUCUAACUCUGCCGAAGCUACUACUCUUAUUGAUCCAGUUUUGGCUUCCUCCGGAGUUAUUGCUUCGUCACCAAACAAUAGUUUGAAUGGAGUAAAGCCUGUUGACCUUGAUAUUGUUGUGUUGUGGCUCCAUACCACUUUGAUUAAUUGAUCUGGCCACUUUCCCCUAGGUUGAUUGAAGAUUAACUUCAUUAUUCCUGUCAUUAUAAUGCCAUUGGCUCUUUCAACGAGUCCAUUUGACUCCAGAUGCCUGACUGAUGCAAAAUGGAUCUUCGUACCAAUUUGAUCACAGAAAUCUCUGAAAGCUUCGGAGUCGAACUGUGUUCCAUUAUCUACUGUGAUGGCCUUUGGUACCCCGAAACGACAAACAAUAUUCUGCCAGAAAAACUUUUGGAUGGUGGCCGAAGUUAUUGUGGCUAAAGGCUUUGGCUCAAUCCAUUUAGAAAAAUAUUCCACAGCCACUACAACAUAUCUUAAGUUUCCUUGGGCCGGUGGUAACGGACCUAACAAGUCAAGGCCCCACCUUUGCAAUGGCCAAAUGGGUUGUAUGAGCUGGGUUAAAGACGAAGGUUGUUUUUUGAUCUCUUGCACAUUUCUGACAACCUUCGCACUUUUGAACUAAUUCCGCUGCAUCCGAAGCUGCCUUCGGCCAAUAAAACCCUUGACGGAAAACUUUUCCAAGUAACGGCCUAGAUCCAAUGUGAGAUCCGCACAGGCCUGCAUGUAUUUCUUUCAUCAAUUCUAUGCCUUCGGUUCUAGAUAAACACUUGAGUAGUGGAGCACAAACUCCAUGCUUGUACAACUCCCCUUCUAUCAUGACAUAUGGACGAGCUCUUGCCUCUAUCCUCCUGUUAUAAGUUUCGUCAUCUGAAAGGAAUUUACCCUGAAGGUAAGAGAUGAUUUCAGUUCUCCAAUCUUCGCUAUAAACAGGAGAUAUAUUGAGGACUGCCCUUUCAAGAAGUUCCACUGAAGGUGCUUUUAUUGUUUCGAAGAACACAUCCGAAGGUAAGGGCAGCCCCUGUGCUGCUGACUUAGCUAGCAAAUCAGCAUGCUCAUUUUGUCCUCGAGGGAUAUUUUUGACAGAAAAUCCUUCGAAGGAAGCUUCGACUCUUCGAACCAUGUCUAGAUAUUUUUCAAGCUUCGGAUCUUUAGCCUUGCAACUCUUGUCGAUAUGACCCGAAACAACCUGGGAAUCAGUUUUAAGAAUGGCCCUUCUGAUUCCCAUUGCUUUUAGCUUCCGAAGACCCAAAAGCAGGGCUUCGUACUCAGUAAUAUUGUUUGUACAACUGAAAUCGAGUCUUGCCGCAUAACAAGUUUUAACUUUGGAUGGCGAGACCAACACAGCAGCUGCUCCUGCCCCGAAGGUUCCCCAAGACCCAUCGCAAAACACUGUCCAUACUUCGGCAUCUUUAUUUGUUUCUUCAUCCUGAGCCCCUGGCGUCCAAUCGGCGAUAAAAUCUGCCAACGCUUGGGACUGGAUCGAAGAUCUAUGCACAUAAUCAAUGCAAAAUUCAUUGAGCUCUGCAACCCAUUUUCCAAUCCGCCCAGUAGCUUCUCUAUUUCUCAUAAUAUCCUUCAACGGCUGCGAAGAAGGAACAAUAAUAUUGUAUGCUUGAAAGUAAUGCCGAAGCUUCCUGGAUGCCAUCAAAACAGCAUAUAACACCUUCUCUAAUUCUGUAUAGUUUUUCUUUGAUAUACUGAGAACUUCAGAUACAAAAUACACUGGGACCUGUUUCUUGACUUGGCCAUCAAGCUUCUCCUGGACAAGUGCUGCACUUACCGCUGAGUGCGAAGCUGCCACAUAUAAUAACAAAGGAGCCCCUGGCGUUGGUGGAGUUAAUGUUGUUAAAUCUAUCAAAUAUUGCUUCAGUUCCUCGAAGGCUUUUUGUUGGCUUGGUCCCCAUUGAAAGACUUCGGCUGAUUUCAGGACUUCGAAGAAUGGUAAAUUUCUUUCUGCUGAUCUGGAUAUAAAUCUAUUAAGAGAUGCCAGCCUCCCCGUCAAUCUUUGGGCCCCCUUUUUUGUAGUUGGUGGCUCCAUUCGAAGUAUAGCUUCAAUUUUACUUGGAUUAGCUUCAAUUCCCUUUGUUGAAACCAAGCAUCCAAGAAAUUUCCCCUUCUUUACUCCAAAGACACAUUUUUCUGGAUUCAACUUCAGGCCAGCUUGUCUAAAACUGGCGAAGGUCUCCUGCAAAUCAGCAAUGUGAUUUUCCUGUUUCGUGCUUUUUACAAUGAUAUCAUCAACAUAAGUUAGCACAUUUCUGCCUAUCUGAGACUGGAGAACCCUCGCAGUCAUUCUGCUGAAACUUCCUCCAGCGUUCUUGAGCCCCUCAGGCAUCCGAAGGUAACAAUAUGUUCCACUAGGGGUUAUGAAACUGGUCUUUGGCUCAUCCUCCUUCUUCAUCCAAAUUUGAUGAUAGCCUGAAUAACAAUCGAGAAGACUCAUGAGCUCUGACGAAGCUGCUGCAUCAACUAAGGAGUCUAUCCUUGGCAAUGGGAAUUCGUCCUUCGGACAAGCCUUGUUGAGAUCUGUAAAAUCGAUACACAUUCGCCAUUUGCCAUUGGCCUUUUUUACCAUAACAGUGUUAGCUAGCCAUUCUGGGUACUUUACUUCUCUGAUAACUCCUGCACUGAGGAGUCUUUUGACUUCAUUACGAGCACCUUCGGCCUUAUCAUCAGACAUUUUCCGAAGCCUCUGCUUUCUGGGUCUGAAGGAUGGGUCAACAUUGAGCGAGUGUUCAAUAAUAUCUCUGUUAACUCCGCAAAGAUCAUUGGCUGACCAUGCAAAAACAUCUUUGUUGUUGAACAAAAACCUUAUCAAGGUUUUCUCCUGUUCUUCGGAUAAUUGAGAGCCCAACAGCACCCUCUGCUCUGCUAUGUCCUCACAUAAGAGCAUGGGCUUCGGCUGAUCUGCUGAAGCUGCUUUCUCCCUUCUGAAUUUGUACUGUUCACAAGCUUCAGCUCCAUCUAUGUUAUGGAUUGCUUUUGAGUCAGUCCAGUUUCCUUCGGCCCUUCUGGCAGCUUCCUGACUUCCAUGAAUAGCGAUGGGUCCUUGAUCCGAAGGUAUCUUCAUGCAAAGGUAAGCAGGAUGAAGAAUUGCUUCGAAAGCAUUGAGGGUGCCACGACCAAUAAUUGCAUUGUAAGGGUAUUCCAUGUCAACAAUGUCAAACACAACUUGCUCAGUUCUAGUGUUGUUGAUGAAUCCGAAGGUCACUGGCAUGGUGAUCUUGCCCAGUGCUACAAUUUGUCUUCCUCCGAAGCCACAGAGAGGGUGUGUAGCAUCAUGAAUCUUAUCUUCUGGCUCUUGCAUUUGUCUGAAGGCCUUAGCAAAUAUGAUAUCAGCUGCACUGCCUGUGUCAACCAAGACAUUGUGGACCAGAAACCCUUUGAUAACACAAGAAAUAAUCAUAGCAUCGUUAUGAGGAAAAUCCUUGAGCUGAAGGUCCUCCUGGGAGAAGGUGAUUGGAAUGUGAGACCACCUUGACUUGAUAAAGGGUCCCUGCACUCCAACAUGUUGUACCCUUCUCUGCGCCUCUUUCUUCUGCUUUUUAUUGGCUGGUUCUGAGCACGAACCACCUGUUAUCGGGAGCACCAGCUUCGGGUCUGAAGCAGCUCCAGCUCGAUCGUUGAACGAAGCCAUCAGCUCAAAAAAGUGGAAGUGAGUUCACCGGAGGUGGGCGCCAAUGUUGGGGACUUGUUCUCAAAUGCUAUGAAUUAAGAACAAGGCAACAUAAAAUGUUAAAUGUUAAUGUCCUUCGUCCACGAAGCAUUAUUCCCUUGAGGAUAAUGAACCUUGGACGAAGGUUGAUAGCAAUACAAUUACGAAGGUUAAGUCUUCGUAAUUGAAUUUUAAUAGAUUGUAUAAGAUAACAUAAAAUAAAGAAUAUCAAAGGUAAAUGAAUUAUAAACGGAACAUAUUGUAUUUACUUAAUAUAUUGAAUUGUUGAAUACAAUUAUACCUCUGCCUUGGCAAAGAUUGGUUCCUGAAUGAUGUGAUUGCCAAAACCGGAAUCCGUGAACAGUAAGGGAAUACUGUUCACUAUUUAUAGGCACAAGACACAGCCUGUGAGAAAUUACAAUUAUGCCCCUCACAAAGGAUUACAACAGCGACCUAGGCACUUAUGGACUAGAGGGUCAUUCUACUUUUAAGUCGGUUUGUAAUACCGAAGCUUCAUGAAGAGGAACUUUCAGUCAUCUCAUAUGAACAGCUUCAGUCGCAAGCUGCUUCUUCCUACAAGACCUUCGGCGACGAAGCAUAGUCCCAACAGAUAGGUUGAAGAGUCAAAUUGUGAUUCCAUCAACCUUCCCAAACUAUGUAUACCCAAAGAGAACAAGAACUCUAAGAAAGGUUCAAGAAUAAGAUCAAGCAUGAUCACCAGGCUUCUACAAAGCAACAGUCACACAUUUUCUCAGUUUCCCCACGACACCUGCCAUCUACUACAAAAGACAGGGCACUACAAUAGAAAGUGCCAGAAUUCCUGCACUAGCUGCUACCGAAUGCAAUUCCGUACAAACCUAAGGUUCCAGCGGGUCGAAUAAUAGUUAUAGUGGUUAACGAAAAGAAAGUAGACACUUAACUUCAGUUUCGUGAUUAGACAAUCAGCACAUCCACUAUCACUUCGGUGACAAAGAUUGUGUGUUAUUUAGCUUGAUAAUAAAGAUGUUGGUCUCGCCAUCCGACGAGACAUGAUUUAUUUAUCUUCGCACAGUGGCAUUGUUAAGGUCUUAGAUACACCAUAAAACAAUCCAUCCAAUAGUGGCAGGAAUAAAAAAAUAGAAGUGAUGGAGAAACCUCGUCGAAAUUAUGGCACUACCGUUUGGGCCAUAUUUCGAGCGAGGGAUAGAACGUCUCGUUAAGGGACAAAUUCUCCAUCCCCUAGACUUCACAAACUUACGAGAGUGUUAAAAUUAUUCAUACAGAUAUAUGUGGUCCUUUUUCAGUUAGUACAGUAGAUGGGUUUAACUAUUUGAUAACCUUCACAAAAGAUUACUCUCGCUAUGGUUAUAUUAAUCCCAAUAAGGAAAGAUCAGAAGCUUUAGACAAGUUUAAACAGCUCAAGGCUGAGGUAGAAAAUCAACAUGAUUUGAACAUAAAGAUUGUCGUAUCAGAUCAUGUGGGGAGUACUGUGGGCACCAUACUGAUUAUGGACAGGUCCCAGGAUCCUUUCGCGAGGUUCCUAAGUGAAAACCAUAUUGUUGCUCAGUAUUCAACACCUGGUGAACCGCAACAGAAUGGGGUUGCCGAAGGGCAUAACAAAAUGCUAAUGGAUAUGGUAAGGAGUACGCUUAGUUACUCUAACCUACCAUUGUGUCUAUGGAUGGAGGCUUUAAAAACCCGCUAUGCAUAUACUCAACAUAGUUCCUAGUAAAUCAGUGGCUAAAACUCCAUAUGAGUUGUGGACUGGCAGAAAGCCCACGCUCAACUAAUUCCACAUAUGAGGUUGUCCAACAGAAGCUACAAUAUUUAAUCCUAGACAGGAAAAGCUAGAUGAGAGAACCAUAAGCUGCCAUUUUAUUGGCUACCCUGAGAGAUCGAAGGGUUACAGAUUCUACUGCCCAGGCAGACAAACCAAGUUUAUAGAAACCAGACAUGCCAUUUUCCUAGAAAAUGAUAUGAUCAAGGGGAGUAAGGUACUCAGAGAGGUUGACCUUCAGGAAAAGAGGAUGUAUGUCCCGAUUCUGAUGGUUGAAGAACCAUACUUCUCGAUACCCACUGUGUUUCCACCAACGGUUGUAACGACUAGAGGUGAAACCCCUGUUGCAAAUGUUGCAUCACCCAAUGCAACUACUACAUAGCAAUUCACUUUACCUUCUGCACAGCCUGGCUCUUCUGAGUCGGUUGCACAGGAGAGUUCACAUGACAGUGGUAGUGUUGCGCCAAGUGACGCACCAUUGCAAGAGCCCCAAAACGAACCAAAACUAGAAACAAGUUUAAAAAGGUCUCAAAAGGUCUAGACGAUUUGUGAUUCCUAAUGAUUAUGGAGUUUACACAAGUGUAGACAAAGAAAGCGAUGGGAUUUAUAUGAGUGGGGACAUCGAUGCAGAAGGUGACCCCACUACAUAUGAAACAGCUAUGAGAAGCGUAAAUUAGUGGAUCUACAAGACCAAGCGUGAUUCCAAAGGGAAUAUCUAAAGAUACAAGGCUGGACUUGUGUCCAAAGGGUUCACACAGAGAGAAGGUAUUGACUACCAUAAAACCUUCUCACCUGUCUCAACAAAAGAUACAUUUCGGAUCAUUAUGGCAUUAGUGGCUCAUUUUGAUCUAGAGCCAUAAUAUGGAAGUAAUGACAUCAUCACUAAAUGGAGAGUUAAUAGAAAACGUGUUCAUGGCACAACCAAAGGGUUUUUGUUGUGAGUAGUAAAAGAAAAAACAUGGGUUUAAGGGAGUGCCUAUGAUCUUGAAUCACAGGGGCUACAUAUUGCAAUGCAACCAAAUAAAGUAUCUUUUCGUUCUAAAGCAGGCGAGCAUGGUGUAGUCAAUGAGUACGGUGAUACUUGAUCGGUCAUUGUCACGUAUUGGUCUCUAUGUGUAAACUUGUCGAGGGAUGAAAUCUAGAAAAGUUGAGUAUAAGGAAUGUAGAGAACAAAGGGGAGAUUGUUGGGUGUGCCCUCUACAGCUAGUCAUUGGUGAUCGGAUUGGGCUAAACCCAACUAUCCAUCUCCUUAAACGGGUCCUUGAUUGGGAGAACUCACGCUGACCUCGGUUGGAGCCCCCAGUCACACGACGCUAUAUAUAGGACUAAAGGGUCGCAGGAAAGACUAACGCUAGUACCUCGACCCAAAACCCUAAUCCCCACAGAGGCCCCCAUCGCCUAAGCGUCGGAGUGUCUAGAAGCGCGACAACCCACAGUGGCUCGGAUCCCGAUGCCUGCUGCUCCUCUGCAGACGACGACAACAACGACAACUCUCCAACAACAACAACAACGAAUGUGUGUUUUCCUAUUCCUCUUAGUAGAACAGAUCUACUUAUCAUCGAGGUUUUCCUUCCAGUUACGGAUUGGUAUUCUAGGGACGUAGGAAUAGAUCUUAGGUACCAUAGGAUCUAACACUAUGAAGAUUUUAUGACCACUUUGUAAUUUUAAGUUUUGCAUUUUUGCUUCCUGAUCAGAUGUCAUUCUCUGUACUUUCUGUGUAGGACACGGGGAAGUCCUGGAGACGCUAUCAGUGAGCUCCUUCUGCCACGUUUUGUGGACAUGGUAAUUUGGGGCCAUGAGCCUGAAUGUCUGAUUGAUCCACAGGUAACAAGACAUAUUAGUAUUUAAAAAGAGGGGAAGAGGUGCAAUUUAGCAUAUGUAUUUUUAGUCAAGUGUUCUGUCUUUCUGCUUUUGUAUUUAAUUUUAACUUUGUUUUCCUUCUAUCAACUACUCACAGGAGGUUCCUGGAUUGGGUUUCCAUAUCACCCAACCAGGUUCCUCAAUUGCUACCUCACUGAUCAAUACUGAAGCAAAUCCAAAACACGCGCUCUUUCUGGAAAUCAAGGUUAGUACUGGUGCAACGUGCUACGCUAACAUUCAAAUAUCUUCUUUUUUAAUUUAUUUAGUUUAUCAUGUUGCCCUUGAAUAGGGGAGAGAGUACAGGACAACCAAAAUACCACUGCAGUCUGUUAGACCUUUUGAGUAUGCAGAGGUAAUCCAGCUCUUACUUGUGUUUGCUCAAGUGAACUACAUCAAGAGAAUGUCAUGCAGGUUGUACUGGAGGACCAGGUUGAUGUUGAUCCUGGUGAUGAAGCAUCCAUUCAUGAGCAUUUGCACAAAGUUGUAAGUCCCCAACUAAUAACUUGUAUUUUUGUAAAAAAAAUCGUCUGUUUCCAAGGAUAUGUUCCCAUGACUGGUUAAAUUAAUUCCAGAACAGAACAAUCAGAUCUUUGAACAAUGAAGCUUCAGUUGUUGGAUAUUUGUUGUACUAAAUACUGACGGCAGAGUGGCUUUAUGUGAGCAACCUUAUUGAGAAGAGUAGGGAAGAAGCAUCCAGUAGUGGAUCAAAGCCCAAGCUUCCACUGGUUAGAAUAAAGGUAAAUCAGGAGCUCUUUAUGGCAGUUUUGUCCCACAAUGUUGUAAACAUAAAAGAGAUUGAAUUGUUCUUCAGGUGCAUCACACCGGACUUUCAACGAUAAAUUCAAAGCAAUUUGGUCAGCACUACGUGGGCAAGGUACCUCAUAAACUAAUUAAAAUGGAAUAAUUUAAAUGUGAUGUAAUCCUUUUAGUUACUACUGUUGCAUAGUGUUUCUGGUUACUAUCAAUGCUCUUGUAGGUUGUAAACCCACAAGACAUACUUCUUCUUACAAGAUCAAGGCAAAGGCAUCAAACUAUGCAAGGUAUGCCUAUUAUUGUUUCCUAUCACUACAGUAAACGAGGAAAUUUCCGAUGGCUAAAACCGUCGGACUUAAGGACUAAACCGUCGGAGAUAAGCUAUGUCCGACGGCAUUAACUUAUCUCCGACGGUUUUAAGCCGUCGUGGAUAAUGCGUCGGAAUAGCGUUAUGUCCGACGGCUGCCGUCGGACAUACGCUAUGUCCGACGGCCCUAUCCAACCGUCGGAGAUAAGGCGGCGUAACCGUUUUAACCGCUGCCUGGGCCCACAACUAUUAUGUCCGACGGUUUAAAGCCGUCGGACAUAACAUAUAGCAUAUGUCCGACGGCUUUAAGCCGUCGGACAUAACAUAAACCUUAUGUCCGACGGCCUACACUAGGCCGUCGGACAUAACGUUUUUCAGAAAUUGCACAAAAAUCUGAAAUUUAAAAAAUCUGACAUUUGCAAAUACAAAACAGAAUUCAUACACAUAUACACAUUCACAUUAACAAAUAUACUCACAUAAGUAUACACAUUCACAAAUAUAAUCACAUAAGCAUUCACAUUCACAAAAUUUAACAUAACAACAUAGUUCCAAAUGGUUGCAAUAAGUGUUUACAUAAACAUAGUUGUCCAAACUCCAAAAUGAACAUUAUUCGACGGGUAGGCUUUCACAUGAAAGGUUUCAACAAGUGUUUUACAUCAGUAUCACUCAUAUCCAUCGCCACCUCCUCCGGCUGGACUAUGCGUGCUGAAAAGAUUGUUCACCCACGAAUGUGUUGUGUCGUCCUGACCAGACCCAUCUCCAGGUGCGGCAACUGAAGCGGGUGGUGUCUGAAAUCCCUAUAACAUAAGCACAUGAAAUAGUAACCACUCAGUUGUUCAUUUAAACACAUAAGACAUCUAUGAACAUGUCACACACGCAUAUGUGUACAUACCAUAGGGAAUUGUGACGGAGGCGGAGGCGGUGGUGGAGGCGCCAACAUUGGCAUUGGCAGUGCAAAGUCCGGAGGCGGCAUCCCAUAUGUCGGCAUCGGGACGCCCGCUUGUUGGGCUAGUUGCUACAAAUUAUAUACAAGUCAUUGUUGAGCAAACAAGAUACACAUCAAGUGUUUUGCAAAAUAAGCUACAAAAUGUUAGUUCAACUUACCGAGAGAAGAGCUUGAUUUUGGGCCUGGAGGCUUACAUAAUACUCGUCCCUCUUCUUCUGGUACUCGGCUUGUUGUCUCUGGUAUUCAGAUUGUUGCCUCUGGUACUCCAAUUGAUCCCUCAAGACUGAUUGAUGGUACUCUGCCUGUUGACGCAACACCGCAAGCUCUAUCUCAUGGGCUGCUGAUCGUGAACGGGACGACUGUGAAGACGACGAUGUGGAUUGUCGUCCACGGCGUCUCAGCUCUCUGGAAUCAAUCGUAGAAUCAAAAAUACCCAACCUACAAGAGUGAACCAUGCACUUAGUAUAGUAACUCAUGCCUCAGUUGAAUCGCAAGCAUAUGAUGACAAUUUUGAAAACCAAAUCAAAUAAUCUCACCGUCCAUGGGCUUGUCCUCCUGCACUAGCAUAUGCUGCCUGAGGGUCGAUUGGCUGGCUCCUCCAAUCGUACUCCUCCCCAUGGCGUUGAACCAUCUCCUGCCCAUACGAAGCCUGGAGGCAAACAAUAUCAAAUAUAAGUGCAUAACCCCUAUGCCAUUGCAAACAAUAUCAAACACAUAAUAGAGUAUAAAAAACUCACUAGAAUGUCGGUGGCCGUCUGAGUGCAUAACACAUCAGGAUUCUGAGGAUCAGAACCCCUAUGGCCUUGCAUAUACACCUCCACAUCCGUGGGCGUACGGCCGGAUUUGACUUCCUGUACAUAAAAGUUAUAUUGACACAUUUCUAUGUAAUUCAAAGUUACGACAAACUGAGACUUACCAUUCGCUUAGCCAAGCGCACAUGACCAUCACCGCCGUAGUUGUGGAACGACUCAGUUCCACGGUUUCCCCUGUUCCUUUCGGAAAUGGCACGAAAAUCAGGGGAACCCCACCAUCUGCACAAUGCCCGAUAACCGUCUGAUCGGGUGGCCAUCCACGGCACCGACACCUACAUGAAAUUUUUAAAAUAAAGCAAGCAAAUACAUGGCUUCGUGCGAUAUGAGAGGCAACAACCUGUUUACCUCUAGGUAUUGCUCCUCCGUCAAGUAAAUUGAUGACCACUCGGCCUUUGUAUUUGGCAUCGGUCGAUCAUCAGCAUUUGCUCUGUACCAUGCCUUUAUAGCCUAAAUUCGUGCAUAGUACAUUGCAUCUGCAACGACAUCGUUCGCGUUAUACUCAAACACGUAACGAGCGUUCAUAUCAUAUGAUCCAUCGUCCGGCAACUUGUACCGUUUCUGCAAAAACCAUAGUGUUAUCAUAAAAGCAAACAUAUAUGGAAUAACUAAAAUAGUAUAAACAAGUCAUACCCAGAAUGCAUCCCAAACUAGUGCUUGUGUGUUGCCAAACGUUCUACAGACACCAUAGCGAUAAUGCUCCCAAGUGGUGGCGGGGACAGACUCGCCAGUAGGCAAAGUCACAAGACCAGGCCAGUGCAGACGAACAAGAUUACCAAGAACCAUGUUCACCUGCCUGUAGUGUCCUGUGCCUGUGAACGAGUCGUCGAUCCAAGUCCUGCAAACAGAAAUCAAUGUAGAAAUUAAAACAUAACUUUCAAUAACAUUUAAGCAAAGAUAUGUCACUCACUUUCCACUAGGCUUUAUCACAACCCGAGAUUCCGGUGGAAGCUCUGGAGGUGGUCCAACAAAAUGCAGCUUCCUCGUUCUCUUAACUCGAGAAGUUCCAGACCCAGCUGCAGAAUCUCCACCAGCCCCAGAAUCCCCAGCCCCAGAAUCUCCACCAGCGUCGUCUCCAGCAUCAUCUCCCACAUUAUCUCCACCAUCAUCUUCAUCAUCAUCUCUUGCAUGAUCCUCUACCACUGGUUCCUCAAUUUCAGCAUCCUAUGAAACAAAUAACUUACAUCAUACAAUAUUAAGUAACUCAAAUAAUGUAAUUUAACAACUAACUUACAUCUUGUGGAGGCAAAUGUUCUGCCAGCGCUCUCCGUCUGCUCAUGGUAGAACCUGUGCCCUGAAAAACUGAAUCCUCACCCCUCGAGCUGCUCCUCGAGCUACUCCUCGACCCAAGCAAACUACGAGCUAAAGACUUCAUUUUCUUUGACAUCCUAUUUUAACAAAAACAAGUUAGUACAUAAAUCGACAAUAAAAUAAUAAAAUAUGCAAUAAAAUCAUGAUCCAUACUCGUCAAUCGUAAUCGUAAUCAAAAUCAGGAUCUAGUUGCUUUCGUCGAUUUAAUGGACGCCAAGUAGCUUUCUUCUUUCUCGUCACUCGUUUUCUUUUUGGAGGAACCUCUACAUCAUUUUGAUCGCCUAAUAAAGAUUCUUCCAACAUUUCAGUUUGUACAUUAAACGUGCUUGUAAGUUCUUCGUCUUGGAAAAUCUCAGCAGCCCCCACUUCCUGCUCGAUUUGACUUUCAACAUAACCAGCAUCACCAGGAGCAUAUAGUCGUUCACGAGGAUUAACUUUGUACACUACCCUCCAAUCAACCAAACCGUUUUUCUUAGAUGGAUAUGUCAUAUAAUACACCUGCUCGCAUUGGUGGGCAAGGAUUAUAGUGUCGUGGCCUUUUAAUCUAUCGUUGUGUUUGACUUCCACCAUGCCAUAUUGAUUUUCUCGCGUUGUAUUUGGAGAAAACCAAUCACAAUCGAAGAACACCACUUUGAGUUGUUUAUCUCCAAAAAACUUGUACUCGAUUAUAUCAUUAAUGACUCCAUAAUAAUUAGUCACCUUCCCUUCAUCGUCGACAGCUCUAGUUACAACUCCGGAGUUUGUCGUGGCUGCUAGAGGAUGAUCAUCUUCGAACCUUGUGGAACGGAAUCUAAAACCAUUGACAUCAUACCGACCAUAACGUCUGCCAGUUACUGCUCCUAGGGAUAAUUGUCGAAGGUCCGGGUGUAUAUUGUCAUUUUUAUCUACAUAAUCUCGAAACCAACACAAGAAAUUAAGUCCCCCAUCUUUUCCCUCUCGACGAAUCUGGUCACGUUCACAGCCAGAGAUGCAAUUUUGAGAAUCAAAUUCCCUGUUAGUACAAGGAAACAAACCUUUUAGUAUCACAACAAAAAUUCUAGCGGCAAUGACUAAAAUAAAGUUUACACUUACAGGAGAAACUGACUCAUCUCUUCCAUGUUGUUAUACAUGUAGAGUAAAGCAGUCUUCCAUUCGUCGUUGGUGAAACAGUAUGUUGUGCUGGGUCCUACAGUUUUGCCCCUCCAUUGAAAAAUUUCAAUAUCACUAAUAGGGGGCUCGUCGACAUGAUACCGCAACGUAUGGGCAUUGACAUUGUGUUCCUCUGCAAAGUACAGGCCCGUGAACGAUGCUAUCUCUUUGUAUUUGAAUUCUUCAGCGAUGCACCCUUCAACUCGUCUCUUAUUACCAACCAUUGCACGUAGCUUCUUUAGUGUCCUUUCGAUGUGAUACAUCCAUCUAUAUUGCACAGGACCUCCUACCUUAGCUUCGUAUGGUAGGUGAACAAGUAGAUGUUGCAUCGGAUUGAAGAAACCUGGUGGAAAUAUUUUUUCAAGUUUGCAUACCAAAAUCGGUAUUUCUUGCUCAAGCUUCUCCAUCAUCUCUUUCUUUAUUUCUUUGGCACAAAGAUGUCUAUAAAAGUAGCUUAGCUCCGCUAAUGCUUUCCAUACAUCAUUUUUUACAAAACCACGAAACAUAACAGGAAGGAGUCUUUCCAUUAUUAUGUGGUAGUCAUGACUCUUCAACCCAGAAAACUUGCCCGUCUUCAAAUUCACAGACCUUCUAAAGCCCGCGGCGUAACCAUCUGGGAACUUUAAGUUUUUCAACCAUUUCAUCAAUUGUUUCUUCCUUUUAGGUUUAAUACUGAAAGGAGCACGUGGCUUCUUCUGAUUCUCUCCUAUCUCCAUAGUUGGUCUUCUACAGAUUAAGGCCAAGUCUUUCCUUGCCUUAGGGUUGUCUUUUGUUUUGUUGGUGAUAUUCAUGCAAGUGCUGAUAAUGCUUUCACCCAUAUUUCGUUCCUGGUGCAUGACAUCAAUGUUAUGCAUUAGAAUCAAGGCUUUCAUAUAAGGGAGUUCCCAUAGACCACAUUUGUGAGUCCAAUUAUGCUCGGUUCCAUAACCUUCAAAACGAUUUCCAUGUUCGUUUAGUUUCAAAUCAUUAAGUCUCGCGAGAAUCUCUGGACCACUUAGACGCUUGGGUGGUCCCCUCGUCACAAUCGUGUCCUUUUUAAAAGCGUUCCUAUCGAACCUGAACGGGUGAUCCUCUGGCAAAAAACAUCUAUGACAAUCGAAGUAACAUAUCUUUCCACCAAACUUUAGUCGAAAGCAUAAAGUGUCUUCAACGCAUAUAGGACAUGUCAAAAUCCCAUGACAACUCCAUCCAGCAAAGAUACCAUAAGCCAUAAAAUCAUGAAUAGACCAUAAAAACGCGGCUCUCAAGUUGAACUUCUGUUUCUUGUAACAAUCGUACGCCUCGACUCCUUCCCACAAAAUUUUCAAUUCUUCAAUCAGGGGUCUCAUCAUCACAUCGAUCUUUGUUCCAGGAUGAUCCGGACCAGGUAUUAUAAGACACAAGAAAAUAAAUUCAUAUUUCAUGCAAAGAGCUGGUGGAAGGUUGUAUGGAACAGCAAAGACGGGCCAACAUGAGUACGACGUUGCAGUUACAUUGAAUGGCGAGAAACCAUCUGUUGCCAAACCGAAGCGGACAUUCCGCACUUCAUCAGCAAAGCUGGAAUCAAAAGCAUCUAGUGCCUUCCAUGCAUCUGUAUCAGCUGGGUGCACCAUGACAUUUGGAUUCUCACGUACCCCUUCUUUGUGCCACCUCAUGUGUCUGGCUGUAUUCUUGGAGAUGAACAAACGUUUCAACCGAGGUAUGAGAGGCAUGUAACGAAGCUGCUUACGUGCAAUCUUCGUAGUCACGGUCAAACCAUCGUCGUUUUCAACCUCAACGAAUCUACGCUCACCACAUACAGUACACUUCUUCUCACCUGCGGUCUCCUUCCAGAAAAGCAUACAAUUAUUUUCACAGACAUCGAUUUUUUCGUAGUCCAUACCGAGGCCAGAUAACAGUUUUUUAGACUGAUACAUGUCCUUUGGCAUCUUGUGAUUCUCCGGAAGUACAUCACUGAUCAAGUUCAAAAGUUCCUUGUAACAGUUGUUUGAGAAUGCAAACUUAGACUUAAUAGCCAUAAGUCGAGUCACAAAUACAAGGACGGUCACUUUUGUGUGCUCAUGCAACGGCUCUUCGGCAGCUUUAAGGAGCUCGAAGAACUUCUGAACCUCAGGUGUAGCUGGAUCCUCAAACUCAGUGGGUUGACCGGGGUUCUCCGAAUCGACGGUUAGAAACUCAUGGCGUACAUCGUCAAGCAUCUCUUCCAUCCUAUCGUAGUCCUCCUCUUCAUGUGACUGAACUUCCGAUACAAUACGAGGAGGUGGGUCCUCACCGUGGUGCACCCACACCUCAUAGCCUGGCAUAUAACCAUUCUUGCAAAUAUGUAUCGACAUAGUCCUCCUGUCAAGGAAAUUAAUGUUCCGACACUUGCUACAAGGGCACCUAACAUCGGUUCCAGUCUCUGACCGAGCAAAAGCAUGGUCGAGAAAAGCAUCAGUCUUGGCCACCCACUCACUUGAUAGAGCACCUCUUUUCUUCCAACCUUCAUACAUCCAUCGACGAUUCUCCUCCAUACUAGAUACGAGACGUUAACUUAAUUAGAUAAGUAAUGCACGGACCAUCCGUUUUUACGAAGAAAUCACGCCCCUACAUCUGUAGGAAAGGAUAGGUCCUAAACCCACCCAGGAGUGACCGACGAGGCCGUGUUUAUGACAAAACAUGUGGUCGUGCGAAAUUUCGGCAGCAUAACCCCGCUGUUCUCCAAUCGCACGCCUAAAAAUGGUGCAAUUGGAGAACAGAGAGGUUAUGCUGCCGUAACUAAGCAGGAGCACAUGCUUUUGUCAUAAACACGGACUCUGUCGGUCACACCAAGGCUGUCCAAUAAAGGGACAAUUCCGGCCCAACAUACCUCACAUGCGUCGCUUGUAAGGUGUGUUGGGCCGAAACGGGUGACGCCUAGGUUUCGUUUGUUCACACUACGAUACACUAUGAUUAACUAUAAUCAUCGUGCAUUAUUAAAUAAUUAAACUAAUAAACCACAAUACAAUAUUACAUACGAAAUAACAUUGUUAUAAAUGACAAAUCAUAUAAAAUGACCUUAUUUUCGAGGGCAUAAUAAUUACCCUCGGAAAUUAAAAAUUUAAAUUAUCUAAAGUACCACUAAAUAAACUAAAACAAGCUACUUUAAUUACGUAAUCAAAUUUUGGCCGUCGGACAUAACAAACUAAACAAUCAAAUGCAUUCAUACAUACAUUUCUAAUCAAAUACAUUAAUACAAACAUACAAUUCUAAUCAAAUACAUUAAUACAAGCAUACAAUUUUAAUAAACAAAAUUGCUAAUUAAGUAUACUCACUUAGCGGGUGUGGAGAGCCGGCCGGCGAUGGGCGCACGGGCGGGCGGCGGGCGCACGGGGCCGUUGGCCGGAGCACGGGGCGGCGGCGACCGGCGAACGGGGCGGCGGCGGCGGCCGGAGCACGGGGCGGAGCUCGGGGCGGUGGCGGCCGGAGCACGAGCGUGGCGGCGGCACGAGCGUGGCGGUGGUGGCCGGAGCACGGGCGUGGCGGUGGCCGGAGCACGAGCUCGGGGCGGUGGCGGCCGGACCAAGGGGCAGCGGCGGCCGGAGCACGAGCAGUGGGGGCGGGCGGUACGGCGACCGGGCGGGACGGCGACGAGCGUGGCGGCGACGAGCGUGGCGGCGACAGCGCGGCGUGCUCCUCGGACGGCGGCGGCGGCAGAGAUAGAGAGACGCGCGGUCGGGUGAAACUGAAGGCGCGCGGGUCGGAUCCGCGCGUUAAAAAGCCUUAUGUCCGACGGCUCGGUACGAGGCCGUCGGACAUAAGCUUAUGUCCGACGGCCAGGGGGCGGGCCGUCGGACAUAAGGUAAUGUCCGACGGCCAGUCUGACAGCCGUCGGCUGUAUUCUGUUAUUUUCGACGGCCGCUGUUGGCCGUCGGACAUAACCUUAUGUCCGACGGUUGCCUAUGGGGCCGUCGGACAUAAUACGACCGUCGGAAUUUUAUAGUUUUACUGUAGUGUAUGAAAACAAUACAUGAGAGAGUAAUGCUAGGGUACGCUCAUAUGGGACCAGGGUGGUACUUGUGUUGAGUUUCUGUUUUAGAAUACUUUUUUAGUUUGCCAAUCAAUUUAUUGUUAACGUGGCCAUAUUACUAUCUUAUUGUGAGCAUAUCAACAAUAAACAUUAUAGAUUGGUUAAUGAAAAGUAUAAUACUGGCUAUAUCGCAAGUUUAAAAUUUGAAUACAUUUAACAAAUUCAAGCUGAGUGUAUUUUCUGGCUGUCUCUUUUAUUGUAUUGCCUUAUGUGGUCGGCACUUCUGCUUAAUACGGCGCUGUGAUCAGGAGGAGGAUGCCGAAGUAGAGGAUUGAGCGAAUUUUCUUUUGGGAGUAGUAGCCUCAGGUUGCCGCCGGGGCUGUGAAUUGUGAUCAGGAGGAUUCCGAUGUAGACCAUUCACGGUUCCAGUGUGGAUUCCGCAUCGAAUUUAAUGUAUUUCUGAUCCAGGAUCCUGGUCGACUAGUUGUUGUACCUAUGUUUGGAUUUAGGGGUUAUUUGGUUUGUUGUCUAAUUUAUCAUAGUUUAUCAUGUCUAAGGUUAGACAAGUUUGAGGCAUAUGUUGGUUUGAAGCUACAGUUAUAGAAAUACUCGUCAAUAACUAGUAAAAGUGUAACAGGAUUCUUUUAAACGUGCCAAACUAUAGCGCUGAAUUUGAGCGUCUUAAACAAACUUAACACAAAAAAUUAUGGCAAUUUAAUGCACGGGCGCGACCGCGACGGCAUCGCGCGCCGCGGCGCCGGCCGUUCCCAAGCUCCCCGCCUGUUGUGCCCCAUUGGCCCUUGCUCUCGUGUUUAGCGUGGUAUAGAAGCAUAUCCUUUCAAGUUUCAACGAGGUCCUGGCCACGAGGGGCACUGUACUCGCCAGGGUCAGUAAGCCGUCGACAUCGAGCAAGAUAUCGUGUGAUGGUUUUUGGCGUGUGCUACUUGUUCGACCUAUUGUUGCAACGGAGACCGCCGCUAACUACCAUCUCCAAGAGACUCCUACAAUUGAGUCCUAUAAAUCAAAAUAGGACAUGUUUUAAAUUAUUUAAGACCCACCAAUUCGUUUUACUCCAACCGUGAGUCCUAUAAUCACAUUAUUUAGUUAAUUAUCCGCUUCACCGCAGCAAUGUCAUCGUCGCUCUGUCAUCGUCCAUGUUCGCCAGAGACAAUCUUUCACAUGAUCUCGUUGUCCUGCAGAUGGAGUAGUAGGCCUUCACGUGAUCAUGUUGUCCGGUAGAUAGGGUAGCGGGCCAGCGGUUGUUGGUUACUCUUGAAAGGGAAAUGUGCCCUUGGGCCAUUUCUAAGUAUUUUGGUGAUUGAGUGCCAACACAAGUGCUUUUGUGUUGAUCUAUACAAUGUGGUGGACUAAGUGCAAAUCAUGUCAAAAGGUAUGUUUCUAGACUUAGUACAUUAUUUUAUGGACUAAUGUAUUGUGUCUAAGUGCUGGAAACAGGAAAAAUCGAAUUGGAAAUGAGAUGGCUUUGUUCAGCCAAGUCUGCUCAGUCUGGGAGCACCGGACUGUCCGGUGGUGCACCGGACAGUGUCCGGUGCGCCAGGCUGGCUCGAGCGAACUGGCCGCUCUCGGGAAUUCACCGGCGACGUACGGCUAUAAUUCACCGGACUGUCCGGUGUGCACCGGACUGUCCGGUGAGCCAACGGUCGGCCGCGCGAUCUGCGCGGGACACGUGGCCGAGCCAACGGCUAGAAGGAGGCACCGGACUGUCCGGUGUGCACCGGACAUGUCCGGUGCGCCAACGGCUCUCUGGCUGCCAACGGUCGGCUGCGCCAUUUAAGGAAAGAAAUCGGGCACCGGACAGUGUCCGGUGUGCACCGGACUGUCCGGUGCGCCACGCGACAGAAGGCAAGGAUUGCCUUCCCAGAUUGCUCUCAACGGCUCCUAGCUGCCUUGGGGCUAUAAAAGGGACCUCUAGGCGCAUGGAGAAGAACACCAAGCAUCCUUUGAGCAUUCUUGAUCACUCACACUCCACUCUUGCGCACUUGUUCGACAUUCUAGUGAUUUGAGCCCCGUUCUAGUGUGCUAGUCUUGUAAGCUCAAGUCUGGGUCUUGUGUGUGCGUAUUUGCUAUGAUCUUUGUGUCUUGUGUGAGUUGCUCAUCCCUCCCUUACUCUGUGCUUCUUUGUGAACAUCAAAAGUGUAAGGGCGAGAGGCUCCAAGUUGUGGAGAUUCCUCGCGAACGGGAUAAGUGAAAGGGAAUUAGGCUUACACCUAAGUCCUAAAUAAUUUUGGUGGUUAAAUUGCCCAACACAAAUCUUUGGACUAACUAGUUUGCUCUAGUGUAUAAGUUAUACAGGUGCAAAAGGUUCACAUCUAGCCAAUAAAAAGACCAAGUGUUGGAUUCAACAAAGGAGCAAUAAGGCAACCGAGGGCACCUCUGGCUGGAGGCACCGGACUGUCCGGUGUGCACCGGACAGUGUCCGGUGCGCCCGUAGACUUCGUUUUCUACCCUUCGCCAGAGGACUUCGACUUCAACCCUUCGCCCUCGGGAAUUCGCGGAGGCCGGCGCGCUAUAAUUCACCGGACUGUCCGGUGUGCACCGGACAUGUCCGGUGCGCCAACGAACCGCGGCCUCCGGAACUCGUCAUCCUCGGGUUUUCACGACAGCCGCUCCGCUAUAAUUCACCGGACUGUCCGGUGUGCACCGGACUGUCCGGUGUGCCAGCGGAGCAACGGCUCACUGCGGCGCCAACGGCUCCCUGCGCAGCAUUAAAUGCGCGCGCAGCGCGCGCAGACGUCAGGGCUGCCCAUACCGGUGCACCGGACAUCAAACAGUGCAUGUCCGGUGUGCACCGGACACCUCGGCAGGCCCACAAGUCAGAAGCUUCAACGGUCAGAAUCCAACGGCAAUGGUGACGUGGCAGAGGCACCGGACUGUCCGGUGUGCACCGGACUGUCCGGUGCGCCAUCGAAUAGAGGCUGCCAGCAACGGUCACUUUUGGUGGUUGGGGCUAUAAAUACCCCAACCACCCCACCAUUCAUUGCAUCCAAGUUUUCCACUUCUCAACUACUACAAGAGCUCUAGCAUUCAAUUCUAGACACACUAAAGAGAUCAAAUCCUCUCCAAUUCCACACAAAGCCCUAGUGACUAGUGAGAGUGAUUUGCCGUGUUCAUUUGAGCUCUUGCGCUUGGAUUGCUUCUUUUCUUUCUCACUUGUUCUUGUGAUCAAAACUCCAUUGUAAUCAAGGCAAGAGGCACCAAUUGUGUGGUGGCCCUUGCGGGGAAGUUUUGUUCCCGGCUUUGAUUAGCGAAGAGAAGCUCACUCGGUCCGUGGGACCGUUUGAGAGAGGGAAGGGUUGAAAGAGACCCGGCCUUUGUGGCCUCCUCAACGGGGAGUAGGUUUGCAAGAACCGAACCUCGGUAAAACAAAUCUCCGUGUCUCAUUUGCUUAUUCGCUUGGGAUUUGUUUUGCGCCCUCUCUUGCGGACUCAUUUAUUAUUACUAACGCUAACCCCGGCUUGUAGUUGUGUUUAUAUUUGUAAAUUUCAGUUUCGCCCUAUUCACCCCCCUCUAGGCGACUAUCAAUUGGUAUCAGAGCCCGGUGCUUCAUUAGAGCCUAACCGCUCGAAGUGAUGUCGGGAGAUCACGCCAAGAAGGAGAUGGAGACCGGCGAAAAGCCCACUACAAGCUACGGGAGCACUUCAUCGGAAGAGUCCCGCACCAAAAGGAGGGAGAAGAAGAAGAGCUCCUCCAACAAAGGGAAGGAGAAGAAAUCUUCUUCUCACCACAAAGAGAAGAAGGAAAAAUCUUCUUCCCACAAGCCGCAUCGGAAAGGCGACAAGCACAAGAGGAUGAGGAAGGUGGUCUACUACGAGACCGACACUUCAUCAACAUCGACCUCCGACUCCGAUGCGCCCUCCGUCACUUCUAAGCGCCAAGAGCGCAAGAAGUAUAGUAAGAUCCCUCUACGCUACCCUCGCAUUUCCAAACAUACACCUUUACUUUCCGUCCCACUAGGCAAACCACCAACUUUUGAUGGUGAAGAUUACGCUAGGUGGAGCGAUUUAAUGCGAUUUCAUCUAAUCUCGCUCCACAAAAGCAUAUGGGAUGUUGUUGAGUUUGGUGCGCAGGUACCAUCCGUAGGGGAUGAAAACUAUGAUGAGGAUGAGGCGGCCCAAAUCGAGCACUUCAACUCUCAAGCCACAACCAUACUCCUUGCCUCUCUAAGCAAGGAAGAAUACAACAAAGUGCAAGGGUUGAAAAAUGCAAAGGAGAUUUGGGAUGUGCUCAAAACUGCGCACGAGGGAGAUGAGCUCACCAAGAUCACCAAGCGGGAAACGAUCGAGGGGGAGCUCGGUCGGUUCCGGCUUCACAAAGGGGAGGAGCCACAACACAUGUACAACCGGCUCAAGACUUUGGUGAACCAAGUGCGCAACCUCGGGAGCAAGAAGUGGGACGAUCACGAAGUGGUAAAUGUUAUUUUAAGAUAUCUCAUUUUUCUUAAUCCCACUCAAGUUCAAUUGAUUCGUGGUAAUCCUAGAUAUACUAAAAUGACCCCCGAGGAAGUUAUCGGGCAUUUUGUAAGUUUUGAGUGCAUGAUAGAAGGCUCGAGGAAAAUCAACGAGCUUGGCGACUCAUCCGAAGCCCAACCCGUUGCAUUCAAUGCAACGGAGGAGAAGAAGGAGGAGGCUACACCAAGUCGACAACCAAUCGACGCCUCCAAGCUCGACAAUGAGGAAAUGGCGCUCGUCAUCAAGAGCUUCCGCCAAAUCCUCAAACAAAGGAGGGGGAAAGACUACAAGUCCCGCUCCAAGAAGGUUUGCUACAAGUGUGGUAAGCCCGGUCAUUUUAUUGCUAAAUGUCCUAUAUCUAGUGACAGUGACCGAGGCGACGACAAGAAGGGGAGAAGAAAGGAAAAGAAAAGAUACUACAAGAAGAAGGGCGGCGAUGCCCAUGUUUGUCGGGAAUGGGAUUCCGACGAAAGCUCAAGCGACUCCUCCGACGACGAGGACGCCGCCAACAUCGCCGUCACCAAGGGACUCCUCUUCCCCAACGUCGGCCACAAGUGCCUCAUGGCAAAGGACGGCAAAAAGAAGAAGGUUAAAUCCAACUCCUCCACUAAAUAUGAAUCUUCUAGUGAUGAUAAUGCUAGUGAUGAGGAGGAUAAUUUGCGUUCCCUUUUUGCCAACCUCAACAUAGCUCAAAAAGAAAAAUUAAAUGAAUUAGUUAGUGCUAUUCAUGAAAAGGAUGACCUUUUGGACUCCCAAGAGGAUUGUCUAAUUAAAGAAAACAAGAAACAUGUUAAGGUUAAAAAGGCUUAUGCUCUAGAGGUAGAAAAAUGUGAAAAAUUAUCUAGUGAGCUAAGCACUUGCCGUGAGAUGAUUGACAACCUUAGAAAUGAAAAUACUAGUUUAAAUGCUAAGGUUGAUUCUCAUGUUUGUAAUGUUUCAAUUCCCAAUCCUAGAGAUAAUAAUGAUGAUUUGCUUGCUAGGAUUGAAGAAUUAAACAUUUCCCUUGCUAGCCUUAGAUUAGAGAAUGAAAGUUUGAUUGCUAAGGCUAAAGAUUUUGAUGUUUGCAAAGUUACCAUUGCCAAUCUUAGAGAUAAAAAUGAUAUUCUUCAUGCUAAGAUUGUUGAACUUAAUUCUUGCAAACCAUCUACAUCUAUUGUUGAGCAUGUAUCUAUUUGUACUAGAUGUAGAAAUGUUGAUAUUGAUGCUAUUCAUGAUCAUAUGGCUUUAAUUAAACAACAAAAUGAUCAUAUAGCAAAACUAGAUGCUAAAAUUGCCGAGCAUAACUUAGAAAAUGAAAAAUUUAAAUUUGCUAGAAGUAUGCUCUAUAAUGGGAGACGCCCUGGCAUCAAGGAUGGCAUUGGCUUCCAAAGGGGAGACAAUGUCAAACUUAAUGCCCCUCCUAAAAAUUUGUCUAACUUUGUUAAGGGCAAAGCUCCCAUGCCUCAGGAUAACGAGGGUUACAUUUUGUACCCUGCCGGUUAUCCUGAGAGCAAAAUUAGGAGAAUUCACUCUAGGAAGUCUCACUCUGGCCCCAAUCAUGCUUUCAUGUAUAAGGGUGAGACAUCUAGUUCUAGGCAACCAACCCGUACCAAGUUGCCUAAGAAGAAAAUUCCUAAUGCAUCAAAUGAACAUAGCAUUUCAUUUAAGACUUUUGAUGCAUCAUAUGUUUUGACUAACAAAUCCGGCAAGGUCGUUGCCAAGUUUGUUGGGGGCAAACACAAGGGCUCCAAGGCUUGUGUUUGGGUACCCAAAGUUCUUGUAUCUAAUGCCAAAGGACCCAAAACAGUUUGGGUACCUAAAGUCAAGAACUAAAUUUGGUUUGUAGGUUUAUGCAUCCGGGGGCUCAAGUUGGAUACUCGACAGCGGGUGCACAAACCACAUGACCGGGGAGAAAAGGAUGUUCUCCUCAUAUGAGAAAAACAAAGAUCCCCAACGAGCUAUCACAUUCGGGGAUGGAAAUCAAGGGUUGGUCAAAGGUUUGGGUAAAAUUGCUAUUUCACCUGACCAUUCCAUUUCCAAUGUUUUUCUUGUUGAUUCAUUAGAUUACAACUUGCUUUCUGUUUCCCAAUUAUGUCAAAUGGGCUACAACUGUCUUUUUACUGAUAUAGGUGUCACUGUCUUUAGAAGAAGUGAUGAUUCAAUAGCAUUUAAGGGUGUGUUAGAGGGUCAGCUAUACUUAGUGGAUUUUAAUAGAGCUGAACUCGACACAUGCUUAAUUGCUAAGACUAACAUGGGUUGGCUCUGGCAUCGCCGACUAGCCCAUGUUGGGAUGAAGAAUCUUCACAAGCUUCUAAAGGGAGAGCACAUUUUAGGAUUAACAAAUGUUCAUUUUGAGAAAGACAGGAUUUGUAGCGCAUGCCAGGCGGGGAAGCAAGUUGGAGUCCAUCACCCACACAAGAACAUCAUGACGACCGACAGGCCGCUUGAGCUACUCCACAUGGAUCUAUUCGGCCCGAUUGCUUACAUAAGCAUCGGCGGGAGUAAGUAUUGUCUUGUUAUUGUGGAUGAUUAUUCUCGCUUCACUUGGGUAUUCUUUUUACAGGAAAAAUCUCAAACCCAAGAGACCUUAAAGGGAUUCUUGAGACGAGCUCAAAAUGAGUUCGGCUUAAGGAUCAAGAAAAUAAGAAGCGACAACGGGACGGAGUUCAAGAACUCUCAAAUUGAAGGCUUCCUUGAGGAGGAGGGCAUCAAGCAUGAGUUCUCCUCUCCCUACACGCCACAACAAAAUGGUAUAGUGGAGAGGAAGAAUCGAACUCUAUUGGACAUGGCAAGAACCAUGCUUGAUGAGUACAAGACACCGGACCGGUUUUGGGCCGAAGCGGUCAACACCGCCUGCUACGCCAUCAACCGGUUAUAUCUUCACCGAAUCCUCAAGAAGACAUCAUAUGAACUCCUAACCGGUAAAAAGCCCAACAUUUCAUAUUUUAGAGUUUUUGGUAGCAAAUGCUUCAUUCUUAUUAAAAGAGGUAGAAAAUCUAAAUUUGCUCCUAAAACUGUAGAAGGCUUUUUACUUGGUUAUGACUCAAACACAAGGGCAUAUAGGGUCUUUAACAAGUCCACUGGACUAGUUGAAGUCUCUUGUGACGUUGUGUUUGAUGAAACUAACGGCUCUCAAGUAGAGCAAGUUGAUCUUGAUGAGAUAGGUGAAGAACAGGCUCCAUGCAUCGCGCUAAGGAACAUGUCCAUCGGGGAUGUGUGUCCUAAGGAAUCCGAAGAGCCUCCAAGUACACAAGAUCAACCAUCCUCCUCCAUGCAAGCAUCUCCACCAACUCAAAAUGAGGAUGAGGCUCAAAAUGAUGAAGAGCAAAAUCAAGAAGACGAGCCACCUCAAGAUGAUAGCAAUGAUCAAGGGGGAGAUACAAAUGAUCAAGAAAAGGAGGAUGAGGAAGAACCAAGACCGCCACACCCAAGAGUCCACCAAGCAAUCCAACGAGAUCACCCCGUCGACACCAUCCUCGGCGACAUUCAUAAGGGGGUAACUACUCGAUCUCGGGUUGCUCAUUUUUGUGAACAUUACUCUUUUGUUUCCUCUAUUGAGCCACACAGGGUAGAGGAAGCUCUCCAAGAUUCGGAUUGGGUGGUGGCGAUGCAAGAGGAGCUCAACAAUUUCACGAGGAAUGAGGUCUGGCAUUUAGUUCCACGUCCUAACCAAAAUGUUGUAGGAACCAAAUGGGUCUUCCGCAACAAGCAAGAUGAGCAUGGUGUGGUGACAAGGAACAAAGCUCGACUCGUAGCCAAAGGGUAUUCACAAGUCGAAGGUUUGGAUUUCGGCGAAACCUAUGCACCCGUAGCUAGGCUUGAGUCAAUUCGCAUAUUAUUGGCCUAUGCUACUUACCAUGGCUUUAAGCUCUAUCAAAUGGACGUGAAAAGUGCCUUCCUCAAUGGACCGAUCAAGGAAGAGGUCUAUGUUGAGCAACCUCCCGGCUUUGAAGACAGUGAGUAUCCAAAUCAUGUCUAUAGGCUCUCUAAGGCGCUUUAUGGGCUCAAGCAAGCCCCAAGAGCAUGGUAUGAAUGCCUUAGAGAUUUCCUUAUUGCUAAUGGCUUCAAAGUCGGCAAGGCCGAUCCUACACUCUUUACUAAAACUCUUGAAAAUGACUUGUUUGUAUGCCAAAUUUAUGUUGAUGAUAUUAUAUUUGGGUCUACUGACGAGUCUACAUGUGAAGAGUUUAGUAGGAUCAUGACACAGAAAUUCGAGAUGUCGAUGAUGGGGGAGUUGAAGUAUUUUCUAGGAUUCCAAGUCAAGCAACUCCAAGAGGGCACCUUCAUUAGCCAAACGAAGUACACUCAAGACAUUCUUGCUAAGUUUGGGAUGAAGGAUGCCAAACCCAUCAAGACACCCAUGGGAACUAAUGGGCAUCUCGACCUCGACACGGGAGGUAAGUCCGUGGAUCAAAAGGUAUACCGGUCGAUGAUUGGUUCAUUGCUUUAUUUAUGUGCAUCUCGACCGGACAUUAUGCUUUCCGUUUGCAUGUGUGCAAGAUUCCAAUCCGACCCUAAGGAAUCCCACCUUACGGCCGUAAAACGAAUCUUGAGAUAUUUGGCUUAUACCCCUAAGUUUGGGCUUUGGUACCCUCGGGGAUCCACAUUUGAUUUACUUGGUUAUUCGGAUGCCGAUUGGGCGGGGUGCAAAAUCAAUAGGAAGAGCACAUCGGGGACUUGCCAGUUCUUGGGAAGAUCCUUGGUGUCUUGGGCUUCAAAGAAGCAAAAUUCGGUCGCUCUUUCCACCGCCGAAGCCGAGUACAUUGCCGCAGGACAUUGUUGCGCGCAAUUGCUUUGGAUGAGGCAAACCCUGCGGGACUACGGUUACAAAUUAACCAAAGUCCCUUUGCUAUGUGAUAAUGAGAGUGCAAUUAAAAUGGCCGACAAUCCCGUCGAGCAUAGCCGCACUAAGCACAUAGCCAUUCGGUAUCAUUUUCUUAGGGAUCACCAACAAAAGGGGGAUAUCGAGAUUUCUUACAUUAAUACUAAAGAUCAAUUAGCCGACAUCUUUACCAAGCCACUUGAUGAACAAUCUUUUACCAGACUUAGGCAUGAGCUCAAUAUUCUUGAUUCUAGAAAUUUCUUUUGCUAAGCUUGCACACAUAGCUCAUUUGAAUACUUUUGAUCAUAUCUCCUUUAUAUGCUAUGACUAAUGUGUUUUCAAGUCUAUUUCAAACCAAGUCAUAGGUAUAUUGAAAGGGAAUUGGAGUCUUCGGCGAAGACAAAGGCUUCCACUCCGUAACUCAUGCUUCGCCAUCACUCCGAGCAACUCUCUAUUCCUUGGGGAGAAAUGAGCAUCAAAGAAAAGGACUUCAUCCUUGGAGGAGAGAGUAAAAGCUCAAAAGCAAAAGGACCGGAUUUCGUCUUUGGUAUAAUCUUAACUCAUUUACUUAUGACCAAAGGGGAAGAAAUUACUAAGGAGGGCUCUAAUGAUUCCGUUUUUGGCGAUUCAUGCCAAAAAGGGGGAGAAAUGAGCCCAAAGCAAAAGGACCGCACCACCACCACCAAAUUCAAAAACUUAGUGCUUUCCAAAAGUCUUUAUCAUUUGGUAUCCUAUUGUGUUCAAAAGGGGGAGAAAGUAGUAUUUCAAAAAUGGUAUAUCAAAACCCUCUUGAACACUAAGAGGUGGAUCUCUUUUAGGGGGAGUUUUGUUUAGUCAAAGGAAAAGCAUUUGAAAUAGGUGGAGAAAAUUUCAAAUCUUGAAAAUGCUUUACAAACUCUUAUUCAUUUACCUUUGACUAUUUGCAAAAGAUCUUUGAAAUGGAUUUACAAAAAGGAUUUGCAAAAACAAAACAUGUGGUGUAAACGUGGUCCAAAAUGUUACAUAAGAAAGGAACAUUCCAUGCAUAUCUUGUAAGUAGUUAUAUUGGCUCAAUUCCAAGCAACCUUUACACUUACAUUAUGCAAACUAGUUCAAUUAUGCACUUCUAUAUUUGCUUUGGUUUGUGUUGGCAUCAAUCACCAAAAAGGGGGAGAUUGAAAGGGAAUUAGGCUUACACCUAAGUCCUAAAUAAUUUUGGUGGUUAAAUUGCCCAACACAAAUCUUUGGACUAACUAGUUUGCUCUAGUGUAUAAGUUAUACAGGUGCAAAAGGUUCACAUCUAGCCAAUAAAAAGACCAAGUGUUGGAUUCAACAAAGGAGCAAUAAGGCAACCGAGGGCACCUCUGGCUGGAGGCACCGGACUGUCCGGUGUGCACCGGACAGUGUCCGGUGCGCCCGUAGACUUCGUUUUCUACCCUUCGCCAGAGGACUUCGACUUCAACCCUUCGCCCUCGGGAAUUCGCGGAGGCCGGCGCGCUAUAAUUCACCGGACUGUCCGGUGUGCACCGGACAUGUCCGGUGCGCCAACGAACCGCGGCCUCCGGAACUCGUCAUCCUCGGGUUUUCACGACAGCCGCUCCGCUAUAAUUCACCGGACUGUCCGGUGUGCACCGGACUGUCCGGUGUGCCAGCGGAGCAACGGCUCACUGCGGCGCCAACGGCUCCCUGCGCAGCAUUAAAUGCGCGCGCAGCGCGCGCAGACGUCAGGGCUGCCCAUACCGGUGCACCGGACAUCAAACAGUGCAUGUCCGGUGUGCACCGGACACCUCGGCAGGCCCACAAGUCAGAAGCUUCAACGGUCAGAAUCCAACGGCAAUGGUGACGUGGCAGAGGCACCGGACUGUCCGGUGUGCACCGGACUGUCCGGUGCGCCAUCGAACAGAGGCUGCCAGCAACGGUCACUUUUGGUGGUUGGGGCUAUAAAUACCCCAACCACCCCACCAUUCAUUGCAUCCAAGUUUUCCACUUCUCAACUACUACAAGAGCUCUAGCAUUCAAUUCUAGACACACUAAAGAGAUCAAAUCCUCUCCAAUUCCACACAAAGCCCUAGUGACUAGUGAGAGUGAUUUGCCGUGUUCAUUUGAGCUCUUGCGCUUGGAUUGCUUCUUUUCUUUCUCACUUGUUCUUGUGAUCAAAACUCCAUUGUAAUCAAGGCAAGAGGCACCAAUUGUGUGGUGGCCCUUGCGGGGAAGUUUUGUUCCCGGCUUUGAUUAGCGAAGAGAAGCUCACUCGGUCCGUGGGACCGUUUGAGAGAGGGAAGGGUUGAAAGAGACCCGGCCUUUGUGGCCUCCUCAACGGGGAGUAGGUUUGCAAGAACCGAACCUCGGUAAAACAAAUCUCCGUGUCUCAUUUGCUUAUUCGCUUGGGAUUUGUUUUGCGCCCUCUCUUGCGGACUCAUUUAUUAUUACUAACGCUAACCCCGGCUUGUAGUUGUGUUUAUAUUUGUAAAUUUCAGUUUCGCCCUAUUCACCCCCCCUCUAGGCGACUAUCAAUAAGAAAAGAAAAGCAAAACACUGUGGUAUUCAAGUUGAUCAUUGGAUCACUUGAGAGGAGUUGAGUGCAACUCUCGUCCGUUGGGACGCCACAACGUGGAGUAGGCAAGUUUUGUACUUGGCCGAACCACGGGAUAAACCACUGUGUCAUCUCUGUGAUUGAUCUCUUGUGGUUAUUGUGUUUUGUUGAGACUCCUCUCUAGCCACUUGGCAAUUAUUGUGCUAACCUUAACCAAGUUUUGUGGCUUAAGUUUUAUAUUUCACAGGAUCACCUAUUCACCCCCUCUCUAGGUGCUCUCAAUUGGUAUCAGAGCCGUUCUCUUCAAGAAAGGGACUAACCGCCCGAAGAGAUGGAUCCUAAGGGGAAGGGAAUCGUGAUCAACAACAAGGAGAAGGAGUCCUUCGUCAACGAGCCGAAGGAUGACAAGCCUACCGACUCGGGCUCAGGCCACAGACGCAAAGAUGGGAAGAAGAAGAAGACAAGACGCAUCAAGGAGAUCGUCUACUACGACGACAGCGAUGAGUCCACUUCUUCCCAAAAGGACAACGACGACAACGACUGCGAGAGAAGGAAACCGGUUAAUUCAAACUUUUCUUUUGACUACUCUCGUAUUCCGCAAAGUACAAAUGCUCAUUUAUUAUCCAUUCCACUUGGUAAACCUCCUCAUUUUGAUGGAGAAGACUACGGAUUUUGGAGUCACAAAAUGCGUAGUCACUUGUUCUCUCUCCAUCCUAGCAUAUGAGAGAUAGUAGAAAGUGGAAUGCAUUUUGAUAGUAGUGAUAGUCCCAUGUUUAUCAAUGAGCAAAUUCAUAAAAACGCACAAGCUACUACUGUGUUGAAAGGGAAAUGUGCCCUUGGGCCAUUUCUAAGUAUUUUGGUGAUUGAGUGCAAACACAAAGUGCUUAAAUGUGAAUUUAUGCCCAUGGAUGAACAAAGUGCAAAUCACGAGUAAAGGUAUGUUUCUAAGCCUUAGUACAUUGGUUUUGUGUACUAAUAUACUUGUCUAAGUGUUAGAAACAGAAAGAAGAAGAAAAGAAAAGAGGUGUGAAAGGCUUGGCUGUGUACAGCCAAGACUCAGCUCUGUCUGGCACACCGGACUGUCCGGUGGUGCACCGGACAGUGUCCGGUGCGCCAGGCUGACUCGGCGUGAAGUGGCCGCUCUCGGGAAUUCGCCGACGGCGUACGGCUAAAAUUCACCGGACUGUCCGGUGUGCACCGGACUGUCCGGUGAGCCAACGGUCGGCCGGGCCAACGGUCGGCCGGGCCAACGGUCGGCCGCGGAAUCUGCGCGCGACACGUGGUCGGGCCAACGGUCGGAAGGGGGCACCGGACUGUCCGGUGUGCACCGGACAUGUCCGGUGCGCCAAAGGCUCCCAGAUCUGCAAUGGUCGGCCGCGCCAUUUAAGGAAGGAAAUCGGGCACCGGACAGUGUCCGGUGUGCACCGGACUGUCCGGUGCACCCGACGACAGAAGGCAAGAUUGGCCUUCCAGAUUUGCUCUCAACGGCUCCUAGCUGCCUUGGGGCUAUAAAAGGGACCCCUAGGCGCAUGGAGGAGACACCCAAGCAACCUUAGAGCAUUCUUGAUCAUCCACACUCAGUCUUUGCGCAUUCAUUUGUCAUUCUCAGUGAUUCGAGCUCCGUUCUAGUGAGAACUUUGAGAUAGUCUUUUGAGCUCGAUUCUUGGCCGUGUGUGUGCGCAUUUUGCUGUGGAAUUGUGUGUGUUGCUUCCCUUCCUUACUCCGUAUUUCUUUGUGAAUCUCAAGUGUAAGGGCGAGAGGCUCCAAGUUGUGGAGAUUCCUCGCAAACGGGAUAUUGAAAGGCAAAGCAAAACACCGUGGUAUUCAAGUUGGUCUUUGGACCGCUUGAGAGGGGUUGAUUGCAACCCUCGUCCGUUGGGACGCCACAACGUGGAGUAGGCAAGCGUUGGUCUUGGCCGAACCACGGGAUAAACCACUGUGUCAUCUCUGUGUUUGAUCUCUUGUGGUAUUGUGUUUUGUUGAGACUCCUCUCUAGCCACUUGGCAAUUAUUGUGCUAACACUUAACAAGUUUUUGUGGCUAUAAGUUUAAGUUUCACAGGAUCACCUAUUCACCCCCCCUCUAGGUGCUCUCAAUUGGUAUCAGAGCCGUUCUCUUCAAGAAGAGGGACUAACCGCCCGAAGAGAUGGAUCCUAAGGGCAAGGGGAUAGUGAUCAACGAUAAGGAGAAGGAGUCCUUCGUCAACAAGCCCAAAGAUGACAAGCCUACCAACUCCGGCUCGGGUCAUAGACGAAAGGAAGGGAAGAAGAAGAAGACAAGGCGCAUCAAGGAGAUCGUCUACUACGACGACAGCGAUGAGUCUACUUCUUCCCAAAAGGACGACGACCACAACGACUACGAGAGAAGGAAACCGGUUAAUUCGAACUUUUCCUUUGACUACUCUCGUAUUCCGCAAAGUUCAAAUUCACAUUUGCUCUCCAUUCCACUCGGCAAGCCCCCACACUUUGAUGGGGAGGACUAUGGAUUUUGGAGCCACAAAAUGCGUAGUCAUCUAUUCUCUCUCCAUCCUAGUAUAUGGGAGAUUGUAGAUAGUGGAAUGCACUUUGAUAGUUCGGAUAGUCCUAUAUUCAUUAAUGAGCAAAUCCAUAAGAAUGCACAAGCUACUACUGUUCUUCUAGCUUCAUUGUGCAGGGAUGAAUAUAACAAAAUGAGCGGCUUGGAUAACGCCAAGCAGAUCUGGGACACCCUCAAGAUUUCUCAUGAGGGAAAUGACGUUACCUUGCUCACCAAAAUGGAGUUGGUGGAGGGCGAGCUUGGACGGUUCGCGAUGAUAAGGGGCGAGGAGCCAACUCAAACAUACAACCGGCUCAAGACCCUUAUUAACAAAAUAAGGAGCUACGGAAGCACGCGAUGGACGGACCACGACGUCGUUCGACUAAUGCUAAGGUCCUUUACCGUUCUUGAUCCUCAUUUGGUGAAUAAUAUUCGUGAGAAUCCCAGGUACACCAAAAUGUCGCCCGAAGAAGUCCUAGGAAAAUUCGUCAGCGGGCGAAUGAUGAUCAAGGAGGCGAGGUACGUGGACGACGCCUUGAAUGGACCGAUCAACGAGCCGCAACCUCUUGCUCUCAAAGCCACAAGAAGCAAGGAGGCGCUACCUAGCAAGGUGGCACAAAUUGAAGCGGCCGGACUUAAUGAUGAAGAGAUGGCCCUCAUCAUCAAAAGAUUCAAGACGGCGCUUAAGGGUCGCAAGGGACAGCCAAGCAAGACCAAAGCCAAGGGGAAGCGCUCAUGCUUCAAAUGCGGUAAGCUUGGUCAUUUUAUUGCUAAUUGUCCCGACAAUGAUAGUGAUCAGGACCAAGGGAACAAGAGAGAGUAAAAGAAGCAUUACAAGAAGGCCAAGGGCGAGGCACAUAUCGGAAAGGAGUGGGAUUCGGAUUGCUCCUCCUCCGACUCCGACAAUGAAGGACUCGCCGCCACUGCCUUCAACAAGUCAUCCCUCUUCCCCAACGAGCGUCACACUUGCCUCAUGGCAAGGGAGAAGAAAGUAAGCACUCAUGAUACUAGUACUUAUGCUUCUUCAAGUGAGGAUGAGUCUAGUGAUGAUGAUGAGAUAGAUUACUCAUGCUUAUUCAAGGGAUUAGAUAGAUCUAAAAUUAAUAAGAUUAAUGAGUUGAUUGAUGCUUUGAAUGACAAGAAUAGAUUACUAGAAAAACAAGAAGAUCUUUUAUAUGAGGAGCAUGAUAAAUUUGUUAGUGCACAAAAAUCUCUUGCUCUAGAAAUUAAAAGAAAUGAAAUGCUCUCUGGUGAAUUAUCUACUUGUCAUGAAACCAUUUCUACUUUACAAGGUGUUAACAAUGAUUUAAAUACUAAAUUAGAAGUAGCAAAUAAAUCUAAUUCUUGUGUAGAACAUGUUAUAAUUUGUACUAGGUGUAAAGAUUUUGACAUUGAUGCUUGUAGUGAACACCUAGUUUCAAUUUCCAAACUUAAUGAUGAAUUGGCUAGUCUUAAUGCUCAACUUAAGACUAGCAAGAAUGAUUUCGAUAAGCUAAAAUUUGCAAGGGAUGCCUACACGAUUGGUAGACACCCCUCAAUUAAGGAUGGACUUGGCUUCAAGAGGGAAGCCAAGAACUUAACAAGCCAUAAGGCUCCCAUCUCCGCCAAGGAGAAAGGGAAGGCCCCUAUGGCAAGUAGUGCUAAAAAGAACCAUGCUUUCAUGUACCAUGAUAAGAGACAAACUAGAAAUGCUUAUAGGAGUUACAAUGCUUAUGAUGAUUUUGAUUCUCAUGACAUGUUUGCUUCUAGUUCUUUCUGUGUGCAUGAUAGAAAUGUUGGUAGGAAAAAUGUUGUUCACAAUAUGCCUAGGAGAAAUGUUGUUAAUGUUCCUAGGAAAGUUAAUGAACCUUCUACAAUAUAUCAUGCUUUGAGUGCCUCCUUUGCAAUUUGUAGAAAGGAUAGAAAGGUGAUUGCUAGGAAAUUAGGGGCAAAAUGCAAGGGAGAUAAAACUUGCAUUUGGGUCCCUAAGACAAUUGUGACUAACCUUGUAGGACCCAACAAGAGUUGGGUACCUAAGUCCCAAGCCUAAAUUUGCCUUGCAGGUUUAUGCAUCCGGGGGUUCAAGCUAGAUUAUCGACAGCGGAUGCACAAACCAUAUGACGGGGGAGAAGAAGAUGUUCACCUCCUACGUCAAGAAUAAGGAUUCCCAAGAUUCAAUUAUAUUCGGUGAUGGGAAUCAAGGCAAGGUAAAAGGGUUAGGUAAAAUUGCAAUUUCUAAUGAGCACUCUAUCUCUAAUGUGUUUUUAGUAGAGUCUCUUGGAUAUAAUUUGCUAUCGGUUAGUCAAUUAUGCAAUAUGGGAUAUAACUGUCUAUUUACAAAUGUAGAUGUGUCUGUCUUUAGAAGAAGUGAUGGUUCACUAGCUUUUAAGGGUGUAUUAGACGUCAAACUUUAUUUAGUUGAUUUUGCAAAAGAAGAGGCCGGUCUAGAUGCAUGCUUAAUAGCUAAGAGUAGCAUGGGCUGGCUGUGGCAUCGCCGCUUAGCACAUGUGGGGAUGAAGAACCUUCACAAGCUUCUAAAGGGAGAACACGUGAUAGGUUUGACUAACGUGCAAUUCGAAAAAGAUAGACCUUGUGCAGCUUGUCAGGCAGGUAAACAGGUGGGAGGAGCGCAUCACAGCAAGAAUGUGAUGACCACAUCAAGACCCCUGGAGCUGCUACAUAUGGACCUCUUCGGACCCGUCGCCUAUCUAAGCAUAGGAGGAAGUAAGUAUGGUUUAGUUAUUGUUGAUGACUUUUCCCGCUUCACUUGGGUGUUCUUUUUGCAGGAUAAGUCUGAAACCCAAGGGACCCUCAAGCGCUUCCUCAGGAGAGCUCAAAAUGAGUUUGAGCUCAAAGUGAAGAAGAUAAGGAGCGACAACGGGUCCGAGUUCAAGAACCUUCAAGUGGAGGAGUUCCUUGAGGAGGAAGGGAUCAAGCACGAGUUCUCCGCUCCCUACACACCACAGCAAAAUGGUGUGGUAGAGAGGAAGAACAUGACGCUAAUCGAUAUGGCGAGGACGAUGCUAGGAGAAUUCAAGACCCCCGAGCGUUUUUGGUCGGAAGCCGUGAACACGGCUUGCCACGCCAUCAACAGGGUCUACCUUCAUCGCCUCCUCAAGAAGACUUCGUAUGAGCUACUAACCGGUAACAAACCCAAUGUAUCUUACUUUCGUGUAUUUGGGAGCAAGUGCUACAUUCUAGUGAAGAAGGGUAGAAAUUCUAAGUUUGCUCCCAAAGCUGUAGAAGGGUUUUUGUUAGGUUAUGACUCAAAUACAAAGGCGUAUAGAGUCUUCAACAAAUCAUCGGGUUUGGUUGAAGUUUCUAGCGACGUUGUAUUUGAUGAAACUAAUGGCUCUCCUAGAGAGCUAGUGGUUGAUCUUGAUGAUGUAGACGAAGAAGAUGUUCCGACGGCUGCUAUACGAACCAUGGCGAUUGGUAAUGUGCGACCACAGGAACAAGAUGAGCAAGAUCAACCUUCUUCCUCAACUAUGGUGCAUCCCCCAACUCAAGACGAUGAACAGGUUCAUCAACAGGAGGCGUGUGAUCAAGGGGGAGCACAAGAUGAUCAUGUGAUGGAGGAAGAAGCGGAACCGACACCUCCAACCCAAGUUCGAGCGAUGAUUCAAAGGGAUCAUCCCGUAGACCAAAUUCUGGGUCACAUUAGCAAGGGAGUAACUACUCGGUCUCGAUUAGUUAAUUUUUGUGAACAUUACUCCUUUGUCUCUUCUAUUGAGCCUUUCAGGGUAGAAGAGGCCUUGCUAGAUCCGGACUGGGUGUUGGCCAUGCAAGAGGAGCUCAACAACUUCAAGAGGAAUGAAGUUUGGACGCUGGUUCCUCGUUUGCUCAACAACUUCAAAAUGUUGUGGGAACCAAGUGGGUGUUCCGCAACAAACAGGACGAGCACGAGGUGGUGACGAGAAACAAGGCUCGACUUGUGGCAAAAGGUUAUGCCCAAGUCGCAGGUUUGGACUUUGAGGAGACGUUUGCUCCUGUGGCUAGGCUAGAAUCAAUUCGUAUCUUGCUAGCAUAUGCCGCUCACCAUUCUUUCAGGUUGUACCAAAUGGAUGUGAAGAGCGCUUUCCUCAACGGGCCAAUAAAGGAGGAGGUGUACGUGGAGCAACCCCCUGGCUUCGAGGAUGAACGGUACCCCGACCACGUGUGUAAGCUCUCUAAGGCGCUCUAUGGACUUAAGCAAGCCCUAAGAGCAUGGUAUGAAUGCCUUAGAGAUUUCUUAAUCGCUAAUGCUUUCAAGGUUGGGAAAGCCGAUCCAACUCUUUUCACUAAGACAUGUAAUGGUGAUUUGUUUGUGUGCCAAAUUUAUGUCGAUGACAUAAUAUUUGGUUCUACUAAUAAAAAGUCUUGUGAAGAGUUUAGCAGGGUGAUGACGCAGAAAUUCGAGAUGUCAAUGAUGGGCGAGUUGAACUACUUCCUUGGGUUCCAAGUGAAGCAACUCAAGGACGGCACCUUCAUCUCUCAAACGAAGUACACGCAAGACCUGCUGAAGCGGUUUGGGAUGAAGGACGCCAAGCCCGCAAAGACUCCGAUGGGGACCGACGGACACACCGACCUCAACAAAGGAGGUAAGUCUGUUGAUCAAAAAGCAUACCGGUCAAUGAUAGGGUCUUUACUUUAUUUAUGUGCUAGUAGACCGGAUAUUAUGCUUAGCGUAUGCAUGUGUGCUAGAUUUCAAUCCGAUCCUAAGGAGUGUCACUUAGUGGCAGUGAAGCGAAUCCUUAGAUAUUUAGUUGCUACGCCUUGCUUCGGGCUCUGGUAUCCAAAGGGGUCUACCUUUGACUUAAUUGGAUAUUCAGAUUCCGACUAUGCUGGAUGUAAGGUCGAUAGGAAGAGUACAUCGGGGACGUGCCAAUUCUUAGGAAGGUCCCUGGUGUCGUGGAACUCUAAGAAACAAACUUCCGUUGCCCUAUCCACCGCUGAGGUCGAGUAUGUUGCCGCAGGACAGUGUUGCGCGCAACUACUUUGGAUGAGGCAAACCCUCAGGGACUUUGGCUACAAUUUGAGCAAAGUCCCACUCCUAUGUGAUAAUGAGAGUGCUAUCCGCAUGGCGGAAAAUCCUGCUGAGCACAGCCGCACAAAGCACAUAGACAUCCGGCAUCACUUUCUGAGAGACCACCAGCAAAAGGGAGAUAUCGAAGUGUUUCAUGUUAGCACUGAGAACCAGCUAGCCGAUAUCUUUACCAAGCCUCUAGAUGAGAAGACCUUUUGCAGGCUGCGAAGUGAGCUAAAUGUCUUAGAUUCGCGGAACUUGGAUUGAAUUGUUGCUUAUUGUGGUGCUCAAGUUGUACAAACACUCCCUGGACCUCACAAGUCCGUUGCAAAGUGAUGCACAUGUUUAGGGGGAGAUGUGUUACAACUUGACCCUUUGAGACUAACCAUAUGCUUGAGUUUGCUUGAUUUAGUCUCGAAGGAGAAUUGAAAGGGAAAAGGUGAACUUGGACCAUGAAAGACUUCCACUGCACUCCGAUGAGAGGGUAACUUAUUCCAAGUUCAUCUCAUGAACUCUUAUUGCCAUUUGCUCUUAAUUGAAGAUUUUGGUGAGGCAAUGGGGUUAAAGGGCCAAGAUUGAUCCCGUUUUGGUGCUUGAUGCCAAAGGGGGAGAAAAUAAAGGCCAAAGCAAUAAAUGGAUCAGCUACCACUUGAGAAAUUUUGAAAAAUAGUAAAAUAGAGCUUUUUGUUUUGUCAAAACUCUUGCAUUGUCUCUUUUGUCAAAAGUUGGCCUCUUGUGGGGAGAAGUGUUGAUUAUGGGAAAUAGGGGGAGUUUUUGAUCAAUCUCUUUUGGAAUGACUCUCUUUAUGCUUCAACAUGUGUGUUUGACUUAGAGAUAGAGAUUUGAGUCUGAUUUGCAAAAACAAACCAAGUGGUGGCAAAGGAUGAUCCAUAUAUGCCAAAAAUGAAUCAAAAUAAAUUUGAGUUUUAUUUGAAGUGAUAUUGCACUUGUUCCAGUUGCUUUAUGUUGUGUUGGCAUAAAUCACCAAAAAGGGGGAGAUUGAAAGGGAAAUGUGCCCUUGGGCCAUUUCUAAGUAUUUUGGUGAUUGAGUGCAAACACAAAGUGCUUAAAUGUGAAUUUAUGCCCAUGGAUGAACAAAGUGCAAAUCACGAGUAAAGGUAUGUUUCUAAGCCUUAGUACAUUGGUUUUGUGUACUAAUAUACUUGUCUAAGUGUUAGAAACAGAAAGAAGAAGAAAAGAAAAGAGGUGUGAAAGGCUUGGCUGUGUACAGCCAAGACUCAGCUCUGUAUGGCACACUGGACUGUCCGGUGGUGCACCGGACAGUGUCCGGUGCGCCAGGCUGACUCGGCGUGAAGUGGCCGCUCUCGGGAAUUCGCCGACGACGUACGGCUAAAAUUCACCGGACUGUCCGGUGAGCCAACGGUCGGCCGGGCCAACGGUCGGCCGCAGAAUCUGCGCGCGACACGUGGCCGGGCCAACGGUCGGAAGGGGGCACCGGACUGUCCGGUGUGCACCGGACAUGUCCGGUGCGCCAAAGGCUCGCAGAUCUGCAACGGUCGGCCGUGCCAUUUAAGGAAGGAAAUCGGGCACCGGACAGUGUCCGGUGUGCACCGGACUGUCCGGUGCACCCGACGACAGAAGGCAAGAUUGGCCUUCCAGAUUUGCUCUCAACGGCUCCUAGCUGCCUUGGGGCUAUAAAAGGGACCCCUAGGCGCAUGGAGGAGACACCCAAGCAACCUUAGAGCAUUCUUGAUCAUCCACACUCAGUCUUUGCGCAUUCAUUUGUCAUUCUCAAUGAUUCGAGCUCCGUUCUAGUGAGAACUUUGAGAUAGUCUUUUGAGCUCGAUUCUUGGCCGUGUGUGUGCGCAUUUUGCUGUGGAAUUGUGUGUGUUGCUUCCCUUCCUUACUCCAUAUUUCUUUGUGAAUCUCAAGUGUAAGGGCGAGAGGCUCCAAGUUGUGGAGAUUCCUCGCAAACGGGAUAUUGAAAGGCAAAGCAAAACACCAUGGUAUUCAAGUUGGUCUUUGGACCGCUUGUGAGGGGUUGAUUGCAACCCUCGUCCGUUGGGACGCCACAACGUGGAGUAGGCAAGCGUUGGUCUUGGCCGAACCACGGGAUAAACCACUGUGUCAUCUCUGUGUUUGAUCUCUUGUGGUAUUGUGUUUUGUUGAGACUCCUCUCUAGCCACUUGGCAAUUAUUGUGCUAACACUUAACAAUUUUUUGUGGCUAUAAGUUUAAGUUUCACAGGAUCACCUAUUCACCCCCCCUCUAGGUGCUCUCAUGUGUUGCUAGCCUCAUUGUGCAGGGAUGAGUACCACAAAGUGAGCGGCUUGGACAAUGCCAAGCAGAUCUGGGACACCCUCAAGAUCUCACAUGAGGGCAACGAUGUCACCAUGCUCACCAAGAUGGAGUUGGUGGAAGGCGAACUUGGGAGAUUCGCUAUGAUAAGGGGGGAGGAGCCAACCCAAACAUACAACCGGCUAAAGACCCUUGUCAACAAGAUAAGGAGCUACGGAAGCACGCGAUGGACGGACCACGACGUCGUCCGCCUAAUGUUAAGGUCGUUCACUGUCCUUGAUCCUCAUCUUGUGAACAAUAUUCGUGAGAAUCCUAGGUACAUCAAGAUGACGCCCGAGGAGAUACUUGGAAAGUUCGUGAGCGGGCGAAUGAUGAUCAAGGAAGCAAGAUACGUGGAUGACGCAUUGAAUGGUCCAAUCAAUGAGCCUCAACCUCUUGCUCUCAAGGCAACAAGAAGCAAGGAGACGCUACCUAGCAAGGUGGCACAAAUUGAGGCGGCUGGACUUAACGAUGAAGAGAUGGCACUCAUCAUCAAGAGAUUCAAGACGGCGCUAAAAGGUCGCAAGGGGCAGCCAAGCAAGACCAAGACAAAGGGGAAGCGCUCAUGCUUCAAAUGUGGUAAGCUUGGUCAUUUUAUUGCUAACUGUCCCGACAAUGAUAGUGAUCAGGAUCAAGGGAACAAGAGGGAAAAGAAGAAGUACUAUAAGAAGGCAAAGGGCGAGGCUCAUCUAGGCAAGGAGUGGGAUUCGGAUUGCUCCUCUUUCGACUCCGACAAUGAAGGACUCGCCGCCACCGCCUUCAACAAGUCAUCCCUCUUCCCCAACGAGCGUCACACAUGCCUUAUGGCAAGGGAGAAGAAGGUAUGUACUCGAAACACUACUUAUGCUUCUUCAAGUGAGGACGAAUCUAGUGAUGAGAAUGAAAUAGAUUAUUCAUGUUUAUUUAAAGGCUUAGAUAGAUCUAAGGUAGAUAAAAUUAAUGAAUUGAUUGAUGCCUUGAAUGAUAAGAAUAGGCUUUUAGAAAAGCAAGAGGAUUUGUUGUAUGAAGAACAUGACAAAUUUGUAGAAGCACAAAAAUCUCAUGCUCUAGAAGUUAAAAGAAAUGAAAUGCUUUCUUGUGAAUUAUCUUCUUGUCAUGAGACAAUUUCUAACUUAAAAAGCAUUAAUGAUGAUUUGAAUGCUAAGUUAGAAAUAGCUAGUAAAUCAACAUCUUGUGUAGAAAAUGAUGUUAUUUGCAAUAGGUGUAAAGAUCUUGAUAUUGAUGCUUGUAGUGAACACAUAGCCUCUAUUGCAAAAUUAAAUGAUGAAGUUGCUAGUCUUAAUGCCCAACUUAAGACUAGCAAAAGUGAAUUUGACAAAUUAAAAUUUGCAAGGGAUGCCUACACAAUUGGUAGACACCCCUCAAUUAAGGAUGGUCUUGGCUUCAAGAAGGAAGUCAAGAACUUAACAAGCCAUAAGGCUUCCAUCUCCACAAAGGAGAAAGGGAAGGCCCCUAUGGCAAGUAAUGCUAAAAAGAACCAUGCCUUCAUGUACCAUGAUAGAAAAUUUUCUGGAAAUGUUCAUGAUGAUAGGAGUUGUAAUGCUUAUAAUGCUUUUGACUCUCAUGCCAUGUUUGCUUCUAAUUCUUCCUAUAUGCAUGGUAGAAAUGUGUUUAGAAGAAAUACUGUUCAUCAUAUGCCUAGGAGAAAUGUUGUCAAUAUUCCUAGAAAAGUUAAUGAACCUUCUACAAUUUAUCAUGCUUGUGAUGCUUCAUUUGCAAUUUGUAGAAAGGAUAGAAAGGUGAUUGCUAGGAAAUUAGGGGCAAAAUGCAAGGGAGAUAAAACUUGCAUUUGGGUCCCUAAGACAAUUGUGACUAACCUUGUAGGACCCAACAAGAGUUGGGUACCUAAGUCCCAAGCCUAAAUUUUCCUUGCAGGUUUAUGCAUCCGGGGGUUCAAGCUGGAUUAUUGACAGCGGAUGCACAAACCAUAUGACGGGGGAGAAGAAGAUGUUUACCUCCUACGUCAAGAACAAGGAUUCCCAAGAUUCAAUAAUAUUCGGUGAUGGGAACCAAGGCAAGGUAAAAGGGUUAGGUAAAAUUGCAAUCUCAAAUGAGCACUCUAUUUCUAAUGUGUUUUUAGUUGAGUCUCUGGGAUAUAAUUUACUAUAUGUUAGUCAAUUAUGCAAUAUGGGAUAUAACUGUUUAUUCACAAACAUAGAUGUGUCUGUCUUUAGAAGGUGUGAUGGUUCACUAGCUUUUAAGGGUGUACUAGACGGCAAACUUUAUUUAGUUGAUUUUGCAAAAGAGGAGGCCGAUCUAGAUGCAUGCUUAAUUGCUAAGACUUGCAUGGGCUAGCUGUGGCAUCACCGCUUAGCACAUGUGGGGAUGAAGAAUCUUCACAAGCUUUUAAAGGGAGAACAUGUGAUAGGUUUAACUAACGUGCAAUUCGAAAAAGAUAGACCUUGUGCAGCAUGUCAAGCAGGUAAACAGGUGGGAGGAGCACAUCACAGCAAGAAUGUGAUGACCACAUCAAGGCCCCUGGAGCUGCUACAUAUGGACCUCUUCGGACCCGUCGCCUAUCUAAGCAUAGGGGGAAGUAAGUAUGGUUUAGUUAUUGUGGAUGACUUUUCCCGCUACACUUGGGUAUUCUUUUUGCAGGAUAAGUCUGAAACCCAAGGGACCCUCAAGCGCUUCCUAAGGAGAGCUCAAAACGAGUUUGAGCUCAAGGUGAAAAAAACAAGGAGCGACAAUGGGUCCGAGUUCAAGAACCUUCAAGUGGAGGAGUACCUUGAAGAGGAAGGGAUCAAGCACGAGUUCUCCGCUCCCUACACACCACAGCAAAAUGGUGUGGUAGAGAGGAAGAACAGGACGCUAAUCGAUAUGGCGAGGACGAUGCUUGGAGAGUUCAAGACCCCCGAGCGUUUUUGGUCGGAAGCCGUGAACACGGCUUGCCACGCCAUCAACAGGGUCUACCUUCACCGCCUCCUCAAGAAGACGUCGUAUGAGCUUCUAACCGGUAACAAACCCAAUGUAUCUUACUUUCGUGUAUUUGGGAGCAAAUGCUACAUUCUAGUGAAGAAGGGUAGAAAUUCUAAGUUUGCUCCCAAAGCUGUAGAAGGGUUUUUGUUAGGUUAUGACUCAAAUACAAAGGCGUAUAGGGUCUUCAACAAAUCAUCGGGUUUGGUUGAAGUCUCUAGCGACGUUGUAUUUGAUGAGACUAAUGGCUCUCCAAGAGAGCAAGUUGUUGAUCUUGAUGAUGUAGAUGAAGAAGAUGUUCCGACGGCCGCUAUACGAACCAUGGCGAUUGGUGAUGUGCGACCACAGGAACAAGAUGAGCAAGAUCAACCUUCUUCCUCGACUGUGGUGCAUCCCCCAACUCAAGACGAUGAACAGGUUCAUCAACAGGAGGCGUGUGAUCAAGGGGGAGCACAAGAUGAUCAUGUGAUGGAGGAAGAAGCGCAACCGGCACCUCCAACCCAAGUUCGAGCGAUGAUUCAAAGGGAUCAUCCCGUCGAUCAAAUUCUGGGUGAUAUUAGCAAGGGAGUAACUACUCGAUCUCGAUUAGUUAAUUUUUGUGAGCAUUACUCCUUUGUCUCUUCUAUUGAGCCUUUCAGGGUAGAGGAGGCCUUGCUAGAUCCGGACUGGGUGUUGGCCAUGCAAGAGGAGCUCAACAACUUCAAGAGAAAUGAAGUUUGGACGCUGGUGCCUCGUCCUAAGCAAAAUGUUGUGGGAACCAAGUGGGUGUUCCGCAACAAACAAGACGAGCACGGAGUGGUGACGAGGAACAAGGCUCGACUUGUGGCAAAUGGGUAUGCCCAAGUCGCAGGUUUGGACUUUGAGGAGACUUUUGCUCCUGUGGCUAGACUAGAGUCCAUUCGUAUUUUGCUAGCAUAUGCCGCUCACCAUUCUUUCAGGUUGUUCCAAAUGGAUGUGAAGAGCGCUUUCCUCAACGGGCCAAUCAAGGAGGAGGUGUACGUAGAGCAACCCCCUGGCUUCGAGGAUGAACGGUACCCUGACCACGUGUGUAAGCUCUCUAAGGCGCUCUAUAGACUUAAGCAAGCCCCAAGAGCAUGGUAUGAAUGCCUUAGAGACUUUCUAAUUGCUAAUGCUUUCAAGGUUGGGAAAGCCGAUCCAACUCUGUUCACUAAGACUUGUGACGGUGAUCUUUUUGUAAGCCAAAUUUAUGUCGAUGACAUAAUAUUUGGUUCUACUAAUAAAAAGUCUUGUGAAGAGUUUAGCAGGGUAAUGACGCAGAAAUUCGAGAUGUCGAUGAUGGGCGAGUUGAACUACUUCCUUGGGUUCCAAGUGAAGCAACUCAAGGAUGGCACCUUCAUCUCUCAAACGAAGUACACGCAAGACUUGCUGAAGCGGUUUGGGAUGAAGGAUGCCAAGCCCGCAAAGACUCCGAUCGGGACCGACGGACACACCGACCUCAACAAAGGAGGUAAGUCCGUUGAUCAAAAUGCAUACCGGUCAAUGAUAGGGUCUUUACUUUAUUUAUGUGCUAGUAGACCGGAUAUUAUGCUUAGCGUUUGCAUGUGUGCUAGAUUUCAAUCCGAUCCUAAGGAGUGUCACUUAGUGGCAGUGAAGCGAAUCCUUAGAUAUUUAGUUGCUACGCCUUGCUUCGGGCUCUGGUAUCCAAAGGGGUUGUUGGUGACUUGUUCUCAAAUGCUAAGAGUUAAGAACAAGGCAACAUGAAAAGUGUUAAAUGUUAAAGUCCUUCAUCCUUCGAAGGACUUUAUGUCCCUUCGGGAAAUAAUGAGUUUCGGACGAAGGUCAUAAGAGACAUACCUUCGUAAAUAUAGUAGGUAAAAACGAAAGACUCAUAUAAAGCAUGAGAUAUAAUAUAAGCAUCAUCAUGGAAUCAUUUCUAUUUUAUUAACAUGGGAAAAUAGAAAUGAUUUCAAAUUACAGAUGUACCUUCGGUCCUGAGAGAAGGUAAAAAGUACAGGCGUGACGCAAAAGCAAAUGCAAAGUCAGCGUGAACAGUACGGGAGUACUGUUCAUCUAUUUAUAGACGCGGGAUGCAGCCCACGUAAAAUUACAUCCAUGUCCAUUACAUUUGUUAACGGUUUAUGGAAAUCUAUUGAGGACCCCGAAGUCUUUUCAUCUUAAGGUCGGUUCCCCCUUGUGCCAUCGCGCCGAAGCUUCCCUGCGUACAGCUUCGGCUGCCCCCGACCUUCGUCUGGCUCAACCUUCGUCCUGGUCGUGCUCCAUAUCCAUAAUUCUGAAUCCGAAAAUACCUGUUCAUAUAAUUCACUUGGAAAACAUUGUCAAAUCAUGUUUUUGAGGACCUUCGGAGGACGAAGGCCCCCAACAGUAGCCCCUCGCAAUAUUAAUUUGUAAAUAAUAAAUUCAGAUUGCGAUAUGGACGAAGGCCUUGAGCCGAAGGUCCGAAAAAACACCUUCCCUUUGCUAGAAUAGCAACAUUCACUGACAAGCGGGGCCUUUUAACUUUCAACGCCCUAGGCGUAUAAAUAAGAACACAUCGUGAAUUCAUUUGGUACACACGCUUGCCUUUUGCUUCGGCCCACUAAAAAUUUUUAGCUCUUGCUCAUUGAGAUUUGCUGGUCUUUUUGAUUUCGAAGCUUCGGCCUCGGGAACAAAUUUUUAGUGUUUCCGAAGAUGUCUGAAGACAAGAAGAUCCCUGCCGAGACGAAGCUGAGUCUCGAGGAGGAGAAGAAUCUGGGGUUCCUGAUAGCGAUGGCAGAGACUAAUACAGAGAAAAUCACGAAGGAGAUUCUCGAAGGUUUGUCCGAAGAUACUGAUGACAGCGACAGCUAUGAUGUGGAAAGUGAUGGGGAAGAGGCCGAAGAUCGACCGUGGCGACCAAGUCACUCAGUUUUUGGGAAAACAACCAUCAAGCAGAGUCACAUUGAUAAUAUGAGGGGGCGAUACUUCCGAGACAUAUCUAUUGUGAGAGCUGAUGCCGGGGAAAAGACUUCUCCCACCCCUGAAGAAGAUGAAGUUGUAAUUUUCCGAAGCCUCCUCAAGGCUGGGCUUCGAUUCCCCCUGAGCAACUUUGUUGUUGAGGUACUGAAAACAUUCCAAAUCUACCUUCAUCAACUCACUCCCGAAGCUAUUAUAAGAAUGGGGAUUUUUGUCUGGGCUGUGAGAAGCCAAGGUUUGGAGCCAAACGCUAAAAGCUUCUGCAACAUACACGAGUUAUUGUACGAGACGAAGCCCUGGGGAAAGGAGCAAUACCACAACAACUUUGGGUGCUACAGCUUCGGCGCCCGCUCCGGGUCAAGCUACCCUGUGCCAACCUUUCGGAAGAGGUGGCCCGGAGCCUGGAUGUCUGAAUGGUUUUAUGUGAAAAAUGAUCUAACAGCGCAAAAUAAUGUCCAAAGUAUCAUUAUGUACCCAAUUUGGCAACGCUUCGGACUUCGAAGGCCGAAGGUUGAAAUGGAUGAGGCAGCCGAAGAAUGCCAAAGAGCCUUCGGCGCAGUCUGCUCUUUCAUUGGGACAAGGGACUUGGUCCAGGAGCACAUUGCCUUCAGGAUAUGGCCACUUGCAGAAAAGUGGGAAAUGCCGAAAGAAACCAUCAAAGAGUCCGACGAAGGCGGACUAGUCAGAUUAAAAUACACAUUCAAAUAUGCAGAUAAAUUUAUUGAACCUGAUGAUGACUGGCUGAAAAGCAUUGAAACAUUAAGUGAUGAAUUACUUGGGGCAUUCUCGAAGGCUGAAAAUACUGCACUAUCAGCAGCCUUCGGAGGCCGCAAAAAGAAGAGACUGAACCGAGUGUUUGAUGCAAUCGGGUUCUUCUACCCUGAUUAUUGUUAUCCCAUCCGAAGGCAGAAAAGGAAAAGCAUAACCUCUGAAAAAGAAGAAGCUGGAACCGCUCCUAGCGAGCCAGAACCAAAAGGAAAAAGGCUGAAGGUCUUCACACACCGACCACGCCAUAUUGAGCCAGCUUCGGUGCCGGAGUUUACCGGGAAAACUUCUUCAGCCACCGAAGCUGAAAAACCAAACGAGCCGGCCUUGCUGCCAGAGAUCGCAGAAACGGCCGAAGUGCCACCAAAGAUAGAAUCAGAACAAUCAAACAUUUUGUUGUCAGAAACAAAAGAGAAAACCGAAGCGCCGCUCACAGAAAAAAUUGAGAAAGUAAGAGAAGCAACUGAGGGCUUCAAAACAUCAGAAGUUUUGAGUCCUACAGCAAUCAUUGGGACGGCAAAAAAUGAAAAAGUGCCAGCUGCAACUCCGAAGAGAAAGAGAAUGGCUAAUGUGCUAGACGUAUUGGAAACGAUCAAAUCUUCGAGCACACCUCCGAAGAAAGCUGCUAUUACUCCUGAAACAAAAGCUGAAAUCUCUGGUUCUACAGCUCCAGAGGAAGAGAUUGAAGCCGAAGCUGGACCCUCAGAGUCCGCAAAAACUUUGAGAAGUGAGGCAGAGAAAAUAACAAAGCUAACUAUUGAAGAAUCUAGUGUUGCUGCCCCCGAAGCAUCCCCCAAAAUUCGUGAUUAUAUUUUUCGUCAUGCUUCGGGGAAAAAAUUAUCAGAAAAAGAAGAACAAGAGGCCCAGCAUUAUGCCCAAAAACUGAAAUAUCCGAAGGGGGCGUUAAUAUUUAAUGGCAGUGGAGAAGGAGACUUCUUGUACUGUCUUCCCGACAACAAGGAAAUUUCUGUCUGUCGGGAGAUAGGCAGAAGCUUUGGAUUCCCAACUUUAGAAGACGGACUUUCGGUGCUAUCAAAAAACGAUCUGGCUGACAGCCUAGCUUAUAACAGUUUAAAGGUAUGAUAAAUGAAAUCCUUGUAUUUUUCCGUUCAUUUAAACCCUCUGACACACACACAUAUUCCUUUUUGCAGGGCUUGAUACUUAGCAAUGCUCUCAGAGCCCAGAAAGAUACUGAAGACGAAGGGUGUACUAUAGCCCUGAGCAACCUUCGUUCCGAAGUAAUUGAACUGAGGAACGAAGGUCUCGAAAAAGACAAAAUAUUAUACUCAUUGAUAGAUAAAAUAAAGGAGGACGAAGCUGCCUUCAAAAGUCAGGCUGAAGCUCAGAAACGCGAAAUUGAAGACCUUCGGAAACAACUGGCCAGAGCUAAAGAAGAACGUAUACUUGAAGAAACAAAGCGUGAACUCAGCGAUCAAUGGGCAGAACACCUAGAAGUGACUGUUGAAGAGCUUCGUUCAUCCAAAAAGAGAUGCUACAAUAAAUCUAUAGACUGUGUUAAAAAAUUAAAGGCUAGCUUCGCCAAGGUCGGCGCAUUCUCAAGUGAAGAAAAUUUUCUGAGGGGCAAUCCCGAAAGUGUCAUUGAAUGGAUUGACCACGAAGCUGAAGUCUUCGAAGAAAUUUUAAAUAGCCGAGGAGAUAUAUGUGCCUUCUCUGGCGCCAGAGGGAUUGCCACUAUUUUAGAGAAGAAGGGCUGUGAACAUGUGAAAAUUUUAGCACAGUCCGAAGCCACCUUGUCGACUGAAGAUAUAAAAGAUCCUUCAGCCGAAGCUAGCGCGGUUGGAGGAAAAUUUUUUACCGACAUCUGGGACAACGGUGGCCGAGAAAUGGCAAGAGAAAUUAUUCAGAGAAGUGAAAAGGGCAUCCAUGAUGCUAGAGAAGUGGCUAAGGCUGCUGAAAAGAGCACAGAGCCCGAAGGUCAAUUAGGUACUAAAUAAUAGCUUCUACCGUGUUGUAAUCUUUAGGCUUUUAAGAUCUGUUUGCGAUUUGUAAUAGUAAUGUAGUCGUGUCCUGCUUCAGAUCCGACUAAAGCGCCUUCGGGCCCUCAGCCGAAGGGGGACGACGAAAUUAAAAAGAUGGCCGAAGAUAUUAUGGACGAAGUCGUCAAUCGGCUUCUGAAUGAAGCUGCAGGAGUCGUUUUGAGAGAGGAUUAAACAUUUUUGUAAAAAACUUCGGAAAUGUAAUAUAAUGUAACAUUUUUGUAACCCCGAAUGUAAUAUAUCUAUUUUUGCUACUCAAUUCUUUACGAUGCAUGAAACUUUACACACGUACCGUUUUUGAGUUUGGCGAAAAAAACACCUUCCCUUCUUUUCAUGCUUCGUGAAGAAUAUCCAAACUUCGUGAAAAAAUUCUCCGAAGCUAUACUUCCGAAGAUGAAGAUUGAUUCUCUUUACGACCAUGAUUUUCACUCUUUCAAAUCAUACUUUCGAAAAUCAAUAUUGUGUCCCCUUCUUGGGACCACGAUUUUCACUCUUUCAAAUCAUACUUCCGAAGAUCAAUAUUGUGUCCCCUUCUUGGGACCACGAUUUUCACUCUUUCAAAUCAUACUUCCGAAGAUCAAUAUCGUGUCCCCUUCUUGGGCCAUAUGCAACAUGAUGUAUGAUGCUUAUGCUAUGCAAAAUGAUGUAAUGAUGUUAUGCUACGUAGAUGACAUUUGUUCCGAAAGAUACACACAUAUCCCCACACAAUAUUUUUGUAUCAGCACUGAUUCUUCGCUGUAAGCUCUGCAUUCCCUUAGGAACGUCUUUGGAGCUUCUUCGCCUCUUACUUAGGCGGUAUAAGCUCUGCAUUCCCUUAGGAACGUCUUUGGAGCUUCUUCGCCUUUUACUUAGGCGGUAUAAGCUCUGCAUUCCCUUAGGAACGUCUUUGGAGCUUCUUCGCCUUUUACUUAGGCGGUAUCAGCGUUGACUUUUCGCUGUAGGCUCUGCAUUCCUUUAGGAACGACUUCUGAGCAGAAAACUUACACUGCGCUCCCUUUGGAACGGCUUUUUGUGACUUCACAAACUUACUCUGCGUUCCUUAGAACGACUUUUCGUUACUCCGAAGGAUUUUUAAUUCGAAGGUCCUCCUUGGUAACGGAAAAAAUUUUUAAUCUUCAGCAACUUAAGCUUGUGGAGCAAAUAGAUCUUCCUCGUGGAAAACAACGACAUUAUUACAUGAAAACUAUCAAUGUUUUUUGCUUGACAGAAAACAAAACUGAAUAAGAAAGACUGCUAUCAAAGAUAGGAUAUGUGUCAAUAAAUGUGUUUCGACUCUGGCACAGUGCUGUUGACUGUGCGAGCUUCGGACUGCUCUCUGAAGUCCCUCUGCUGUGGAGCGUAUUGACUCCCUUCUGGCUGCUGACCUUGUUGCAACGGAGGUGGAGGCGGAGGCUGUUGCCAGGAAGCUGAAGGCUGACUUGCCGAAGCAGCAGAGACUACAGGAUGAUUGCCCACAUAUUCUGGGAUGUAGGGCGAAUGAUACGAAGCUGUAUGCAUGACCUGCUUCGGCUGGGCUUGUUGUGCUGCUGCUUCAGCUAUUUCCUUUUGCUUCUGUAUAGUAACAUGGCACAUCCUGGUAGUAUGGCCUUUGUUCUCACCACAGAAUAAGCAAAAGAUUCUUCUUGGUUGAUCGCCAAAUCUUCCUCCGAAGCCCCUGGCGCCUCUGCCUCUUGGAGCUGGUGGUCGGAAGGAGCUUUGCUGUUGCCCCGAAGCCUGUGAGGAGUACUGUGGCCUUUGCUGCUGGCUCCCUUUAUCAUCAUUUUGAUUGGAAUUAUGAAUUGAUCUGACAUGCCUCGGAUAGAAUCUUCCUCCGAAGCCCCUGGUCAUCUCAGAAAAUCUGAAGGCCUCCUCCCUUCUUUGGCGAAAAUCAUUGUCAGCUCGAAUAUAUUCAUCCAUCUUCUGGAGCAGCUUCUCCAGCGUUUGAGGAGGCUUCCUGGCGAAGUACUGAGCUGACGGACCUGGCCGAAGCCCCUUGAUCAUGGCCUCAAUGACAAUUUCAUUGGGCACCGUUGGUGCCUGUGCCCUCAAACGCAAAAACCUUCGGACAUAUGCCUGAAGGUAUUCUUCGGGGUCCUGAGUGCACUGGAACAGAGCCUGAGCAGUGACCGGCUUCGUUUGAAAUCCUUGAAAGCUGGUUAACAACAAGUCCUUCAGCUUCUGCCAUGAAGUGAUCGUUCCUGGUCGAAGGGAGGAAUACCAGGUUUGAGCAACACUUCUGACAGCCAUAACAAAAGAUUUGGCCAUGACUGAAGCAUUGCCACCGUACGAAGACACUGUUGCUUCGUAGCUCAUCAAAAACUGCUUCGGAUCAGAAUGGCCAUCAAAUACGGGGAGCUGAGGCGGCUUGUAGGACGGAGGCCAAGGCGUAGCCUGCAACUCAGCGGACAAGGGAGAAGCAUCAUCAAAAACAAAAUUCCCAUGAUGGAAAUUGUCAUACCAGUCAUCUUCGUUGUGAAAGCCCUCCUGAUGAAGGUCUUGAUGCUGAGGCCUUCGGAAUUGCUCAUCCUGAGCAAGAUGACGAACUUCUUCAGAGGCUUCAUCUAUCUGCCUCUGCAGUUCAGCUAGCCUGGCCAUCUUCUCCUUCCUGCGUUGAACCUGUUGCUGAAGGAUUUCCAGAUUCUGAAUUUCCUGAUCUAGAUCAUCCUCCGGAUGUGUUGGACUGGUAGCCUUCCUCUUCUGGCUUCGUGCCUCUCUGAGAGAAAGGACAUCUUGAUUGGGGUCCAGCGGCUGCAGCGUGCCAGCCCCUGGUGCUGGAGCCUUCUUCGGCGGCAUGACGAAGCUGAUGCUUGCCGAAGGUGCCGAAAAACUCAAGAAGUGGAAGUGAGUUCACCGGAGGUGGGCGCCAAUGUUGGUGACUUGUUCUCAAAUGCUAAGAGUUAAGAACAAGGCAACAUGAAAAGUGUUAAAUGUUAAAGUCCUUCAUCCUUCGAAGGACUUUAUGUCCCUUCGGGAAAUAAUGAGUUUCGGACGAAGGUCAUAAGAGACAUACCUUCGUAAAUAUAGUAGGUAAAAACGAAAGACUCAUAUAAAGCAUGAGAUAUAAUAUAAGCAUCAUCAUGGAAUCAUUUCUAUUUUAUUAACAUGGGAAAAUAGAAAUGAUUUCAAAUUACAGAUGUACCUUCGGUCCUGAGAGAAGGUAAAAAGUACAGGCGUGACGCAAAAGCAAAUGCAAAGUCAGCGUGAACAGUACGGGAGUACUGUUCAUCUAUUUAUAGACGCGGGAUGCAGCCCACGUAAAAUUACAUCCAUGUCCAUUACAUUUGUUAACGGUUUAUGGAAAUCUAUUGAGGACCCCGAAGUCUUUUCAUCUUAAGGUCGGUUCCCCCUUGUGCCAUCGCGCCGAAGCUUCCCUGCGUACAGCUUCGGCUGCCCCCGACCUUCGUCUGGCUCAACCUUCGUCCUGGUCGUGCUCCAUAUCCAUAAUUCUGAAUCCGAAAAUACCUGUUCAUAUAAUUCACUUGGAAAACAUUGUCAAAUCAUGUUUUUGAGGACCUUCGGAGGACGAAGGCCCCCAACAGGGGUCUACCUUUGACUUGAUUGGAUAUUCAGAUUCCGACUAUGCUGGAUGUAAGGUCGAUAGGAAGAGUACAUCGGGGACGUGCCAAUUCUUAGGAAGGUCCCUAGUGUCAUGGAACUCUAAGAAACAAACCUCCGUUGCCCUAUCCACCGCUGAGGCCAAGUAUGUUGCCGUAGGAAAGUGUUGCGCAGAACUACUUUGGAUGAGGCAAACCCUCAGGGACUUUGGCUACAAUCUGAGCAAAGUCCCACUCCUAUGUGAUAAUGAGAGUGCUAUCCGCAUGGCGGAAAAUCCUGUUGAACACAGCCGCACAAAGCACAUUGACAUCCGGCAUCACUUUUUGAGAGACCACCAGCAAAAGGGAGAUAUCGAAGUGUUCCAUGUUAGCUCCGAGAACCAGCUAGCCGAUAUCUUUACCAAGCCUUUAGAUGAGCAGACCUUUUGCAGGUUGCGUAGUGAGCUAAAUGUCUUAGAUUCGCGGAACCUGGAUUGAUUUAUAGCAUACAUGUGCUUAUGCCUUUGAUCAUGUUCCCUAUGCAUUUUGUUGCUUAGUUAUGGUGCUCAAGUUGUACAAACACUCCCUGGACCUCACAAGUCCGUUGCAAAAGUGAUGCACAUGUUUAGGGGGAGAUGUGUUACAACUUGACCCUUUGAGACUAACCAUGUGCUUGAGUUUGAUGAUUUAGUCUCGAAGAAGGGUUACAAAUUGAAAGGGAAAAGGUGGACUUGGACCAUGAAAGACUUCCACUGCACUCCGAUGAGAGGGUAACUUAUUCCAAGUUCAUCUCAUGUACUCUUAUUGCCUUUAUAUUCUUAUUGAAGAUUUUGGUGAGGCAAUGGGGUUCUAGGGCCAAGAUUGAUCCCGUUUUGGUGCUUGAUGCCAAAGGGGGAGAAAAUAAAGGCCAAAGCAAUAAAUGGAUCAGCUACCACUUGAGAGAUUUUGAAAAUAGUAGAAUAGAGCUUUUGGUUUGUCAAAACUCUUUUUGUCUCUCUUGUCAAAAGUUGGCUUCUUAUGGGGAGAAGUCUUGAUUAUGGGAAAAAGGGGAGUUUUUUUUGAAAUCUUGGAUCAAUUUCUCUUGGAAUGACUCUCUUUAUGUCUUAACAUGUGUGUUUGACUUAGAGAUAGAAAUUUGAGGUUGAUUUGCAUAAACAAACCAAGUGGUGGCAAAGAGUGAUCCAUAUAUGUCAAAUGUAAAUCAAAACAGUUUGAGUUCUUAUUUGAAUUGAUUUUGCACUUGUUCUACUUGCUUUAUGUUAUGUUGGCAUAAAUCACCAAAAAGGGGGAGAUUGAAAGGGAAAUGUGCCCUUGGGCCAUUUCUAAGUAUUUUGGUGAUUGAGUGCCAACACAAGUGCUUUUGUGUUGAUCUAUGCAAUGUGGUGGACUAAGUGCAAAUCAUGUCAAAAGGUAUGUUUCUAGACUUAGUACAUUAUUUUAUGGACUAAUGUAUUGUGUCUAAGUGCUGGAAACAGGAAAAAUCGAAUUGGAAAUGAGAUGGCUUUGUUCAGCCAAGUCUGCUCAGUCUGGGAGCACCGGACUGUCCGGUGGUGCACCAGACAGUGUCCGGUGCGCCAUGCUGGCUCGAGCGAACUGGCCGCUCUCGGGAAUUCACUGGCGACGUACGGCUAUAAUUCACCGGACUGUCCGGUGUGCACCGGACUGUCCGGUGUGCACCGGACUGUCCGGUGAGCCAACGGUCGGCCGGGCCAACGGUCGGCCGCGCGAUCUGCGCGGGACACGUGGCCGAGCCAACGGCUAGAAGGAGGCACCGGACUGUCCGGUGUGCACCGGACAUGUCCGGUGCGCCAACGGCUCUCUGGCUGCUAACGGUCGGCUGCGCCAUUUAAGGAAAGAAAUCGGGCACCGGACAGUGUCCGGUGUGCACCGGACUGUCCGGUGCGCCACACGACAGAAGGCAAGGAUUGCCUUCCCAGAUUGCUCUCAACGGCUCCUAGCUGCCUUGGGGCUAUAAAAGGGACCCCUAGGCGCAUGGAGAAGAACACCAAGCAUCCUUUGAGCAUUCUUGAUCACUCACACUCCACUCUUGCGCACUUGUUCGAUAUUCUAGUGAUUUGAGCCCCGUUCUAGUGUGCUAGUCUUGUAAGCUCAAGUCUGGGUCUUGUGUGUGCGUAUUUGCUGUGAUCUUUGUGUCUUGUGUGAGUUGCUCAUCCCUCCCUUACUCUGUGAUUCUUUGUGAACAUCAAAAGUGUAAGGGCGAGAGGCUCCAAGUUGUGGAGAUUCCUCGCGAACGGGAUAAGAAAAGAAAAGCAAAACACUGUGGUAUUCAAGUUGAUCAUUGGAUCACUUGAGAGGAGUUGAGUGCAACUCUCGUCCGUUGGGACGCCACAACGUGGAGUAGGCAAGUUUUGUACUUGGCCGAACCACGGGAUAAACCACUGUGUCAUCUCUGUGAUUGAUCUCUUGUGGUUAUUGUGUUUUGUUGAGACUCCUCUCUAGCCACUUGGCAAUUAUUGUGCUAACCUUAACCAAGUUUUGUGGCUUAAGUUUUAAGUUUCACAGGAUCACCUAUUCACCCCCCCCCUCUAGGUGCUCUCAACUCUCCACCAACAAGAGAGAUAGAAAUCUAUUAGAAGCCAGAGCUCCAGCUUGCUAGUUCGAUUUGAUGGCAGCAACUAACACGACAAUGACGCUCAGCAUGAUAUGAAGAUUGCCAUCGAUAGGAAGGCUCAUCACCUGCUGUUCGCGGAGGCGAGAAAGGAUGUGGUCGACUUCUUCUCCCUACUCGUCCUGCUCGUCGGCGCGACCGUCAAACUGCUGGGGAAUAAGGGCAUGGCCGGCAGCACCGACAACCUCUAUGAUAGUGUGGAGGGCCUCGAAUACGCCCACAUCCAGACCAUUGUCGUGCAUCGAGGAAGAUGGACUUGAGACCCACUUAAUGCCUUUCCAUAAUAGUAGCAUUUUCUAUGUGAUUGGAGAUCUCAUGAAGUAGAAUGGUGAAACAAGCUAGAGAAUGACCGAUGGAGAGACUCCUUAAAUAAAAUCUAGGUAAUUUCAUAUGCACAUUUCUCCUUUGAUGUACGAUAGGCUAACUAAAAUCUUAAUAUGAUUUGAGUGACUUAUCUAAGCAGGGAUGUUAUCUUAUAGAACAUCUUAGAAGGAACACACCUAUAUGAGUUUGACUGCUAGUCACAAUCUAUGAUAUGUGGGCAAUAUUUAUAUACUCAUGAAAGGUCUCGAAGUUUGACUUAUAUGCUUCAAACCAAGGGGAUUCUUGUAAUAGUCUAGUACUAGAUAAGAACUUUGGUGAAACUCACUUCAUACAAAACUGUCAAUUCAAUAUAUAGUCUAUUGUUCAGAUGUGAUUGUGUAAUCCCUGUUCUAGAUGGAUGGUCAACUUAACAACCUCCACCAAAACCCUUAUAUAUCAAAGAGUAGUGGAUUUGAAUUUGCCUAAUAUGUAGUUUAUGGGCUUGGCUCAUUUAAAGUAUUUAAUAAUUCUGAAUGACAAGAUUAAACUAACUAUGUAUGAUCCUUUAGCUCCGUACAGAUGGUCGAUGGGAUAGUUACAUGGUUUAUGUAGAUGGACCUAUCUAUAUUCCUUCAGUGGUUGAGAGAAAGGUAAAGGUGUGUCACACUCACGCGUGCGCCGCCUCCGCCGAGACAAGGUGUGGCGUUGCAAGGUGAGGCAUGGUAUGGUGCAGCACGAUCACAGUCAUGGUCGUGGCACGAUGUAGCAUUGUUGUGGAUAGAUAGAUAAACUAUUGUUGUAGUUAGAGCGCGUGAGUUUUUGAAUGCAACACUAGAAUUUUCACAAUUUAACUUAAUUAAGAAGUUAUAUCUUGAUGACACAGAGUUACCUGACCAUUGAUCUCACAUGCCAUUUUAGCUCUCUCGUUCUCUAGUCUCACCCUAACUAUUUAGGUCUCCUGACUCACCAAUAUAAACACCAUCCUAUCAUUUGCUCUCCAAUACUUCUCUGUCACAACUCAACUAUUAGAUGAGUACUCCAUUACAACACUUACGUACACGAGUUCAUGAGAUCAGGCCUCCAAAAUGAAUAUCGGCUAAGUGUUUAUCUACUUAGAUGAAAGACGAUAAUCGUGUUCUUGGGAAAUAUCAGCGACAUAACUCCUUACUUCCUCUGCUUCUUCCUAGUGUUUUUGUUGUUGUGAUUGAGUCGACACAGCAACAACGCUGCACUAUUACAACCAGUACGAUUAUAUCAACUAACAAUGUCUUCCUUAUAUGUUACUAUUUAUUUUGCUCAUAUUCAUUAUGCUUAAAUCACAUGUGCACCUUUCUAUUGACAUCAAAAAUAGUAUCAACUUUCUAGAUUAAAAUGCAACUAAAAGUACCUAAAUUUCUAUCAGUGGGGAUUGAGUGAUUCUUUAAACCGAUUAUUACAUAAGUUAACCACACUAAAAUUAACAUUGGUGAAUCGUGCCAUGAUUUUUUUCUAGUGCAAAAUAGCCAAACCAAGCAACACAUAUGUGGCUAUCGUUACACAUUUGUAAAGGUAUUGCAUCACACCAUUGUCACCCAUGUAUUUGGACAAUAACGAGAGGAAAAACCACUUAUUUAUUGUAUUUUAUCAAGUUUGUCUUGCUUACGUAUAAAUUAUAACCCAACAAAGUAAUCACUAAAUGUCAAAACCAACUAGAUACCAUGUCAUCUCUACCUUAUCUUACUAAUGUUCUUUUUGCAAAAUCCAAAAGUAAUCUUGCACAAGCACAAGGACUGAUAUGUGUAUAAAUAUCUCUUAGAUUAGUAGUUAAUACAUCACUCAUAUUAUUAAGACCAACUAGCAACAUAGAAAGCACAAUAGUGUACCAACAAUGGCAACCAAAAUAUUUUGCUUCCUUAUGCUCCUUGGUCUUUCUGCAAGUGCUGCUACCGCGACCAUUUUCCCGCAAUGCUCACAAGCUCCUAUAGCUUCCCUUCUUCCCCCAUACCUCUCACCAGCGGUGUCUUCAGUAUGUGAAAACCCAAUUCUUCAACCCUACAGGAUCCAACAGGCAAUCGCAGCAGGCAUCUUACCUUUAUCACCCUUGUUCCUCCAACAACCGUCAGCCCUAUUACAGCAGUUACCUUUGGUGCAUUUGUUGGCACAAAACAUCAGGGCACAACAACUACAACAACUUGUGCUAGCAAACCUUGCUGCCUACUCUCAGCAACAGCAGUUUCUUCCAUUCAACCAACUGGCUGCAUUGAACUCUGCUGCUUAUUUGCAACAACAACUACCAUUCAGCCAACUAGCUGUUGUCUACCCCCAGCAAUUUCUUCCAUUCAACCAACUAGCAACAUUGAACUCUGCUGCUUAUUUACAACAGCAACAGCUACCACCAUUCAACCAGCUAGCUAAUGUGAGCCCUGCUGCCUUCUUGACACAACAAUAGUUGUUGUCGUUCUACCUGCACGCUGCGCCUAACGCUGGCACCCUCUUACAACUGCAACAAUUGCUGCCAUUCAACCAACUUGCUUUGACAAACCCAGCAGCGUUCUACCAACAACCCAUCAUUGGUGGUGCCCUCUUUU